GUGUAAUGGGGAUUUUCAUUUUUUUCCCCCUCAUAAUUUAACUAGAUUUCUCCUCUAUCGUAGCGGCAAUCCCAGCUGAGAAGAUUAAGUUUGUUUUGAUCCGAUGUAAAUAGAAGGUAAGUUUUCAAAUACUAGGUGUUCUAUCACAAAUUUGAGACAUGCUAUUACAAAAGUGGAUUACUAAUAUUUUGUAACUACUAUUGCCUUGUAUGUAUGUAUAUUGUCCAUCUAUCACAUCCUCAUUUUUCAGAAACCGAGUUGCCUGCCACACUUCGGCACCUUGCGGUUAACAUAUCUCUUGAAAGAAUUAUAUUUUGGAGCUGUGAAAAUCAUAAAGGUUUACCUGGUGAGUGCAUAAGCUCCACCAUCUUCAAGAGUAAACAAUUUGGUAGUGUGAUCAUCUUUUUGUCUUUCCCCAAAGGAGGAACGACGUCUAAGUUGUGAGAAACUAGAGGCUUUGCCCAACGGCUUGCACAAUCUGACCUCUCUUGAACAUUUAGCACUGGAAAAUCUAAUAUUGGCAUGUUUCCCCAGAGGAUGGCUUUCUCUGCCAACUUUGAUUCACUCGAGCUUCAGGACCUGGAGAUUCGCAAAGCACUGUUCGAGUGGGAUUGCACAGAUUCGGCUAUCUCAGACGACUUGUAAUCCGCAGAGUAUGUGAGGAUGUGGGGUUCAUAUCCAGUAGAGGAGAAAGGAACGAGGAUUCCUUCCUCUCUGGCUGAACUGGUGAUUUCCAACUUUCAAAUCUGAAACGCCUGAUUGUUCGAAGCUUAAGUAUAUUUUAGGAGGGCCUCCCCACCUCACUUCUGCAAAUAUUUAUCUGGAAAAGAUCUAUGUAUAUAUAUGUAGAAAGGAUGGAGAACAAUAUUGGCACUUCACGGCAGGGAAAUUGUGUGGGAUAUACCUAUUCCCCUUAAAAUACUCAAAAUAUGCAUUAAAUUAGGGUGGGGCUAUUUGAACCCACCAAAUUACUCAUUAAAUUUACUUUUAAAAAUAAUUUUUUUAUUAAAAUACCUUAAAUUAAAUUAUAAUUAUGAGCAUUAAAAUAUAGUAAAAAGGAAAAAGAAAACAGAGUUUUUACUCUUUAAACUCGUCUUUACAUUCACCAUAAUUUUGUUAAACUCUAAUUAUAUUUUCCUCAAAUCCUAAUAAACUAGAGGUGUAAUUUUUCUUAGAAACCACAUAUUUUUGUUAAUUAGGCUCAUGUGAUUAGAUUUAGGAUAAUAAAAUUGGUGGUUACAUCUUUGUUUGCGUUUAACAGUGGCCAACAAUCAAUGACAAGUAGUGUUGUUGAAAAACUUCUCUAAACAACUUCUAUGCACUUCAUCUCCUGUCGCCAUCAAAAGUUGCAGCGAAAUAUUUAUUUGAAAAUACCAAAGAAAUUGCUUUCAAAACCAUGUCCCCUGCUUCAAAGAUUUAGAUCAAGCAAGUUCUAAAGUCAUUGUAUGGUCUCGAAAUUGAGAACGUAAGGACACUGAAUAUGCAGGGGAAGAAGGAAAAAAGAGAGGGCCUCUUGGUUGCUUGGCCAAAUUACAAGAAAGCCUCCAUGACUCUGAAGAAGCCAAUAUCUUUGCCUUUGACAUCCCUUUUUCAGAGCCUAAAGGAUCUUGAAUGAAUGGAAAUUUAAAGUAUGUGACAUUCCGUUGAAGAGAUUGUAUUUACACAUUUUAAGCAAUAAUCGGCAACAUUGAUGUUUUUCGAAUUUUCUGAAAACUAGAGUAUGAUAGCAUGAGUAAUUAAAAAAAAAAAGAUAAAUAGUGUUGUAGACGAGCCAAUUGCGCCCGGUACACCUCCAUACUUCAAAAAUUAUCUCAAUACCCUAAAAUCUAUUUUUACCAAAAAUUUUCAUUGAUACCUUUUAAAAACGGAUAGGAAAUUACUAAGCUAUCCUUAUUUUAAAACAUUUCAACUCAGCAAACAACACCUCUCCCUUCUCUACUGAAGCAAACAAACACUCAUCUGCUGCAAUUCCUUCCAUUAUCAAACUCAAACAAACAAACACUACAAUUUCCUCACCGACAUCACCUCUGCAAUUCCCUCACCGGCAUCACCUCUACCGAAACAAAUAUUCAUUCUCCAUACAUGGUAAAUCAAACUUCAACACGAGCAAACUAAGCUUGAGAAGGGGAAGUUGCCACAACUGAGAAAGAGAAGCCCAGUUCAUCGGUACAUAAUCACCGGCGAGAGCUGAUCCUUUACUGCAAAAUGGUCAUAAAUUUAACUAGUUGAGACAAAUAAUUCUUUGUAAUUAGUUUUCUUGUUAAUAUUCAGGGGAAAAAACAAAAAGUUAAGGUUUUAUAUUGAAAAAAUAGAUUAAUUAGUUGUGGGUCUCUCAUAACAUGUUAGAAAACAAAUUUCUAGUUGUUUUGCUGCAUGCAAAUUGUGAAAAAUUAAUGGAUUGUGUUGAUUAUAAUUUUGUUAUGUAACACAAGAUUUUGUCGUGUAAGGUUAUGUAAGAUUCAAGGUUGUGUAUUACACGACCUUCAUGUAUUGCAUGUUUACACGACCUUCAUGUAUUAUACAAUUACACGACUUUCUUGUAUUACACAAUUACACGACCUUCAAUUUCAAAUUUUGUUUCUUGUCAAUAGAAUAUACACAUUACAUUUAGUUUAAUUAGGCUCAUAAUAAAUUAGAAUGGUGCAGAUACCUUUACCUUGUGAAAUGUCAUUACUUAGAGAGAUCUUUAAUUUCCAAUUAUAAACCAUGGUAAGUCAUGAUUUGUCUAGUUAUGAGUGGAAAUACUUUAUCACUGCGAAUGGUGUUCUUAUGUGUAUGACAUUACAUUAAUUUCCUAUAGUUGAUAUUUUUUUUUCUUAAUUGAUUUUAUGGAUUAGUUAUAUUUAGGCAUUCCUCAUGUAUGCUUGUGCAGAGGAAGAAAGCACUUUGAAGAUAAAAAUUUUUUUUUAAAUGGAUGUAAUAUGUUUAAUUGCGACUUUAAAAUUACACGACUUUUUCCAUUAAUCAUUGGAUUAAUUUAGUUUUUUAAAGACUUAAUUUGUGCUAAGAAUUUAUAUUUGCUGCUAUGCAGAAAAUGUCAACGAAAAGUAUUAAAAAAAGAAGUGAAAUUAAAUUGGAAUCUAAAAAAAUUUCACAUCAUCAUUGGUUUGAAUUGUAACUGGUGGCAUACGAUCAGAUGUCUUAAACUUAAACUUCAUUGUGAUUUCGAAUUCCGAAGUAUCUAUAUCAUUAACUUCAGCUAUCUUCUCCACCAAUUCGGCAUAUAUUGUCGAUCGUGAUAUUAUUAUCCCUUUAGCCUUGGAACCUUUGAACUUAUACUCGUUAUUUUGCUCAAUCCAUUCACCAUUAAAGAGAAUAGGCACACGUACUAAAACCAUUUCUGAUGAUACAAUAAAAACAAUAAUAUCAAAUUUCAUAUACAAGUAAGUACACAACUUACACGACCUACACGACUAUAAUACUUAUACGACUUACACGACUAUAUUUCUUACAUGACCUACACGACUUACACGACUAUAUUUCUUACAUGACCUACACGACUUACACGACUAUAUUACUUACACGACCUACAUGACUAACUAUAUGACGUACACGGUAUCAAGAGAAUGCGCGACGCGAAACAUUUUCGCCAUAAAUAAGUUAUAUUGCUGAAAAAAAUAAUUAAACAACCUACAUUGCAUAUAUUUCUACAUAUAAGAAAAAAUGGUGAAAAUAAAACAUUGUAAUGUGAGGAAAUUUUCUAAAUUUUUCUCAAAAUUAAAAAAUUUAAAACCCAACAACAUUAACAUACCUUAUUGUGUUGUUUAAUAAGCAAUGCACCUUUAAAGAAAGAGUGGGUGUUAAAGAAAUAAAUACAUAAUUGUAUUUGUGUAAGAAGUUAUGAGAGAUUUUGAGAGAUUCUAAGAGAUUUUGAAAGAAUCGGCAGCAAAAAUGGAGUUCGGUGAAAGAAAUGAGGAAAUGAAUAUGAAGACAAUUCAUUGAGUGAAUUUGAUGCAUUCAUUAAGGGUAUUUCUGACUUUACUCACAUUUGUUAGGAUAUCUAUGAAAACUAAAAAGGGAGGGGGUAUUUCAAUAAUUUUAAAACUAUUAAAGGGUAUUUAAUUAAAAACCCCGUUGUAGACAGCCAUAAAGCAAUUCUUAUUUUUGCCAUAAAGCAAUUCUUUUUUAUGUUGGUGAUUACUGCAGAAGCAAUGAUAGAUAUUCUUUGUUUGUUGCCUCCAUGAAGAAUUUGUAUAAUUUACAUCAUGAAUCAAAGGUUGAGAUAUUGUUUUUUUUUUUUUUUAUAAUAGAAGGGCCAAACAUUGUUGAAUGGUGUAAAAUAGGAUAAAAAAGGUUUAGUAGUUACUAAUUGUGCUAUAAUAAAUUUCUUUUUGAAAAAAAAAGAAGAAAGAUGAAUAUGUGCCGUAACUAUUUUUUUUAGAAUCAUAUUCAUAAAGAAAAUCUUCAGUAUAAUGAAAAAAAAACAUUUGUUAAGGGUUUAUAAAUCAAUUUAAUGGGUUUAAUAAGUAAAAACGGUAUUAUUAUAAAACAAAAUGGGUUUAAUGAGGGUAGAUUGGGUAUUUAAGUAGGUUCAUUGAGUAAAAUUUAAAAUGUUUAAAAUUUAAAUGUGGGUUUAUUUAGUAAAUGGGUUCAGUGAAUAGUUUAGUAGGUUCAAAUAGUCUCACCCCUUAAAUUAUUACUCUUUAAUUUUACACAUAUACAAUUAAAAAAAUUAGGAAAAGAGUACGAAAAUAUCCUCAAUUAAGUCAGGUAACAAAUCGAGUAAUUGAACCACAACCAAUUAAGUUCCCUAAAUAAUUCUUGACUUCUUUCAUGUAAGUUGGGUAACGACUUGAGGAUACUCAACCUCAAUUGAACCACGAUGACUAAAUCCCUAGAAUUUUUUUUACUUCUUUAAUAAAGUCGGAUAGCGAGUGGAGUAAAUUCGAUCUUAAUUGAACCAUGAUCAAUUAAGUCUCUUGAAAAAUUCUCAACUUCUUUAACGAGGUCAGAGUUGAGUAUACUCGACUUCAAUUGAACCACGACCAAUUAAGUCCCUGAAAAAUUCUCGAUUUCUUUCAUGGAAGUCUAAUGAUGAGUUGGGUAUAUUCGACCUCAACUGAAUCAUAACCAAUUAAGUUCCCUAAAAAUUUUUUGACUUCUUUCAUAGAAGUUGGGUAAUGAGUUGAGUAUAUUUGACUUCAAUUGUACGAUGACCAAUUAAGUCCUCUAAAAAAUUCGAGACGUUUUCAUGGAAGUCCGGUAAUCCUAGACUUCAUUUGUAUCAAUAAGUAAUCAUCUUCCAAGAUAUACAAUAAUUAUAAAAAAAAUAGUAGUAUCUGCAACAACUAUAAAUUAUCCAACAAACAUUAAAUACAAUGUCAUCUCAUAACGAUUAUCAAAGUCAUCAUUAUACAAUUUCAGUAGGGAAAAUCCUUAUAAAAUAACUCAAGAUAGUCUUUCACUUGCUCCAAGCACUGAAGUCAUGUCCCAAAAACUCUAAGACAUCUUAAAGACAACAUACCAUCUACGAUUCUCCAUCAAACCUUGCAUAGACAAAUAAUUUUGAAUUUAGUACAUGUUUAAACAACAUUAAGAAGAUAAAUAAGCAUAAAUUAAUGGCAAUAUAGAAAUGAAUACAGAGAAUUGAGACACUUUCAUAUAAAUAAGCAUAAAUUAAUAUUUGACUUAUUCAUAAAUUUACUUGAUUUCUACUCGUCUUGUUCAGAGACUUGUUCCAUUAAUUACCAAAUUAUUCUAUACUACUCAACUAAUUACCUAACUUAUACUUUACUACUAGGCUUCCUAUUAGUCGACAUAUUUCUAGACUUCUUAGCCGAUUUACGUCAUGACCUCCUCAAAUAAUUUCAUUUUUUUCUAGACUAGAUACUCAACUUAUUUGACUUCCUGCUAAACUAUAUAGUCAACUUAAUCAACUCUUUUCCUUCACUACUUGCUCAACUAAAUACUUGAUCUACCCAACUUCGUAUUCGACUUCUUCCCGGAAUCAUUUUUCAAUCAUCCAAAACUUAAGUUGAAUAUUUUGGUCUUAAAUCCUUAUAUUUUAUGCAAUCGUGUGUGCUUGUUUGUGCAAGCGCUAAAAUGAAUAAUCUAGUAUUACAAACUCAUAAAUUUUAAGCAAAUAUACUUGUAAUGAAAUCAAAUAAAAUUCAAAGUACAUAAAAUGUUUAAAUUUCAAACAUACCUUAUCCACCACUUGAUAGUCCACUUGAUAAUGUGUUGGAGGUAAGAGAUGAAAUGAUGAGAGGAGAGAAAACCGUGAGAGAGGAGGAAUUGUGAGGUGUGAGAAAGUGUUUGAAAUGGUGAGGUGAGGAAAUGUAGAUAGAUAGUAUUUUGUACUUUUUCCUCUUUCUUCGGGGCAUAUGUAUGCAAUGGGGUAGAAAUUUGGUACUUAGGGGGAAAUGGGGCGUGUUCAAAUUAAAAACCCCUUCAUAGCCAAGGUGGUACGGAGAAGUCAAACUUAUAUAGGGGAUGGAAUUGGAAAGCUAACAUAAUUUCUCAUCAAACAAUUAUACGAUAAAAUAACCUUAACUUUCAAGUUAUAAUUGUAAGUGUUUAGCCAAGGUGGUACGGAGAAGUCAAACUUAUAUAGGGGAUGGAAUUGGAAAGCUAACAUAAUUUCUCAUCAAACAAUUAUACGAUAAAAUAACCUUAACUUUCAAGUUAUAAUUGUAAGUGUUUAACAAAUACUGUAGAGCUAGAACUCCUACAUAGAUGUGGUUCACUUGUUUCCUUUCCUCAAUUAUUUUUUGUUUUGUUAAAUUUUUUAUAUAAAUUUUAAGAUAAAAAUAGUUGUAAAUUGUGCGAUGUCAAGAGCAGAUAAAAUGAAAGUCGUUAUCUUUUCUGAUUAAAAAGGAAACUGAUGGUCUUGAAUUUUGGAUAAUUUAGUUCUACUCAACUGUAGUGUAAUUUAUCUUAGUUAGUGCAGACAGAGAUUAUAAUACGAUUUGCAGAGAAGGGCAGAAAGGUGCAAAAAUUAUAAGAGGACGGACAAUUGGGCAGUUGACAUCACCAUAAAUGGUAAAUGAGUUUUUGAUCACUCAUAAUCAAUUAUCCAUUGAAGAUUGAAGGGAAUAUUGCUGAGCAACAAACAGGAAACAAGGGAUUUAGAGGCUGGUGACCAAAUGUACUUGAGGUGAAGAUUUUCUUUAAUCCUAGCAGCAAUUAGAGGGAUUUAAACAUCUAGAGAUUUGUUCUAUGAAGUGAGCUGAGUGAAGGAGAACAUUAGAUCUUACGUACAUUUGGUAUUUUGUCUAGUAGCUAUAGCUGUAUCGCUUGUUUAAGUAUUUAGUAAACUACUGGUAAUUGUUGACGAGAAAUUAAGGUGAUAUUAUAUAUGCUAUCAUUGUUCGAUGAAAAACUUAUAUUACUUUUUUUGUUUUAUCAAAAUUUAUAUCGCAUAAAUAUAGUCGAUGUUUAUGUCAUAAUUAAAGCUCCUUAUUCAUGGAAGCCACAGCACCAAACAAACUAAUAUACACACUCUAAGGGAGCCUAAGUAACGUGCCCUAAAAUAUUAAUUAGUCACCCCAAACACAAUUAACCCAUUUAUAAAUUCCAAGUCUAAAGUUGUUUGGUUUCUGUAUUAUAUAAUAGUUGGUAUUAACAAAAAAGUAUAGCCGAAUUAUUCAAAUGGUAAGUGCAGCGGAUCUCAUAAUCCAAAAAUGAAAUUAUUGGUAAAUAAAUUGAAAAUACUAUAACUGAAAUCAUCACAUUAAAAAAUUAAUGGUAUUACCAACUCUUGAGAAAAAAAUUCAUUAUUUUAACUUUCCAACCUUUCGUGAUGAAAUUUUCUUCUAAUAUGUUAAGAAUGAAAAUAUUAUCGAAGACUAUUAGCAAGGUGAAUAGUAUAGCUGAAUUAUUCAAAUGGUAACAUCAUUUUCUUUCUUUAUGGAGUUAAGAAUAGCCGCGGAUGUUCGAACAAAAUUCUAUGCGCCUGAGCACCUGUGCACAAAAAGAACAUAGGAUUGUUGAAAUUUGAAAACAAACUCAAAAACGAGUAUAAGAAAAUUCAGCAUCGAUGUCUUUUAUCAUUACUUUCAAGUUUUGUUGAAGUUUAUGGAUAAUUGCAACGUAAUUCAUAAACUAACUAAAAAAUUAUUGGUAAUAACUUGAAUGAAUAAUUUAAAAAUACUUUUAUUGAAAUCAUCACACAAAAAAAUAAAAUAAAAUGAAUAGGUUUACUAACUCUUGUAAAAAAAUAAUUAUUGUCCCUUUCCAACUUUUUGUGAUGAAGUUCUUCUAAUAUAUAUAUAUAUAUAUAUAUAUAUAUAUAUAUGUAUUAUAUUAUAUUAAGCAUAGAAAUAUCGUUGAAGACUAUUGGUGACAAAAUUAGAUGAAGUUUCUUCUAUAUAUAUAUAUAUAUAUAUAUAUAUAGGGUGGAAGUUGAAAACUGUGGUUAGGGGGGCCUUGUGCCCGCGUGUAUAUAGUAAAAGAUUAAGAUAAACUUUACUAUAAAUGGCAAUGUAUUAACAUCAUGAAAGACAAAAUAAUUCAAAGAUAUAUAUCUAUAAAUAUGUUCAUCUUUCAAUAAGUUUAUUCAUCUUCAAUAAAAGUAACCAAUUAAACUAAACUUAAACUCGAACCUAAAUAAAGAUAAUUUGUAACAGAAUUAUAAUAAAUGUGUAGGAACUUAGAGGUUCAUAUUGUGUGUGAUUGGACUAUUUAUCAUCGGAGUUAGGAUAUAAAGAACUAAAAGUAGUUAUAUCAUGAUAAUUUGGUAAAUGCUAAUUAGUUUAGGAAUAUUUUUUAAUUUCUAUUGUAAUUUAAUAAAAUAUUUACCUAUUAAUUUUUUUCCUCAAUUUUUUACCCGGACCCGACCCACAUCAGUUUCUCCUAAGUUUUACCCCUUUAUGUAUGUAUAGUAAUUUUCUAAUAGGAGAUAAAUUAAAAAACAUGAAAAACAUACACUCCAAUGCUCCAUUAUAGUGAUUCAUUUUGAUUUUAUAGUAGAUUAAAAAAUUUAUAUUUUUCUAUCUUUUAACUUGAUUCUUAUCAUGUUAAAGUAAAGAAUUCCUUAUUAAAAAUGGACUCAUAUAACCUAAGCAUCUAUCACUGUAUGUUAUUAUUAUUUAAAACAUCUCCAUUUUGUAUCAUUUCCCUCCGGAUGUGACUAACAAUUAGUUCGAACCUUAAAAAAAAAAAACAACGGUUAUGACAGAAAUAAAAAAAGUAAAGAAAAAUGAUAUGCAGUCUACUAGUGAACUCACCUCGACUACAUUAAGAUUUACAUGACCGUAGGUUGAGAUAGAUGGGGUUUAUUGGCAGGGGUGAGUAAGAGAGGCUCUGUGAUAGAGACCGACAUUGAAAAUAUUCCUGUCUUGCUUGCUUGAAUAUCACAAACUAGACUUGAUCAUUCAAGUGCCCCAUUGUUUAUUUUCUCAUUUUCCAUUACAAAGAAAUGUCGACAUGUCAUUGGAGAGGCGAUGCUAAAGGCGUCCGUUGAGAAACAGUUCAAAAAGUUGGCUUCCGAGGAAUUCGCAUUGAAAAACUGAAAGUUGCGGCUUGAAGAACCAGCUAGGCAGCCAUUACAACUAAUUUGGGAAACUAAUUCGCAGUUGCUACACAAGUUUUACUGCAUUGCAUGAUGUCUGAAAUAACAGAGACCACUGCUAGACUGCAUGAAAAUUCAGGUGGGAAGUCUUAUAAAGUCAGACAAAGGCUACCCAGAACCUAUUUGGUGAGUAAGGCUAAAUUGUAUGGCAGGGGAACAGAUCACGAGAAUGUUGUUGAAUCGUUGUUGAGGGAUGACAUAAGAUCUUGUUGAAAUGAACUCAAACUCGUCAGAACAACUUGUCGUGUUUAAGUUGUGAAGAUGAGUGACAUGUCAUUUCAGUUGAAGGAGAUUCCAGAGCUGACAAUUUGACAAUAUCGUACAAGACCAUUAAAUCUCACGUGACUAAUGCACGCCUGUUUUAAGCUUAAACGGCAUUGCUAGCAGUCGUUUAAGUAAGGCUUUAAAGUGGCGCGUGAGGAGCUCGUGACAGGUUGGUUAAGGCUGUUGGAUUUGGAGGGAAAAUUCUGGAUCUGUUACGCCUGCCCAACUGAUAUAUAUACAAGCUGGUUCUGGUGUAAUCUUGUUGGAUCAAGGUGAGAGUGAUAAGGCAGCCAUAGUGAGAGUUAAGCUUUGUGAGUGAUCUCCGUAUUGUGUAUUAUCAUCUCUGUAACCUUGAAGCUUAAUAAAGUUGCUCCUUGAGUUGUUUUCUCUAGUGGAUGUAGGCACCCUCAAAGGUGCUGAACCACUUAAGUUCUUGUGUGUUCUUGUUUCUUUGGGCCGUGUUCUUUGAUCUGAUCGUAGUUCUUGGUUAGCUUAAAUUUGAUUCUUGAGUCUUUGAGUCUGAGUUAGGUCUUGGGGUGUGAUUAAUCUUGUUGAGUACAUAAAGGCACCAAGUCGGCCAUGCUACUGGUUCCGCCUCGGCACGGAUCUUUUCAGCUAUAUGGUACGAGCAGAACACGGGGUUAAACAGGAUCCGACCCGAGAUGAAUGCGACCAGGAAAACAUACCGACCAGAAGUAUACGCCGAGCCGAUACUCAUCUCCAGGAAAGCAGGAACACGAUCUCACAAAAUCGCGGUAGUUGCGCUUCUCCCAGAACGGUUGAAGGACACGCGAGAUCCACGUUUGCCCACAAUCUAACAGUUAGAGUCCCAUGAGGGGCUACCACCACCCGAAAAAGGAGGGAUAAGGGGCAAACGGAAAACGUGGGACAAAGGGCGGCUAUAAAAGAGAAAGACAUCGAAGAAGACAGGGACAGAAAAACUGAGAGAGGGGAAACGCUGCCAAAUUACAACCAGGCCAUUUCCUUACAAAUUUCUUAAAUCCACAUUAUGCUGUUUUCCCGUAAACACCUUGUGCUAACUUAGGCAUCGGAGGGUUUACGCCGGCAAAACCACCGGCAUCUCUGAUCCGUUUUUGCUGAACGCAGGUCUAGUGAGAGAGGGAAGGGCGAUUCCAACCCCAGUGGUUCGAGUGAUAGUUGAUAACACAAACGUUGGUGACAGAAUCUGGUCGGUCCAAGGGCGAGCAGAUUUCAGCAUCAACAAAUCUAGUAAUUAAAGGGUUAAUUUCACAACAGAUCUAAGAAUGGAUUCUCUGCUGUUCCCAUUGUAGGGAUGCCGGGGGUGGGCAAGACAACUCUUGCUCAGCAUGUCUAUUACGACGUUCGACGAACGUGCAAGAUCAUUUUGAUCUGCAAGCGUGGCCUUGUGUCGCUGAAGAUUUUGAUAUCUUAAAGGUAAUGAAAUCAGUCCUAGAGUCCAUUGCUACUGAUCAGCCUGUGGAUGAUAAUGACUUGAAUUUGCUACAAGGGAAAUUGAAGAAACAAUUUUCCGGAAAGAAAUUUUUGCUCGUUUUAGAUGACCCGUGGAAUGACAAUUAUAAUCAUUGGAGGACCUCAGCCGUCCAUUUGAAUCUUGUGCACUGGGCGGGUAGCAAGGUUGUUAUCACUACUCGCAGUAUGAAUGUUGCAACAAUGAUGGCGACUACUUCAAUUUAUCCACUGGAAUAUCUGUCAGAUGAAGAUUAUCUCUGUAUACUUGCCGAAAAAUCCCUAGGAACAAUAGAUUUCAGCAAUCAUCAAUCCUUGAUGGAAAUUGGCAAGAAGCUGGUGAUUAAAUGCUACGGCUUACCUUUGUCCAGCAAAAGCUAUUGGUGGCCUAUUAGGUGGCAAAUAUGACUUGAGUGACUGGGAAGAUGUGCUCAAUAGCGAUAUAUGGAAUUUAUACUCAGACGACGGAGAUGGCAUUUUCCCAUUGCCAGCCCUUAGAUUAUGCUAUCAUUAUCUUACUCCAUGUUUGAAGAAAUGCUUUGUAUCUUGCUCACGUCUCCCUAUGGAUUAUGAAUUUGAUGAAGAGGAGCUUGUUUCAUGAUAGAUGGCUGAAGUUUUUUUGGCUCAUGAUGAGAGUAAUAUGUAAAUGGAAGAUUCAGGUGGUGAGGUUUUCAAGGAGCUACAUUCAAGGUCGCUUCAUCAACAAUGAAGCAACGAUACAUCACGGUUUGUGAUGCAUGGCCUCAUCUACGAUCUUGCUCUUUGAGCUGCUAAAGGACUGUUGGGGGCAAUUACGACACAGCACAAUGAUACGGAACCCAGUCUCAGAAAGAAGCUCCCAGCACAUAGAUAUCAGAGAAGAUAAUAACAUUGAGGAUCACAAGGCACAUGAAAGAAGAAAUUGGACGGUCAGUCUUGUAAUGAAGCUCCUGUACAAAUUAUAGAUUUAGAAUUUUCCAUAGCUUCCUUUUUUCUCCAGUCUCCUUUUGUAUUUUACUCGCACAAAUUGGUAACUUUUAACUCCUAUAUUUUCAGAGAUCGAAAUCUGAGUGAUCAGCUAAAUAAAGAUGUUUGAAAUGAAAACGACUGAGUCAAACAAUUGGUCUACUGUCGCUGUAGCACUGGCCUUCUAGGUGAAUGUACGUGCAGCGUUGAACCGAAUACAAUGAGACAACUGACUAAAGAAGCAAUCUAGUAACAAUCUACGAUCAGUUGAAAGCAAUUAAUCAAUCAGCAAAAUUAAGAAAAUAGCUGAUCAAGAUCAAUACCAGAAAAUUACCUGAAUCGGUAGGUUUGCCUAAAUCCGUGAAGAGAAUUAGCCUCUAGAAAGCUUAAUUGACGAUGGUGAUGACACAAUAUUUACCCAACUCACUACAAAAGAGAAUGUACCACUUAAGACUCUUUCUAAUUCUUACUCUAUCAAAAGAAAAUCAUAUGUAGAAUGGACAAUAGUCACCAGCCUUAUAAAUACACUCUUUGUUUCCAUAAUUUUGAACCUCUUAGUCUUCUACUCUGUUUUGUAUUAACCGCAGUAAUUCGUGCACUAAUUAUGAGGUUGCUCUAUAAUCUUAAUCAAUAAACCACUGACUUGGCAACAAAGAUUGAUACAGGCAGCAAAUGAAAUGAAACUUCAAGUUCACUGACUUGUUUAUAGUAAAAAAAAUUGCAGUCAUGACAACGAAACGGUCAUUAUAAUUAAUGUGCUUUUGCUGGAUCUUAUGUGCUAAUCAGAUAGGCCUAAAAAAUAUGAUGGACAUUGUUGGCCAAGUAUCAUGAUAUCCGGACCGUACAAUCCCAAGUAAAAUCAAGUCAGGUGAUUCAAAUCAUUUUUGGUGAUGUGAGAGCAAAGAGACUGUUAGUCAUUACAUAAUCCAUUAACAGUACCAGUUAUUAAUGAUUGAUCAGCUAAAUUUUUUUCUCAAGUUUGCGUAGUAUCUUUUAUGCUUCCUUUAUGCAAAUUAAAAAAUUUGCUGCGAUUAGCAAGUACUUUUCACAACUUGCAUGAUACUCGGAUGGAAUAAAGUGCUCUUUUCCGGAAGCAUUUGUCAUGGCAUUGAGAUAUCAAAUCGAUUAAUGGACUUGAUUGCAAUUGAUAUCAAAUCCAUUUUCGUUUUCCUAAAUUAAAGAAAUAUGUAUAGGCGGAGAUAUCUUCAGUUAAAAGUACCCACCAAACAAAAAAUUGUUUAAUUUAGAAGGAUUUGAUAGUAAUCGAAUUCGUACUUGUUGGCCAUUAUCAAUUUAAUCUCUUCAGUGAUGUUAUUUUCGGUUAUUUCGAAGUUGUAAUAUUUAAUUAAACUAAUAAUAAUAUACUGCAUUAGUUUGUACUAUAUUGUUCUUACGAAAAUAUCUGUAGCUAUAUCAUUUAUCUCAUUUUUAAGUGUGUUGGUGUGUGUUUAUAAUUUGUCAAGAUGAAAAAAAUCCCAUUAGAUGAUAAAUAUGCAUUAUAUAUAUAUAGUGCGAAUGUCCUCAUUUUUUUUUUAUGUGAACAAGCUUUUAAACCCCGCAGUUUAAGAGAGUUAAUUUUUUAUUCUCUUAAGUCACAUAACUUUAUAGUUCAUUAAAAAACUAACUCUCUUAAACCGUACAGUUUAAAAGCAUGCCUGCAUUACCCACACCUAAGAGUGAUUAUACAUUGAAAUACAAGUUAUGCAACCCAAGAGGGGGGUGAAUUAAGUUUUUAAAACUUAAGCUAAGCAAACCACACAACAAUUCAAUCUAAUGUCUUAAUAAAUUCGAAAAUAAUAAGUUCAAUAAAACACAAUAAUAAAUGAGUAAGGAAAGAGAAAACAAACACAAUGAUUUUUACGUGGUUCGGCAAUCCUUGGUUACGUCCACGCCUCCAAGCAACUCAAGCUUGAGGAUUUCACUAUCCAAACCUUCUAAGACUUCAAAAGCUUACAAUUGACUUCCAAGGUGUCAAUGAACCUUUACAACAAAGAGAUUAUCUCCCAAUCUCUUCACUCAAGUGUCUCACACACUUAAACACUCAUAAUUAAGAUGAGGAAAUGAACAUUACAACAAAAACUCUCUUUAAGAGUAGAUAUACAAAUUGAAGAACAAAGAUGAUUCAAUGUUUUAUGAUUUGCGAAAAUGAGAGCUCAAUAUAUGUUGUGUGCUUUUUGUUUUUGCUUCCUUAGAUUACCAAAAUUGAAUUGGAUUUGAGUUUAUAUAGUUUGAGCUCAAAAACUAGCCGUUAUGCACAUUUUGGUGGUAACUGGCUUACCGUUUAUGGAAUCUGGUUAGCUGCUUUUAUGUUACCGCUACAACAAAAAUUUGAAUUUCAGAGCAUCCGGCAUGCCGCUUUUCAUAUCUGGAUAGCUGCUUUCAAAAUUCGGAUAGCCGCUUUCAAAAUCCGGAUAGCCAUUUAUGUUCCAGAAGCUUACUGCCCAAAAUUCGGUCUUCCGCUUGUAAAAUCCAGUUAGCCGCUUACUACAGUAACUGCUACAGUGAAUUAUUUUCUAAAAUUAUAGUUUUAUCCCAAAAUAUUUCAUAACUGUACUAUGGCCCAAAACGUUAUAAAUUUUGCAAAUAGGUCCAAUUUCAGAAUCUCUAAAUAAUGCUCGUUGUUCCCAAAACUUUAUGAAAUUAUGAUAUGAUGCAAAAUACUAUGAAACUUUUUAAAUAAGUCAUUCUCCAAAAUACGGAUCCCAAAAACAUACACUCACCUCACCAUGUAUACAAGUUGCAAAUGACACCCCAUAUUUCUAAGGCGAGGUGAGCGCUGCCCUCCCCCAUUUUCCCUAAAACUGGGCCCUACUAAGCAUGUUGCAUGCAAGCACAUCUCCGCUUCCCCAAGGAUAAGGCAACCACUACCCCACUAGCCUAGAAGCAAUGAAGUGAAGAGUAACCGCCACUACUCACUUCCCUUGAUGAGAACCUUAACUGCCCACUUAGCUUGUCUCCACUUUUUGUACUCUAAGGCCAUGUUCUCCCACUAGUUGCACCAACAACUACCCAUUCAUGCUAGUUUUUAGGACCCACUUCUAGUGAAUUUCCAACCAACAUGCUCCCCAUUUGACUGCCAAUGCUCGAACACAAGCCGCGUACGUAAUACAAAUGCGUCUUACAUUCGCAUAGUUUGGCCCUUGUGCACGCCCCCAUUUGCUGCAUGGUUGCACGCACCCCUGUACACAUUUGUGCUACUGCCUUGUGCCAUCCUGCAUUCUACCCACUUAGCCUGUGUGCCCUAUACACCCUGCACACUUGCGACAUGUUAGGUGCAUUGUUCGCUCACGCCCUUAUGCAUGCUGUCUCGCGCUCUUUGCCCUUGUUCCACAACGUACGCUUGCUCCUAGCCCGCGCGCCACUCUUGCCUUACUUUUGUGCUUGCCCACAAGCAUGCCUAUUGUUGGGAAAUAGAUUACCACAAGCAGUUGAAAUUAAGUGGAACAAACUCUUUCCCUCUUUGUGUGAUUAAAAUAGGAUGUGUGCUACAAAUAAAUAUGUAGAAAAAUAAAUCAAUAAAUCCAAAGCAAAACCAACCACAAGAGACACCGAUUUUUACGUGAAAAACCCAAAUUGGGAAAAACUAUGGGAUCGUAGUCUGAUAUAAACUUUCACUAUAUCAAUGGAAUUACAACACAAAUUCUUCUCCAUAUAACACUAGAGGCUAACAAUAUUAAAAUUCUCAACAAUCUUAGCUUACAAUAAUAGAUCUAAAAUCUAUUUUCUCCAAUAAGUGGGUAUAUCAAAUAACAACUAUAGAGAGAAUAAAAUACAGAUCAACACCAGUAGAAAUGUAGAGGGUGAUGUCAAGAACUUACCCUCCAAAUUUGGGAUAAAUCGGAGCUAAAAUCACAUUCCGAUCGAUGAAUCAAAUAUUAAAACCCUCAAAGGAAACUUUCUCUCUCGCAAUGUCUUUUCUCUUCGUGAAAUGGCUACAUCUCUCGCGAUUCUUCACUUAUUUCCUUGUUAAUUUCAUCAAAGUCCAAAAGUUUAUAAUAAUUACACAUCAAGUAAAUUAUUUUGGAUUUUAGGAAUUUUGGUCCACCGAAGUGAGAUGGACCUUACAAAUCUCCCCCUCCAUCUCAUUUGAGGGGUACCACCAAGCCCGCUCUCUGCUUACAACUUUUCAACUUCUCCUUGGGCAAUGACUUUGUCAUCAUAUCUGAUGCAUUCUUCGUUGUGUGAGUUUUCUCAAACUACAACUGCUUCUACUCAAGCACAUCUCGUAUCCAAUGAUACCUCACAUCAAUAUGCUUCGACUUCGAAUGAUAUAUUGAAUUCUUCGCGAACUGGAUAGCACUUUGACUAUCACAAUACACAAUGUAGAUGUCUUAUUUAACACCUAGCUCUCACCACAACAAAAAUGGCUUUCUGCAACAAAAAGAUUUUGUUGCCUAAAGUGCCAAUUUUGUUGCCAUAGGCUAUUGCUACAAAAACAAGCUUGUCAGCCAAGUCAUCGACCUAGCAUUGUCGCCCUCUAUGUUUGACAACAUAUCAGAACAUUUCUCGCCCCAGACUUCCUUUCGUAACAAAAUAGAUUUGUUGUAAAGGAGUCUCCAACUUGUUUAAAAAUUUACGCUAAACUGUUUUACGCAACAAAAUUAUUUUGUUUCUAAAGAGUUAUUUACUACAAAACUAUUUUGCUGCUAAAAAAUAAAGUACACUUCAUAAAAGUACAUACCAACAAAGGUGUUUGUUUGCUAAGAUCAUUUUAGGCAACAAAACUGCUUUGUUUCUUUAUGUUGAGCAUUUUACAAAUUUACAAUAAAUAUUUAAAUAUUUUUAUAAACAAAUCAAUUUUUUCAUUAAAAAAUACUACAAUUUUUUGUUUAAUAAUAUCAUGGUAUAAAAGGAAACAAACCAAGUUUGGUGGGAAAAUACAAUUUUUUUCCCUAGCGUGACAAUAAUAAACUAGAAAUAUAUGUUGAGAAAUCUAACAAAAAAAAUCAUUAAUGCCAUUGAAUUAAUUUAAAAGUUAAAGGCCCAUUCAAUAUCCAAGCUAUAUAUAUAUAUAUAGCUGACUUUAAGAAUCACAUAUGAUCUUCAAAUACAAAAGUGAAUUGUCAUCUGUCCCAAAAAUCUAAUGAGCAAAAUAUUUGAACGAUCUCUAAUAAUAACUACUCCAAACUCCAAAUACUUAAAGAUAUGACAUGCACCAACAAUAACCGAAAAGAUCAACUGAUGACUAAUUCAAAAAACUAACAAGUUCAAGAUACUCUAAGGACAUCAUUGAAAUGAGUAAUCAUUGAGUAGCUGAAUUUGUAAAGCGAAAAGAUGUUCCUUGAGAAGAAAAAAAUUGCUGCAUCAUACUCUCAAAUUGGGAUAAUUUGGACUCCAAUUGAUCAAUAGUAUUCUUUUGCUCUUUAAGCUCAACAUCUUGUGAAUCCAAUCUACUUUUUUGUGAAGAUAUAAUACCAUACAAUCUGUCAGCCUCAGAAGUAUCAAUACCACGGGUUGGAGUUGGGUGUGGUCUGUUGCCAAGUCCUCGAAAAUAGCCUGAUUUCUUUCCAACUACUUCACUACAUAUUUCCCUUUGAGUUAGUGGUUCUGCUUCUUCAGGAUUAGUUUGUUGUUGUUGUUGUAGCUCUACCAUUUGACCUUAUACAUAAAGCUUCGCUAGUAAAGGAAGGAAGAAAAAAAAGAAUUUUAUUAAUUAAACAAUUGAAAUUUAAUCCACUGGUCAUGGAAUUAAAUUGUAUUAAGGCAUAAAUUUAAAAAAAAAAACUUGUUGUUAUACUUAUAAAUCUUAUCAUUUGAUAUUUCAAAUAAUAAUGUUAAUUGAAGCAUGAAAGAAAAAUUAAGAAAAAAAACUCAAUGAGUAAAUUUUCAUCAAUAUUAUGUAAGUGAUAAGAAAUAAUAAAAUUAAAGAUUUUAUUUCCAAUAAAGCAUCUUACAUGCUUUGAGUGGGUCACCUCAUUCACCCAACCUUUUGUCUUAUUGAAAUGAGUGACACAGAAUAAUUCUAUUUCUCCAUCAACCAUGUCAUCCUCAAGAUAAUUAACAAAAGGUCUUGAUCCCCCACAAUGGACUUAUGGGAGCUUAGCACGAUUAGCUUUAUUUUUGGUAGAUUGAGUCUACAUUAAAAAAAAAAAUAACAGUAGAAAAUAAGAUACAUAUACAAGCAUAUUGACAACUAGUUGGACAUCUAAAGUUUAUAAUAUAAAUAUCAUUGGAUCUGUAAACUUGUGGAAUUGUAAAUGUUAUGACAAAGCCAAUCCCAAUCAUUUAGACAUAUGCCUGGAUAUGGAUGCUUAAGUGCCUCUUCAAAGGAUGGAUAAUCCAAGUAAUGAUCAUACAUCCAAUGUCUCAUAUCACGAUAUCUCCCACCCAUAAUGUUAUUCACACAUCAACGAACAUGUGGCAAGUUCAAAUCAAUCUUAAACUUUGACUGAAUUUAGAAAAAAAAAUCUUAGUUUAUAAUUUUAAAAAAUAGUACAUGAAGAAUAUUAAGAACCAUAAGUACUCACUAAUAGUCAAUCAAACAAAACUUGCCUCUCUGAUUCUGGAAUCUUGCUCCAUUACUCGUGCUGAAGAUGUGCAAACCUUCUAACCAAAUAGCCACACUCACUUGACAACAUGGAAGAGUACUUAUGACCUACUGGCCUAUUAGUCUCGGGAGAGAUAUAUAGCUUUAUUUUUCCAGAUAAUUGCACAAUGUCAUCCAUUUUUUUCCCAUAUGAGGGGCCACACGUUCUUUUCUUUAUUGGCUGAAUAUCUAUUUUAUAUACAUGUGUGUGUGUGUGUGUGUGUAAAGCAUGUAUUAGUAUAAGAAACAAAAUAUUGUAUAUUCUAUUAAAAAAAUCCUACCAAUUAAACUCUUUAAAUACCAGAUUCUAGAGUUGUAACACCACCUUGCACAAACUCUUGGCUAGGUAUAACAAGCUGAGAUGGGGAAAUUGUAGAUGUGACAACAAUUUUUGCCCUUACACGUUUGGUAACUCUAUGUCCAGGACCCAUCUAGUUAUUAUUAAAAAUAUACAUUAGAGUUUAUUAAUAGCCAAUAUAAAAAUGAAUCAAGAUAACUAUAAUUUUGUCAAAAAAAUUAUAACAUGAAAGAUUUUUUAAUAAAAUUUUCAUAUUCAAUCAAUAAUAACCACUUUACUUGUAUUCUUCAGAAUAUCUCACAGGCACUUAUAAAAAUUUUAACCAUUAAUUCACAUUUUUAAACAAGAACUAACUAAAACUAAACAAGAGAGUAUAACACGAACAAAACAAAAAAGAUAAAAAUAAGUUAAAAGACAACCAUGCAUGAAGGAGUGAAAGGCGACAAGUCAAUUUGAUUGCUCAAGAAUUCCUUAAGAAUACUUAGCUGCAUGAAAGAAAGAUAUCAGAGUUAGAAUAUAAAAGUUAGUAAACCAAUAAAUUAAUUUCAUAUAAAAUAAUAAUACAAGAAAACUUAUAUAUAUAUAUAUAUAUAAUACAACAAAGAAAACAUGAAUGCUUACAUUUGAAGCUUGUAAUAAAGCAUUACACAUGUGAUUACAUGUCAAUAUCGCUAUCAUCAUAAUCCUUAUUUAACUCUUCUUCACUGCUGGAGAAAUAUUCCUCCAUUGUUUCAUCUUCAUCUUCUUCUUCAACAAGUUUGAAAUUAUCUGCAUCAUUAUCUCUUGCCCUUUCAACAUACACAUGUGAUGAAAUUACUUGUGGAUCAACAUUAUUUAUAUUAUACAAUUGUGCAUUAGCGUGUUCAAGUUGUACCGAGAGAACAAAGUCAGAUGACUCAUUUUGCUGAUACACUUGUUUAUUUGCACUCCAACUUCCAUUUUCAUUUUCAUUUAAGCUUUCUUUCUCUUGAACAUCCCACAAACCCCUAUGCUGCACCUUUUCUACAACCUUCCAGCCUACUCCUAACUUUGAUUGAUAGAAGUAAGGUGGUAAUCACGAUUAAUUCUUUUUUUUUCCUAAGAUUAGUGUCAAACCAAUCACACUUAAAUAGAAUUACUCGAUAUCCAAGAAGAUAUAUUAAUUCUAUAACAUUACUGAGUACACCAUAAAAGUCAAUUUCUUCAUUAUCAUGCUCCCUUGGCACCAUUACUCCACUAUUUUGAGUAGUACGAUGCUCAUCUCGACUUGUGACAAGAAAUCGCACUCUAUUUACAAUACAACCAGAAUAACUAAAAACUAUAACAUCUGGUCCACAAGUUAAAGCAUAUAGUUCAUCAUUUAUUGUUAAAGAUCCCUCAUCUCGUAAUUGUCUCAUCUAUAAAGCAUAAAUUAAUUUAUUACAAGCUUGUUAUAAUGGAGUUAAAAAAAACUAAUUAAUUUGACAACUAUAAUUACUUACAUGUGCUGCAAGCCACUUAGGAAAAAGUAAUUGUUGUCUUUUAUUUAAAUUAGCACCACUUUCUCUUUGUAAUAGCCGUUUGUGCUCACUAUAAUUUGAACAAAUAUAUUAUGAUAUGUUAUAUAUAAAUAUAUUUAUAUAAAUUAAAUAAAAUGACUAAUAUAUUUUAUGCUUACUCUAGGUAUUCUUGGACUUCAUCAUAGUUGUUCAAAACAUACCAAUGUGCAAUGUUGAUCUCUCGUUGUGAUAACUCAAUUUGAGAUUUACCAAAAGGUCGAACAUUCUGAGAGAAGACUGAAAGUCCUCUACUCUUUGUCCACCAUCAUCAUUAUGCUCAACACGAUUAAAUUUGGUUUCAAUAGAAUCUAAAUAUAAUGAAAAAAAAGACAAAGAUUCAUUUAUGAUAUAGGCCUCGGCAAUCGAUCCUUCAGGUCGAGCUUUAUUCUUUACAUAGCUCUGAUAUCGGCCUAAAGCGCCCUGUUCAACAACAAAUGAUUAAAUUUAAAAAAGUGACUUGUGAAUGUAAUGUAAAUAUAAUAAAAAUAUUAUAAUCAAAUAAUGUGAUUACCUUUCAAUUGGGUACAUCUAUCUUAAUGCAACAGGACCGACAUAUUUUGCUUCACGUGGUAAGUGCACAGCCAAAUGCAUCAUUAUGUCAAAGAAUGCAGGUGAGAAAUUUUGCUUAAGCUUGCAAAGUAUCAAUACAAUCCCCUCUAAUUUAUCUAACUCACUCUUAUAUAAUGUUUUUUAAUACAGUUGUCUAAAAAAGUUACAAAGUUCAAUAAUGACUGAGCAAAUAUCUUUAUGUAAAUAUAAACGUAUUCCAAUUGGAAGGAUUUAUUGUAACAAAACAUUACAAUCAUGGCUUUUUAAACCUAAUACUUUUGCAUCCUUGAUGUUGACACAAUUGGAUAUAUUUGCAGCAUAACCAUCUGGAAACUUCACUAACUUCAGAAAUUGACAAAAUUCUCUUCUUUCAUUUAAAGUCAGUGUGUAUGAAGCAUGAGGUUUUGAAAGUUUGUUUCCUUCUAGUUUUAGAUGCAACUCUUUCCUUAUGUUCAAAUCCUCUAAGUCAAGCCUUGCUUUAACAAUAUCUUUAGUUUUCCCCUCAAUAUUCAAUAAGGUUCCAACUAAAAUAUCACAUUUAUUUUUCUCAAUAUGCAUAACAUCCAAAAAUGUCUUAUUUUCAACUUGGACCAAUACUCCAACUCAUAAAAUAUGCUCUUCUUUGUCCAAUUUAAAUCAUUUGUACUACGUUUCUGCUUUCUAUCUUUGUUAUUUUCAUUUUUUUCAGGCCUAGCUUCAUUUAUCUUCUCUAAUUGCCUUAGAAUGUCAUCUCCUGAAUACUCCGUAGGUGCUGGAUCAAAUUCAAAAUCACCAUCAUGUUCUCUAUUAGCUCUCCAUGAAUGACCAUACGACAAAUAUCGACGAUGACCCAUGUAACAUAUCUUACUAUUCAACUUUCGCAAAGAUGUUUCUACAUUACAAACCAGGCAAGCCUUAUAACCUUUAGUGCUCCAUCCAGAUAAAUUUCCAUGUGCAGGAAAAUCAUUAAUAGUCCACAUUACUGUAGCAUGCAUACGAAAUGUUUGUCCAGUGGGCACAUCAAAGGUUUCAACACUAUGAUUCCACAACUCUUUUAAUUCAUCUGUUAAUGGCCUUAUGUAAACAUCAAUAUCCUUACCUGGUGUUUUUGGUCCUGGGAUGAGUAGCGACAUCAUCAUGAAUGGAUCUUUCAUGCAUUUCCAUGGUGGUAAAUUACAUGGCAUAAGUACGACUGGCCACAUACUAUAAGAAUUAUGCAUGUCACUAAAAGGAUUGAAGCCAUUUGUUGCAAGAUCCAUCCUGACAUUACGAGGCUCUUGUGCGAACCAAGGAUAUAACCUAUUAAAUUCUUUCCAUGCUUCCCCAUCAGCAGGAUUUCUUAAAAUACCUUCCACAGCAACUCUCUUCUCGUGGUGCCACCUCAUAUCUCUUGCUGUAUGCCGAGAUAUAAAUAAUCUUUGUAACCUUGGUUUUAAAGGGAAAUAACGUAACACUUUUUGCGGUACUUUCUUUUUACUGCCUUCAAACUUAUACCUCGGUUCCCCACAAUGUAGACACUUUUCUAAUGCCUCAUAUUCUUUCCAAAAUAAGCACAAUCAUACUUACAUGCAUGUACGACUUCAUACCCUAAGCCUAAGUCCUUUAGAAUUUUUUUUGCAUCAUAAGUAGUACUUGGUAGUAUUGUGCCUUCUGGGAAUGCCUCUUUCAACAAUUGGAGAAUCAUAUCUGUUGCUUUGUUGCUCAAUCUACUAAGAACUUUUAUAUGCAUUAACUUGACAAUAAAACUCAAAGUAGAUAUCUUGGAACUAGGAAACAAACUUUUCCCAGCCUUUUCUAACAAUCCUGCACACAUUCUAAAUUCUCUAUUAUCAUCAUGUGUUAGGUCAAUAUUCUCUUCAAUAUUUGUCUCCGAAGUGAAUGCAUCCAUUAAUGUUGGCUCACACAUAUCAUGAAUUAAAUUAUACAUUUCAUCAUCAUCCUCUUCAUUGUCAAAUGUAAAGUCACUCCUGCUACUGGGCAUAGAUCCUGCAUUCAUUUGAUUAUUGUCCACAAACUCAGGUUCUUCACCAUGAAAAACCCAUUUUGUAUAGCUUUCUGCAAUGCCAUAUCUUUUUAAGUGGGCUUUGACAAUAUGCAAUGACUUCAAGAAUGCAUUUUGACAUUUUUUACAUGGACAACGAACAAGAUUAUUCUCAUUUACACAUUGCUCAACAACCUUCAUAAAAGACUUGAUACCAUCUAAGUAUUCUUUACAUAAUUUAUUUCGCAAACGCAUCCAACUCCUAUCCAUUGUUCACUGCUAGGUACUAUAAAUUAAUAUAUGUAGGGAACAAAAGCAAGACAAAAAUAAAAGAAUUUUACAUAAUAAUGUGGACAAAUCUUUUAAAAAAAUGAAUUGUACCUGAAAGCUGAAGGUAAUAAAUAGAAUUCAAUUGAUUCUUCAAGUUUUUGUUCUCAGCAAAGACGGAACUCCCAAACAAUUAAGUCGCCUGUGAAAUAGAGUUAAAAAUUCAAAAAAAUAUUGAGAGAAGAUUGAGAAAGAAUAUAACCCGCAAGUUUUAUUUUAUUAUUGCAGUAUAUAAUAAUUCUUUAGAUGAAUUAACAGCAAAUAGAGAUAAAAAUAUCCAUUAUAUUUAAUUUAACAAAUUAAAAAUUGAAACAAAGACCCACUUAAUAAAUAAUUAAAGCAAAACCCACUAAACAAAGUCAAACUCAGCAGGCCAAUAUAUAAAAUAAUACUAAAUUUACUUGAAGAAAUCAAGUGGGGAAGAAACAAUUAUUUACAAAUACCUCGAAAUAGAACUUUUCUUGAGCGGUGCCUUCCAAGUACAACUCUUUAGUAGUUUAAAGCUUGGGCAGAGAGAAGAACUCCAUGGCUGGGCAAAAGAAAGAAGCGAGUGUAAAGUGGAAAUAUUCUAGAAGCAAUAUUUUUAAUUAAGAAAAAUUGGAGAUGGAAACUUUACUUCCGUUGGCGCGCGGUUCAUUAAAUAAAGCACGUGGAAAUAAAAAGCCUCCCACAAAGUCAUGUUGGCUUUUAUAUUAUCUUUAUAUUUUUAUUUAUUUAUUUUAGCCUACGUGUUAUUUUAGUAAUUUUUUAAUUUAUAGAAAUCUCCCCAAUCUUUAUAUAUAGCUGGUUAGGUGUUGUGUUCAAUCAAUAUUCAAUAAUACACUUUCAACUUGUUAAUUGAUUUUUUUUCUUAAUACUAGUUUUAGUACUUUCCAAUAAUAAUUUAUUGAAGAUCUUUUUUAUCCACUAAUAAAUUAUACUUACUAGUAAAAUUGAAUUAAUCCAAUUUACUAACUUGCUAAUACACACACACCCCACUAAGUAAUUUAUUUAGUAGUCUAAUAAAAUUGAUGUAAUUAGUAAUGAUUCUUCAUCCAUUUAAUUUCCUCUUGCUUGUACUGAAUGAUAUUACAUUGAAAAGAAUGUGUUGUUACAAUGUAUCUAAGGGGCUAAUUGUCAUAUUCCUUCAACUUUAUGCCUAUUGAAUCCAAUAGAGAUUAUAAUAAUUAUUUAUCUUAAGAGGGAAAUUUUGAAUAAUGUUAGGGAUCUCAAUAUUUUAAAUCUCAAUUUGUAUCUCUAUUAAUGUCGUAUUCAUUUAUUGAACAGUAUAAUAACAAUUUUACUAGCAAUUAAAUUUAUAGUCUAAUAAAUGAAUAGUACAUAUAGUCAAGUUACAAUUGGGAUCCAAAUUAAUAUUGAGAUCUCUAGUAUUAUCUAAUUUAUAUAUAUGUCUAUAUUGGAAUUAUUAUCAUCAACACUACUAUGACCAUUAUUCAUACUUCAAUUCAUUAUUAUGAUCAAUAUUAUUACUAAUUGUAAUUUUUAUACGCUAUUAUCAUUGAUUUCUUUUUUAAAUAAGUAAAUCAAUGUUUUUCUUACAUUUAAUGUCAUCAUUUUAAAUUUUGUAUAAAAUAUUAUUAUAAACCUUAUUACCUAAAAAGUAAAAAUUUGGAAUCAUAAUUAAAACAAUUUCACAAUAUAUCAAGAUGUGUCAAAAGAGGAAUAUGGUUGCUGACAAGAAAUACUAUACUAAUUAUAGUGAAACAUGAGGAUAUAAUGGUGCCACAUAAUAGUUAUUAAACAUCAUAUAGAACUUAGUGCAAUAGUUUGCUAUUGUCAAUAUUGAAAAAUUUAAUAUUUUUGUUAACCUUUGCGGAACAAAAUUAAUCUCGUUGCAAAAAAUUCUAAAGGAGCACAAAACAAAUUUUCUCGCUAAUCACAACUUUUUACAAUAUUUUAUUUGUUACAACUGAUUCAAGUGUUUGUUGUGGAAAAAUUUUAGCAACGAAACAAAUUUUGCUUUCAUUAAGCUUGUUAGGCAACAAGAACACUUUUGUCGCCAAAAAUAACGUAUGGCAACAAAAUAUUUUGCUGCCAUAUAAUCUAAUUUUCUCACCUAUUCCACAUCAUUAAGAAGAACAAAAUAUGUUUAACUAUAGCGAUAAAGACUAAUUUUUAUUGCAAGACAUAAAUUUUAGCAAUAAAGUAAGUUUUGUUACAAUAGAAUUUCUAGCCAAUAGUGUAUUUUCUUGUAGUGUCUUGUAGAAAAUUCUUCAUCCACAAAGUUUCUUUGCAACUUUCGGUGAUUGCAAUAUACUCUGCUUCUGUGGUAAACAAAGCAACACAGCUGAAGUCUGGACUACCAUGAAACUGCUCCCCAUGCAAAUGUGAGCAAAUAUCCCAAUAGGGACUUUCUGGAAUCAACAUCUCCUGUCAUAUUUGCAUCAGUGUACACUUCUAACACAGGUUUGUUACCACCAAAACAUAAACAUGCCUUGGAAGUGCCUCUGAGAUAUCUGAGAAUCUACUUUACUACUGUCCAGUAUUCUUUGCUUGGAUUAAAGAGAAAUCGGCUGACUACACUAACUGCACGUGCAAUAUCUGGUCUUGUACAAACCAUGACGCACAUCAAACUACCAACUGCUGAAGCAUAAGGAACUCUUCUCAUCUCUUGCUUCUCUUUCUCACUUAUAGGACAAUGCUCGGAACUAAGAUUGAAAUGGCCUACAAGUGGAGAACAAAUAGAUUUUCCCUUAUUCAUGUUAAAUCUUUCAAGAACCUUUUCAACAUAUGCUUCCUGAGAUAACCAUAAUUUCCCAGUCUUUCUAUCACGGGAAAUUUUCAUGCCAAGAAUCUGUUUUCCCGAUCCCAAGUCGUUCAUUACAAAAGACUUACUAAACUCUCUCUUGAGAUUGUUAAUCUUACUAGCAUCCUUGCCAAUAAUCAACAUGUCAUCCACAUAAAGCAAAAGAAUAAUAAAAUCAUUAUUACCAAACUUCUUCACAAAAACACAAUGGUCAGACAUAGUCUUGCUGAAACCAUGAUUCUCUAUAAAAGAAUCAAACUUUUUAUACCACUAUCUUGGUGCCUGUUUCAGCCUAUACAAACUUUUCUUCAAUUUGCACACAAGUUCUUCUUUACCUUUGACACUGAACCCUUCAGGUUACUCUAUAUAUAUUUCUUCCUCUAAGUCACCGUGUAAGAAAGUUGUCUUUAAGUCGAGUUGUUCAAUUUCCAAAUCCAAGCUGGUUGCUAAUCUCAGAACUACUCGGAUAGAAGACAUCUUCACCAUAGGAGAAAUAUUUCCUCAAAAUCAACAUAUUUCUUCUGACCGAAACCCUUUAACACCAAUCUAGCCUUGUACCGCUAUUGUGAGUUAUUUUCAGUCUCAACCUAUAAACUCAUUUGUUCUUCAGUGCCAUCUUUCCCUUAGGCAGCUUCACUAAAUCAUAAGUGUGAUUUUCAUUCAAGGAUCCCAUCUCUUCUUGCAUGACUUUAACUCACUCACUUUUGUGCUGAUGAGAUAUAGCUUCUUCAAAACAUUCUGGCUCUCCUCUGUCUAUAAGCAUCACAUACUCAUGUGGAGGAUAUCUGGUGGAAAGUCGUCAUUCUCUGGUGGAAAGUCGUCAUUCUUUAGUGAACCUUCUCAAUUCUGACUCAACUGGUGGUGCUAGUGAUUCUGGAGGUGCUUGCUCAACUAGUUCUGCUGGACCAUCAUCAUUAUCCUCUCCAGUUCCCCCAUGAUCAUCAUGAACAACAAGUGUAGAAAUUGAAGUUGGAAUAAUAUGAAUCUUUGGAGAUGACUGAGACUCAUCGUUUUUCUCUUCAUCACUAACUGUCUGAUCUUCAAGAAAUACAACAUCUCUAUUUCUUAUUAGUUUUCUUGCCACUGGAUCCCAUAAUAUGUACCCAAAUUCUUCAUGUCCAUAGCCUAAGAAAAUACAUUCCUUAGCUUUAUCAUCAAGCUUCGAUCUCUCAUCUUUAGGGAUGUGAACAUAUGCUUUGUACCCAAACACUCUCAAGUGUUUAUAAGAAACAUCUUUACCAGUCCAAACUCUCUCAAGUACAUCUCCUUCUAAUAGAACUGAAGGAGAAUGGUUAAUCAAAUCAACUGCAGUACGCAUAGCCUCUGCCUAGAAUGAUUUAGGAAACUUGGCAUUAGAAAGCAUACAUCUGAUUAUUUCUUCAAUUGUUUUAUUCAUCCUUUCUACAGCACUAUUCUGCUGAGGGAUUUUUGGUACAGUCUUCUUAAGUCUGAUUCCAUGGGAUCUGCAAUAUUGCUCAAAUGGUCCUCUGUACUUACUACCAUUAUUUGCCCUAACACAUUUUAAUUUUCUUCAUGUCCCUCUCUCAACAUAAGUAUGGAAGAACUUAAACAUAUCAAGCACCUGAUCUUUAGAUUUCAAAGCAAAAGCCUACACUUUCCUUGAAUAGUCAUCAAUAAAAGUUACAAAGUAAAGUGCACCUCCUAUUGAUCUACUUUGUAUUAUACAAACAUUGGUAUAAAUCAAAUCAAUGAUUUACGACUUUUUAGAUAGAGAAAAGCUUUCAAAAGCUACUCUGUGUGUCUUCCCAGCUAAACAAUGAACACAAGUCUUGAGGGACGUACCUGUAAAACUUGGUAGAAAUCUUUUUCUAGCAAGAGUUUUUAACCCUUUCUCACUGAUGUGACCAAGCCUUUUAUGCCAUGUCUCAAUGUCAGAAUCUUUUACAGCCACAUUCACAUUUUCUUUCUUGAUUUUGGCUUCUAUUACGUAGAGAGUGUUCAUUUUAUUUCCUUUAGCUAGCACUAGAGAACCUUUGGUGAGCUUUUAUUUUCCUUCACCAAAUUGAUUAGUAUAACCAUCAUCAUCAAGUUUUCCGUGGAGAUCAAAUUAAGACGAAUAUAUGGUACAUGUCAAACAUCUUUAAGGAGUAACUUACAACCAACACUAGUUUCCAAGCAAAUAUCUCCCAUGCCCAAAAUCUUAGAUGCCCCCUCAUUUCACAUCCGAACAUGGCCAUAAUCACCAUUAACAUAGAAUGUGAAGUAAUCACGAUGUGCAGUAACAUGAAACGAAACACCCGAAACAAUCACUGUUAUGGCAAGUGAGAUUUAUAGAGUUAUCAUAAAAAACAAUACCCAUAUCACCAUCAACUACAAUUGCAGUAUUCUCCUUGUCAUUUUUCUGACCAUCGCCUUUUUCUUUUGCCUGUUCUCUUUUCCAUAAUCUACACUCUCUUUUAACAUGACCCAUUUUCUGACAGUGAAAGCACUUCAUGUUUCUCCUCUAGGACUUAGAUCUUCCUCUAGGAUUAUCAUUAUUCUGCUGACGGAAAUUUCUACUUUGACUUCUCCCCCAUCUUUCUUGGUUAUGAAACAAGUGCAGCUGACUUAAAGGGAAUUACUUCAACAAUAUUUCUUCGAGAUUCUUUAUUUCGCAGUCUAUCUGUAACCAUAUCCAAGGUUAAUUUAUCAUUCGGCACUGAAUUAUUCACUGACACCACUAAUAUUUCCCAUUUGUCAGGCAAAGAACUAAGCAAUAACAGUGCUUGUAACUCAUCAUCUAGAAUGAUCUUCAUAGUAGUCAACUUAUCAACCAAGCCCUGAAACUCACUAAUGUGUUCAGUUAUACUACGACCCUCCUUAUAUUUCAAGUUGACAAGCCUUUUCAUCAGAUUGGCUUUAUUUUGUGCAGUUGGCUGCUCAUAAAUUUUUUCUAAUUUUCUCCAAAGAACAUCAACCUUAGAUUCUUUUGAGACAUGAUGGUACACACUCUUAUCAUUCCAUGACCUAAUAGUACCCACAACCUUCUGGUUCAAUUGAACCCAUUUCUUAUCAUCUAUAUCAGCAGGUUUAGCUUCAUCACCUUUAAUAGGUUCAUGUAAGUUUUUCAUGUAGAGCAAAUCUUCCAUUCUAGACUUCCAAAUACCAUAAUUCCACAACUUCAAUUUAAUCAUGAAGGUCGAAAACUCCUCCAUCUCAACCACACAAGUAAUAAAAACACACAACCUGACUCUGAUACCACUCUAUUGGGAAAGGGACUACCACAAGCAGCUAAAAUUAAGCGGAACAAAACUCUUUCUCUUUUUGUGUGAUUAAAAUAGGAUGUGUACCACAAAUAAAUAUGUAGAAAAGUAAAUCAAUAAAUCCAAAGUAAAAACCAACCACAAGAGACACCGAUUUGUACGUGAAAAACCUAAAGUGGGAAAAAUCGUAGGACUGUAGUCCGAUAUAAACUUCCAUUAUAUCAAUGAGAUUACAACAUAAAUUCUUCUCCAGAUAACACUAGAGGUUAACAAUAUCAAGAUUCUCAAUAAUCUUGACUUACAAUAAUAGAUCUGAAAUCUAUUUCUCCAAUAAGUAAAUAUAUCAAAUAAUAGUUAUAACGAGAAUAAAAUACAGAUCAACACUAGUAGAAAUGUAAAGAGUGAUGUCAAGAACUUACCCUCCAAAUUUGGGAUAAAUCAGAGCUAAAAUCACCUUUCAAUCGUUAAAUUAAAUAUUGAAAUCCCCAAAGGAAACUUUCUGUCUCACAGCGUCUUUUUUCUUCGCGAAAGGGCUACAGUUCUCGCGAUUCUUCACUUAUUUCCUUUAUAUAUUUUUUGAUUAAUUUCAUCCAACUCCAAAAGUUUGCAAUAAUUACACAUCAAGCAAAUUAUUUUGGACUUUAGGCAUUUUGGUCCAGCGAAGUGAGAUGGACCCUACACCUAUGUUGCUGCCAUGGCUUGACACAAGGCCUCAAGCUAAGCCUUCGCAUUGGCUCUUAUUACUUACAGCGGUGAUAAAACUCCCUAACUAGAAAAGCCUAACGUCUCGUCGACUGAGUAACUAAGUCUGUCAUAACCUCCCCCUUACAUAGCCAUAAUAAAGCAUGUGCUUCUUUUUCCUUAGCAUAUGCCAGCAUGCCAACAUUAGGUUCACUAUGCACCCGUUGUGACAUCUUUAAGUCCCUCAUAUGUUUUUCCCAUAUAAAACCAUUUGCUACCCGCAACAUGAUCAAAUACCAAUAGCUUCUCCACCAGUCAUCUUGCCUAGGGAUGGAAAUGGGCAUCGCCCGCAUCGGUUUGCUAUUGUCAAACUCGUACUUGCACAAAAUUUAAAUUACCAAACCCGCACUCGCACUUGCUGUGGGUUUUAAGUUUUUAAGAAAAUCCACCCGUUGUGGGUUUUUACAAUUACCAAAUCUGUAAUGGUACCCAACGGAUUUUUUGUGGGUUCUUACAUUUAAAAUCACAAAUGUUUAAUAUGUAAAUUUAUAUUGAUAACCUAAAAUUCCACAUAACAUACUUAAUUCUAAAUUUAAUCAACAUAAAUAGAAAAUUAAAAUUUCAACAUUAAUCCAAUACAAAUUCUCAAAUUUAAGAAUGAAAUAUAUAAAUCCAUAUAAAAAAAACACACACAAAUGCUAUGAAAAAUUCAUAAGUGUGUGGCUGUGGUUCAUGGGUGAAAGGGGAAUGGGUGUGCGGCUACUGCUCACGGGUGAAAGGGGAAUAGUUUGGAAAGUUAGGUUUUGCGACUAUUGCUCACAAGUAAAAAUGAAAUAGUUUGGGUUUCCUUUAGGUUAAGUUAUGAGUUGCAACUUACGCACACCACACGUGAUAUGCUUACACUUUAUAUUUAUUUAAUUUAUAUAUUUUUUGAUUUAAUUAUUUUUUCAAUUAAAAUUUUUGAAAAAUGAAUUAUUUUAAGAUUUAAAAGUGAUUUAAAAAAUUAAAAAUUAAUUUUAGUGUGUAGUGAAUUUUUAUAAAAUUCUCUUUUGGUUUUUCAAAAUUAUCUUGAAAAUUGUUAUUUUAAUUAUCAGUUGUUAUAUAUACACAAUUAAAAAUAGUAUAUACACAAGUUUAUAAACAUAUAAAUAAAUUUUAUUCAAUAUUAUAUCUAUUUCAGUCAUUUAAAUACUUAUAACAUUUUAACAGUAAAAUUUACCAAAUACAUACGACUGCUUUUAAAACUCAUAGUAUUUCAUAAAUAAAUAUUACUAAAUAAUUUAAUUGAUUCUCUUCACAAUUGAUUAUUUAUACAAAAUAACUAAUAAAAAUUAUUUUAAAAAUUAUAAUAUUACUAAACUGACCUUUAAUAUACAAUUAAAUCCAACUGAUGUCUAGGAGGCCUUUAUAAAAGAUGUACAAUUAAUUAAAAAGUUUAUACAUUUUUUUUUAGAUAAAAAAUAAGAUUCUUCCUUGCAAAAGAUAGUUUAUAAAAUAUUUUAUAAUUUUUCAGUAGUAUUAUUUAAAAAAUCUUCUAUAAACAUGUUUUUUAUUUCUUUUUCAACACUCACAUGUUUAAGUCGUAACCAUCCAUUAAAGAUAAAUAUCGAUCUAUUUGUAUUUAAUUAUUAACAAUUAAAUGUACCUUGAUUGGACUAUGACAAUGAUACGUUGCCUGCACAGCAUUCACGUAACCCUUUUUUUUUUUUUUUUAUCAUUUUCUUUGUACAGUUUCGUUAUUCAAACUCCAUCAAAUAAAUCAAAUUCAUAAUAUAUAAUAUCUUCCUUAAAUUUUAUUUCAAUCAACUGUAUAUACAUGUUUUGUUGCCCAUAAAUUUCGAAGUAAAUAUUAUGUCUCUAGGCACUGUUUUAGCACUGGGAAUAAAACAAAAUUAUCAAUGAGGUUGUCAGUUAUUGGAUAAGGCUGCAGUCCUAGUCCAUCACUAGAAUUUGAAAUUUGGUUGCAGUGGAUUACAAAAAUAUUUGGGAUUUUACGAUUGGGGUUAAGUAACCUAUCUUUAAUAAAUGUUUAAGUUUAACAUCACAUGUUCACUAAACAAAUCUUAACAAAUGGGCUGGUUUUUAUCCAAUUGUUCCUGCUACACUUGGCGACUUUAGAAUACGUUUCUUGUCCAAUCAAUUUUGAUUACUCGCGGUUAUCCGCAAUUAGUAGCUUUUUGGUGUACAAUUUAAAAUCUAAAAAAAUCCGGAGGAGUUUUAAAAUAAUAGGAUUUAAUAAUAUUAUAAAAUUUUAAUUUUUUUAAAAUUUUCAACACUUUAAAAUUUUAAAUUAGAAAAUUUCUAUUGGCCAUAAUAUAACCAGACCCCUACUCUUGUUUAUACAUUUUUACUGCUCGUUUUCUAUGACUUUUCAAAUGUUGAAUAGGGUUUCUUCUAAUAUGAAAACUCUUUGAAGUACAUCUUUAAUGGUUUGUAGCUUGCGUGGGCAUACAUUUUCAAUAAUUAAAGAAAUUAUGUUUGUUCAAAGAAAUUCUUGUCUAAUUUUAUCUAAUAAAUUGUUACUUAGCUAAUUAAAAAUGUUAAAUUGCUAAAAAUCCUAAUACUCUCAAAUAUGUCGUAAUCAAGGUAAGAUGACAUAUUAUUAUUUUCUUUUACACUAUGACAAUCAAUAAGAAUUUUUUUAGUUGACGUGUCUAUUUUUUCUUUCAUGUCUUAAUUGUAUCAUGCCAAAUUUGAAUCACUUUAGACUCAAUUCAUUUAUUAGUUGUGUUAAAACUUUUUCAAAUACUAAUACUCGUAAAUGAUCGAUUCACCCAUUUAAUAUAAUUUUAAUAUUUACUACUAAAAUCCCUUAUUUUAAAAGUUUUUACUGUAUUUUAAAAUUAUUUAUUGUAUGUACAAAUAUUUGUAGUACUAAAUACCCUAACUCUAAUCAAUUUUAUUUUUAAAUUUAUUUCAAUAAUUUUUAGGGAAAAUAUUGUUAUAUAACCAAAGUUAGAGAAAAUGGUCAUAUAGAUCCCCAUGUUUUAUAUAAGGGACAACAAAACACUCUUUUAACUAUAAUAUUCUUUGUAAAUAGUAACUAAAAAAAUUGAUUUUAAAAUUUUUUUAUAAAUAGAAAAUAUACAAAUAUAUUUUUUAAUAUAUACACUAAGUUUUAAAAUGUAAAUUAUCAUAUUUAUUCUAAUAAUAUAUUUGUAUUUAAUAUAAAAAAAUUAAAUAAAUCUUUAGGUUAAAUAUAUUUUACAAUUAAUAAAAUACAUUUCAUGUAUUAAUAAUAUGAAGAUUAUUUUAUAUUAUAUUGAAAAGAAUUUAAAUUUUUAUAUGUUUAUAUUUUAUAUUCUGUUUUCGUUUAUUAUAAAACUUAGUUUAAUAUAAUAUAAGAUUGUAAAGGAUUAAAAUAUUUUUUAAAUAUUAAAAUUAUUUUAAAAGGUAUAUAUUGUCAUUCAUUUUAAUAUUAUAUUUUCAUGUAUUAUAAAACAUUGGAAUUAAUUUCUUUAAAUUAAUAGAGCCAAAUGAUAUUAUAAUUAAAAGAGGUAUCGGUGUCUUUUAUUGAAAAUUUGAGGAGUUUACAUGACCGUUCUCUAAUUUUUAAAGUAUGAUGAAUAUAUAACAAAAUUUUAUUGAAAUGAAACGUAAAUGAGUAUAACAAGAAUACGUGAAUUGUUAAUCGUAUUGAAAACUCUAAAUUCAAACUUGAUAAUUGUCAAUCUAAAUGCUAACUUAUUUAAUAAUUAGGUCGAUUUUUAAUUAUUAUAAAUUUAUUAUUUCGUGUCAAGUUCCUAUCAAAUUCGUCCAUCAUGUCAAAAGUUGUUACCUCAAAUAAAAAUAAGUAAAUACAUUUAGGAACAUGUCACGUCUUUCUAUUUUCCCAUCGACAAAAAAUCUGAUGAGAAAUUUUUUCACCAACUUUGAUAUUGUCUUAUAUCCACUAUGUUUCCCAAAUCAUAUUUUUAUCUUGAUUCCAACUCUUGGUUAUUUUACUAUAUAUAAAAAAAAAAAAAGAGAAAAAAACUCUGGAUUAUUUUAAUAGACAAACAAUCUUGAAUGUAGAUAAUAAGAAAUUAACAAUGCUAUCCCGCGAAUUUCACCCUCUAAUCAACAAGUGCAUCCUCAAUAUUAAAAUUUGCACGUUUGCUUAGAGAAUACUUAAAAAGAAAAAAAAAUAAAUUGAAAUUAAAUAUUGAUGGUCAAAUUUGGACCAUGAAGCUAAAUUAUUGCUUAAUAACAAUCCAAUAAUUGCACAAAAAAUUAGAAAUUUUAGUACCAUCAUUUAAAAUAGAUUUUCCGUUUAUCGAAUCAAAAACCUGUACAAAUACUAUAUUAAUUUUUUAGAUAGUAAAUAAAUUUUUGGGUUUAUAUUUAGAAAACAAUUUAAAAAGAGAAAAUUAUUAAUAUUGUUAUUAAUAAGUUUUAUCGAUUAUUUUUUGUUAUACAUCACCAAACGUAUUUUAAGACAUAAUAUCAAUUAUCUACAAGAUCAUCAUAAACAAUUUAUUUUCUCUAUAAUUAUUAAUGAGGUCAGAAUUAUAAAUCAUUGAACAAAAUCAGGAAAUAUCCCACGUGGAAUUUAUUAAAAAACCAGAAAUUAAAAUAUUUAAAUAUUAUUGAAUCGUGCUUGGAAACUCAGUCUACACGCUGUCUCCUUCCAUGCAUAAAAUUCAAAGUCAGUUGAAGUUUCUAAUGUCCAGGUUCAAAUAUACCCCCAACAUUGUACAAAACUACAGCUAACAUAUAUUGGUACAACCGUAAAUUAGGCGAACGAAGAUGAGGAUAUUUUCGCCACAAAAAAACCUCACCGGUUUCCAUCUCUGGCUCUUUCUCCAUUUUCAUGUGUUAAAUGUCGCCCUUCAAAGUACAACGGUCCAAUUUUCUCUCUGACUUUCUUUUUUAUUUAUUUAUUUUCUUAUUCUGUUUCUUUUUUUUUUCAAUUAAUUUCUCUCCGAACAAACAAAACCCUUAAAACCCCCAUUUGAAUUAAUUUAUUCGAAAAUUUUAAAUUAAAAGUAAGAGAGGAGGUCGAGUUGGAGUUAGAGGUAGACGAAGAGAAAGAGAAGGUCCAAAACGACAGACAUGAUGAUUGAAACGGCAAUGGAGAUUCUGGUACCAUCGUGGUGGGAGAUUCAAGUGACGGUGGCUGCGUCGCUGUGCGUGAUCGCCUCCUAUUGGUUUUUCUUUUCUAAAACCGGAGAUUUCGGCGUUGACCGAUCGCAGCUUGUUGAGAAUUCUUCAAUUAGUGCUAUUGAUGAUAAAGACAAGGUCAAAGUAAUUUUAUUUUUUCACCUUUUUUUUCUGUUUACUUUUAAUCUUUUUGACGCUGCUGAGUUUUGAUAUAAAUGAUGAGAAUAUUUGAAGUGUUAACUUUUUUCGAGGGAUUAGCUUUGUCUGAGUGUUGAAAGAUUGAUGAAAAUGGGCCAAAAAAAAUUGAGGUGAAUUUGAUGCUUGUAUAUGAUUAGGCAAUUGGGUAGAAUAAUGAAAAGGAGUCUUUGAUUAUUUGUUAAUAGAGAAUUAUGAAUGUUCCAUUAAUUAAUAACCUCCUCUGCAAGGAAGAUUCUUGACAAUUCUAGGAGCAUGUUUGGGGUUUGAGGUACUGUGGCUUUUUAUCCGAAAGUUGCUGUUGGUUGGAAUCAGCAACUGCAAGUACAAUUUAAUUUUGGUUUGGAUAUAUUUUUUGGACUCAAGGUGCAAAGACAUUUCAUUUUUUCUACUUUAUUUUAUAGAAUAGGAAAAUUGUAAUAAAUUCAGUUUAUUUAAAAAUUAUUUAUUUUUUCUUAUAUGUAAGUUAAUUAUGAAAUGCUAUUCUAUUUCUUUUCUAGAAUACCCGAUAUUUUCUUUUCGAUGCCAAAGUGUUAAAUUUUCAUAGAGCUUAGAUCUUUGUAUCAGUAACGUGAUGGUUAUCAAUUCAUUUUGGAUAGCGGCUGUCCUCUGUUUGUUUCAUAUUUUAUACGAUUGAUAGUGCUUUUUUGAAGGAAAAUAAAUUGAGAAAGUUUCUUCCUCUUUAUUUUUUUUUUAGGGUCACUGAUCUAGUAUGUUAUUAUAGCUCCCAACUAUGAAUGAAAGUUGGGGGAAGUUUGAUCUUUGCAGAAUAAAUCAAGAAAGGGAACAUUAUUGGAUUUAUUUUUAUAUGUGCAUAUACAUUACAAUGGUCCGGAGAUUGAUACAAAUCAUCUCAUUAUUCUUUGUGGAAAAUUCUUUAGUGGAUUUUGCUUCUGUUAUCAUUUAGUUUUGGUUUAAUUUAGGUUUAUGAAAUUCAAAAAAGGUUUACGAAAAAAGAAUACACCGUCUAGGGCUUUGAUAGGUUAGUGGUUGAUAAAUAUUAUCUCUCAAGUAAAUCUGGAUAUUACCAAACUCAUAUGCCACUGUGCUUUCAAAGUUAAGCAUAAACAUAACAGCUGCAAACAUACACUAAGGCUUGUUUCAGUUUAGAAAUUGGAGGGAGGCUCGUGAUAAAUUUCCUUUCUUUCAAGGGAUAUAUCUAAUGAAUUUUAACACAUCAGGGUUGAGUUUUAUAAAGUUGUAAUGUAUAGGUGGUCGGUGAUAUUUACCCAAAUAUGAAUUGUAUUUUUAAUUUUAUGUAAUACCUGUGUGAUCUUGUAUGUGAUUGUGCAGCUUGGUGUCUAAUUCACUACAAUUAGGGAAUCUUUUUCUCUUUGAGCUUUGGUUAUUCAUUAUUUGUUUGAUUCCUAUCUUUAUAAUUUCCAUGCUGUGUAAUGUGAUUGAUGCAUGAAAAGUGACAGUUGUCUUUCAUGUUUAAUAAUAUAUUUUGGUUUUUGGUUGCCAAAAAACACAGGAAAGGGAAAGUUAUUGAUUUCUGUGUAUUACCAAUUUUGUAAUUUGGGGCCAAAAUCGUAACUAAAUUGGCCAAGUAUAUUUGUUUGUCUUAGUUUAGACCAUAGUUAUUACAAGACUCUAUGAAAUAGUGUGCUUCACUUUUUAUAGAAAGAGAAUGAAGGACAAAUCUCAAGAUAUUGGUUAGCAAGCAGAUAACAGAAUUUCUGUUCUUUCUUGCACGCGAAAAAUUUUAAGUUUGAGGCUUUACAAUCAUCUUCUUCAAUGCAGCGUGUUAUUUUUUCUUGGUUUUGCAAGUCAAGACCACAUUGCUGAAGCUGUUGAGUUUUACAUAGUCCUUUAACUUCAAGAUUGGAAUUCCAGUUUGCUGUAAUAGGCUACUCUGCGUGGCACUUGUUUCAUCCAGUAAUUUUCCACUUCUUUGACAUGCAGUUCUUCACUUAUUUUGUAGAUGGUCCAGUUUAAAGGAGACCCUCAAACCAAUUCUGCAUAUUUAAUUAAGGUAUCUUUUCUUUUUGAUCUUGUUUAUGCUUUAAUCUGGUAUAUGUGAAGCUGUAAAUGAAUUCAAUCAUCUGCAAGUUUUCAUAGGAUUAAAUAUUAUGUCUUGACCAAUGUUAUGGAAUCUCCUUUGGUUUGACAACAAGAUUUUGUUUGCCCUGUUUUUCAGUUGGAAUUGUUGGCAGCUAAGAAUCUCAUUGGUGCAAACUUAAAUGGCACAUCAGAUCCAUAUGCCAUCAUUACUUGUGGUUCAGAAAAACGAUUCAGGUUAUUUGAUCUAUCUUCUGCUUGUUCACAUUUUUCUUAAUAGGUGAUUAUUUCCAACUAAUUCGUUGAAUUUCUUUCACGAUUAGAUCUUUCAGUUCCUCAGGUUAUUAUUGUUAGAUUUCGGUGCCAUCACCAAUUUGCAUUUAUAUUUAAUUGUUAUUUGGGAACAUGAGAGAGUAUAACUGUACACUGAGGGUUUUNNNNNNNNNNNNNNNNNNNNNNNNNNNNNNNNNNNNNNNNNNNNNNNNNNNNNNNNNNNNNNNNNNNNNNNNNNNNNNNNNNNNNNNNNNNNNNNNNNNNUGCAUGCUUAAUAUAAGCUCCUCAAGUUACUUGAGAAUGAAACUUCCUGCUUGAUGUUAUACUUGAUCUGUUUGCAUCUUUAGAAAUGAAUGUGGGCAAAAGGUUCAUUUAUUAGUGGAGUGCAUGAAUAUGAAUUGUGUGCUAUUAUGUGAUUUUAAAAAAGGGAUGGGACAGUUGAAUAUUAAAAAGAAUUUGUUAGUUGAUCAAAAUCGGGAAUUGCAACUAAUUUAUUUAAGUUUUAAAUGGUAAAAUACUUUCACACUUUAGUAAAUGUCCUUUUAUUUUCUUGUGGUAAAUGUUUGGUUAGUUUUGUACUGUAUAGUUCUAACUUUAUUGUGCCUGCAGUUAUAAAAUUUCUGCUUGUGUUGUUGGUGCAGUUCAAUGGUCCCUGGUUCCAGAUAUCCAAUGUGGGGAGAGGAGUUUAAUUUUUCUGUUGAUGAGCUUCCUGUUCAGGUUCCUGUUAUGAUUCGCCAUUUUUGUUACUGUUUCUUGUUUAGGUUAAUUAUUGAUUGACUUGGUGUUUUCAGUUGCUGAAUGAUGGAGAUCAAUGUCGUGAGUCUAGUUCUGGUAAAGAUGUUUAAUGUAUAAUAGUACAAUUUAUCAAAUGCCACUAAGAGACAGCAUGAUUCUGAGCUGACUGCAUAGCCCUCGGUUUAUGCCUCGCAUGUAAAAGCUUGGCCAAUAAGUAAAAGUUUUGUUCUUUGAGAAUUUAUGCAUGCACUUGUGGUCUAAUCUCAUAAAUAUUAUUGGCAGUUCUUUGUUUCUCUUAAGACACGUACAAAAUAUUUAAAUUGUUUUGUUUAUUGUCAUUUAGUGCCCAAAAUGAGUUUGUUCCGUUACCUGAUGCAUUGAUCAAAUCCUUGGACCUAACCCAUUUUGUUUAAACGGUAUUUGAAGUAACUGGUGAAAGAAAUCUCUUCCUUUUAUAAUAUUUAUAUUUCCUUGAUGGUCCAUAAUUGUUAUAUCAGCGUGUCUCUUUUUGUGCAGUUGAUUUGUGAUUAAAAUCAACUUUUUCAUAGUGACUUGGCGCUGACUAUUGUAGUUAUGAAUGAUAUACUGAUAUGGUGUGAUGUUGUAGGGGUGGUUGGAUAGGUUUUGUAUGGAUUAUUUCGCUGCCCUUUUAUUUUUUCCUUUUGAUUUUCUUUGUGGACAACAGGUUCACUUUUGUAUUUGGUUUCUUUCUUCAAUCAAUGUAUAAUUCUCAAUUUUUUCCUAAAAUAGAAAAUCUGAUGUGUAGCGAGAGAUCCUGUGAAUUUAUACUCUUACGUAGUGAGCCAAUGAGAUGUUUUAUGGAUUUUUUUUUUUAAUUUUUGGUUGUUUCAUUCUAUAUACUAAUAGCUUUCUCUACUGCCCUGACAGAUUAUUGUUACAAUUUAUGAUUGGGAUAUAAUUUGGAAAAGUACUGUUCUUGGUUCAGUGAUUGUAACAGUUGAAAGUGAAGGCCAAACUGGUGCAGUGUGGUAUACUUUAGAUAGCCCGUCUGGGCAGGUAGUCCUCUUUUGUAAAUUGUGUAAUGUUAUUUUACUAUUUUCAUUACUUUGUUGUCGUUUUCAGUUUUCCUCAUUUUAUGUAAUAACCAACGAAAAUACCAUUUUAUCAGGUGUGUCUACAUAUUAAAACAAUUAAACUGCCUGUAAAUGCUUCCAGGUAUCUUUUGGUUCAUUUUUUUUGGUCCUUUUUUGCUUUUGUUUGUACUGUUUUCAUCUGUAUACAAUAUUUAGACCCCUACACUAAAACAUUGCCCUGUCACCGUGUAGACAGUUUUUUUUUCUUCUUUAAUUAAUCUCUGCUAGAACUUCUACCAUGAGGAAUUCUGGAAUUAUAAUUUUCUUUAAUCUUUUCAAUGUUAGGGUUGGUCAAUAAUUUUAUAACUCGUUUUAAGAAAUGUUUUCAAGAAUAUUUUCAUUGGGUGAUCUCUUGCUUCACCCUGUACAGAAAACAGUGUUUUGAAUAUUUUCUUGAUGGUUGCUAUUUUGGUGUUUUAGCAUUGGAAAGAGUAAAGGAGUGUCUGGGAUGAUUGGUUAGAAUUAGAAAGUGUAUAAAGGGGUUUUUAAAAAGGAUAAAGAGUAAAGGAGUGUUGAAAAAGGAUAAAGAUGGUUCUUUGUAUGGUUUCUCGAACUUUUCCUAUGUCUUAGAUCCUGUGUAUCUGUGUCUUUUCCUAUAAUUAUCUGAGCAGGCAAUAGCAUUGUUCUAUUUCUGAUAUUGUGUCUGACCUUGGGGUCAAGUUCUGGACAUUUCUGUUAUCUCUUGCAUCCUAUCUACAAGGUCAUCUUGAGUUUUUGGGAGAGGGAGAGAGAUUUCUGCAUUUGUAGUUGAGAAUGUGGUUUUUUGUCAACUUUUUUUUUUCUUAAUCUUCUGUAUUUAUGUUUUUUUUUUUCCCUAAAAGUAUCUGGGCAGGCAGUGACAAUGUUCAAUUUCAGAUAUUGUGUCUGGACUUGGUUUCAAGUUCUGGACAUUUCUGUUGUAUCUUGGACCCUAUCUACAAGGGGCAAUCUGGAGUUUUUCAGGAGAGGGAGAGAUAUUUCUGUAUUUAUAGUUGAAAAUGUGGUUUGUUUGUACUUUGUUCAAUAUUAUUCUGUACUGAUAGCAAACUUUUAAUUGACCUAUCUUAAAAUUUGUUUAUUUAUUUAUCAACUUCUUAUACACGAUAAAUAAGAUUAUGUCACAUUGUUUUCCCUUUUAAAUCUGUAUGAUACAGAAUGACUUGAUUACCUAUUCACUGCAAAAUUUGGUGGACUUCUGUUGUUAUCAUUGUAAUUGCUCUCAAAAGUAUGACAGAGUAUUAUCCACUGGCAGGGUAAUGAAUGGAUAUGCAGGAGCCAAUGCUCGAAGAAGGGCUUCUUUGGAUAAACAAGGGCCAACGGUGGUGCAUCAAAAACCAGGGCCUCUGCAAACAAUAUUUAAUCUCCUUCCAGAUGAGGUCAGUUGCACAGCAGUCAUGACUUGGUAGAAUUAUUUACCUACUCAGCUUUAGCAUUUAAAACCCUUGGAUUAUGGAUAUGAAUGAAUCCUUAAUUUAGUUAUUCUGCUUACAGUUUGUGGAAUUAAGUUACUCUUGUGUAAUUGAGAGGUCAUUCUUGUAUCACGGCCGUAUGUAUGUCUCUGCAUGGCACAUAUGCUUCCAUUCUAAUGCCUUUUCAAGGCAGAUGAAGGUUAGUUGGUAUUUCUUUAACCAUUUGCUAAGUUAUUUUUAACUGUUUUUUUUCUCUUAAGAAUAUUCUGAUAGUAUUUACGGCAUGCCCAUGAAGAAUCUUACUAAUUGAUUGGUAGUUGCAUGUUUUAAUGGCGUUUUGUUUGCUUUUGGCAGGUGAUUAUACCAAUUGGAGAUAUUGAUGAGGUAAUUUCUUUCAAUACUUUUUCUUUUGAAGAUAUCUAAUAGAAAAUAUUUUUUAUCCAGUGCCUACUGCCUACGGUGUGAUAAAUGAUAUGAAGUGCUUAUAUACAAAGUUUCUUUAUGUAGAUACAGAGGAGCCAGCAUGCAUUCAUUAAUCCUGCUAUAACAAUUAUUCUCCGGAUGGGUGCUGGUGGGCAUGGUGUACCUCCUUUGGGAAGUCCAGAUGGUGAGUAGCAAUUUCUUUUUUUGACAAUGCUUAAAAGGUUUGUAUAUACAUUUUUUCUUUCUUUGUUUUCCUUCAAAAUUUUCCGUAUCUGGCAGAGAAUCAUGCUUUGGGCUUGCACUUUUGAUUCUCAGCAUUUUUUCAAUUGAGUCAGCAUGCUAGUGAUAAAAUAUUUGCAAGCUUUUGAGUGCUGAUUUGGUUGAUGUAUAUGUGUGUUAUAAUCUGAAAUAUAGAUCUACUUUUAUGAUGUCACUUCUGUGUAUUGGAAUUGCUUUUUUUUUUUUUUUGGGUGGAUGAUGCCUUAAUUUGGUUGGUUAUUCAUAGCAAAUAAGCAUCUUCAUCCUGUGAUUGAUGUGUAUCAACUCUAUGUUUGACAAAUUUCUGUUUGGUAGUUUUCGCUAAAAGAUGGAAUAACACCAUUGCAGUCACAAGUGUGGGGAGAUUAUAGUUCCUUUCUGUGAGGAGUUUGGAGAUGCUAGUGUAGCAUCUAUGUUUGACAUAUUUUGCAUAGCACAGAAUUGUUUUUCAUUUUUCUGCUUCCUCAGCGGACAGCUGGUCCACUCCUUGUAAUGAUUCUUCAUCAUUAAUAUAACAUACAGUUUCUUAUAAAAAAAAAAGAGUUUGGAAAUGCUAGCGUCAGUAAGAAUGUUUACCGAAUAUCAAAGAUAGAGGAGAAAAUUAGACAUAGAGGAUAAAUUAGACACUUUUCAACUUUGUCAAAUUCGAGGAGUGAUUUAAACGAUGGAUAGAUAAUCUUCAUUUUAUCUAUUCAUUUCUUUAUUUCUUUCAUUCAAUUCUUAUAAUGAAAUUAUUCUAAGAAUUGUAUGAUUCUUGUAGUGUGUUACCUACCAUACAGGCACAUUAGAGGUUUACAGAGUUCAUUUUCAAAGUAUAUAAAGGAUAUACUGUCGAUUUUGAUCCACUGGACCGGUUGGUCUCAAGUUUGAAAUUGAUAUAUUCAGGUUUUGUAUUUUGCAAGGGAGAAAGAUAUUUUGUUAGAAAAACUGUUGAUUGUUGGUAAAAUAUAUUGUUACAUAGCAGAGUAAGGGUAUUUGUUAUUGCAGAUUCAUGGUUAAAUAUUGUUUUUAUGACAUGUAGAUAUUUAGCUUGUUUAUCGUCAAUUCAAAGUGUCUUAUGCUACAUCUGGAGUUAUAUUUAUUGAAACUUCUCCAUUUUAAUGGUUCUUUCCCUUUUGACUUUGAAGUGCUUGUUCAAACUGGAGUGGAUUAUAGGUGCUUUAUCAGAUGUGUUGACGAAGCUUUACUUUUGUGGGAGUAAUUUCAAUUGCAAACUUUGCCCUGAUUUUUAACAUGUUUUAUUUCAGCUUGCAAAUAGUAAUGAAUCAUGUCAUAGGAUUCACUUAGUAGACUUGAGUGCAUGAAGAUUCUGAAAAAGUGCCCCACUCAGUUAGAAUCUUGAUUGCAUGUAAGGUUCACCCUAAUUAUGAAUUUAGCUAACUUUCCUGUUACUUCCUUUUUUAAUUAGUUUUGUUUGUAUAAGAAUGUGUUUGAUUUCAAUAAUUGUGGUGUGGUAUUUGUGUGUCCUGAUGCAAGUUUGUAAACUGUUUCACUCUUCUUAAGUUCGAACUAUCCUUGCUUGAUAUGCUAGCAUUACAUAAUGCUGCCUCUGAAUAAUUAUUUUUCAUUGCUUUCCCUUAGGGCUUCAGUGGUUGCUCUGUAAAAAAAAUUCUGAGUCUGAUGUGCAGAUUGAUAUUUCGAUUUAAAUGAAAAGUUACAUUUAAAUACACCAGCUCUCACUUUAGAAAUUUAUGGAGUAUUCUCUGAAAAAUGCCCUUUUUAAGGUUACUGUUAUGGUUGUGUUUCAAAUGUCAUGUCGGAGUAAAACACUAGGUCAAUUUCUUGUUUGUUGAAAAUCAUGCACUUCUAUGAUGACUGGAGUGCAUUGUAAUAUAUUUGAAUAUGGACUUCCAUUUAAAACAUCUAAUUAUUGUACGAACUAAUAUCCAGUGUAUUGGCUUUCCUUGAUGGGUUUUAUUAUUACUUUUGUGUUCUGUUUAGGUUAUUGAAUGUGUUUUUUUAGAAUAGUGGAACAUCAAGUGUGAUUUGGAUGCAUUUUCAGUUUGAUCUGAGUUGUUGAGGUUUCUUUUUGGCCUUUAUCUUUCAUUUUCAGGUAGGGUCAGAUAUAAAUUUGCAUCAUUUUGGAACAGGAAUCAUGCCUUGAGACAAUUGCAACGUACUGCAAAGAACUAUCAUACAAUGUUAGAGGCUGAGAAGAAGGUUCGUUCCUAUUGCUUCAUGAAUCAUUGUGUCUGUAACUUUUAUCAUUAUUUACCUUUACAACUCUAAUCUUGGUUAUCAACCGUAUGGAUAAAAUGGUCAUUGUUUAAAAUUGUAAAGAGUUCUGACACAAAUCUCCAAGUGGUACUGAACUCCAUAAUGACUAUGGAAAUAAGUAGAUUCACAUAGUUCUUUCCAACUUGUUGAAGUUAAAAUAUGAAUGCAUGGGGUUUUAUUGUCUGGUAUUUACUAAGAGUCUUAUCAUCAAUGAGCUGUCUUUCUGAGUUCUUGAUUUAGCAAAAUAGGACUCUUAUACUGGUUUAUUAGUAAUACAAUACUUCCGGUUUAUUAGUGAUAUAAUACAGAAACAAUGUAGAUAUUAUAUUUCCUCUCUGUUGUCUAUAUGUCUCUUUUUCUCUAUUGCUGCUACUAAAACAUCUCACACACUUCUCAUGUGGCAGGAUGUACUCCUUUACUGGAGUUCAUUCACUAACAAAUCUUUUGUUGAGAAUAAAACAUACAUAUUAAAAAAAAAAACGUACAUAGUAUGAGCACAACUAUUAAUUAAUCUAAACUGCUAAGUAGUCAUGGCUUUGUCCACACAUUUUUAAGAUGCCCACAUUUAAUUAUCGCCAUAGAAAGUAGAGGUGUUCAGAAUCCAAUCCAAUCUGCUCAAUCCGUCUGAUCCACAGAAAUCCGAUCCGUAAAAGUCCAAUUCGUGGAUUGGAUUGGAUUGAAAAUUUGAAAACCCGCAAUCGGUGGAUUGAAUAUGGAUUUAUUUUUGUGAAUCUGUAAAAAUCCGCGAAUCCGCGAAAAAUAAAAAAUAUUUAUUUAAUAAAAAAUUAAACUUAUAAAUAUGACAUUAUACUUACUAAUAAAUAAAUAAAUCAAAAUUUAGUUACAUUAACACCAUAUUAUGUCUUAUCUGAUAAUAAAAUAAAAUAAAAAUAAUUAAAUAAAUAAAAAUAGCUUCCUAAGUAGUUAAUUUUCAUGUACUGAUUUAAACAAAUGAGAUUUUUUUCUUUUUGGUGUGUUAUAUUUUGAAACUCUAAAUGUAUUUUCUAACUUUAUUUAAACAAUUAAUUAAUUUAAAUCUUAUUUAAUUUUGAAUUUUGAUUGGUAGUAAAAUCAUUUUUGUAUUAAUUUUUUAUUUAAUUAGUUUGUGGAUAGGACAUGAUUAAAAAUUUUUAGCCCACAAACCAAUCCACAAAAUUGUAGAUUGGAUAUGGAUUGGGCCAAUUCCACAUCUGAUCCGCAAACGUUUGGAUUGGAUUUUGAUUGAAUUUCACCAAUCUGUGGAUUAGAUUGGAUUAAAAAUUUAUAAUCUGCAAAAUUGUGGAUCAGAUAUGGAUUGAUGUCCAAUCCACAAAAUCCAAUCCGUGAACACCCUAAUAGAAAGGCCAAAGUUCAACCAUUGUGUUCUAUUUUAGAAGUUAAAGCCAGUCUCUUUAAGUGCUGUUACUAACAUUGAAGGAAUUUUCUAUCCUGUUGUGUCAGGCAUUGAUGGUUGUCUUUCUUGUUGGAGUUGAUAGUUUUUUCAGUUUUGCUGAAACUUUUGAUAUCCGAGCUGCUACACUUACUUUGGGCAUAUGUCCUGACAAGAUACAUCUAAUCCGUUUGAAACGGGAUUUGGAUCAGAUCUUGGAUAUGUAUUUUGCUGAACUUUUUCUCUGAAUUGUAUGAUUUAUUGAAGAAAAAAGUUAAUUCGAUCUGCUUGCUGCUGUAUAGGAGAAGGCAGAAUCAGCGUUGCGUGCACAUAGUAGCUCCAUUGGAGGUAGUAGAAGGCAGGCUAAGAUUGUGGAAGAAACAGUCACCAAACCUGAAAAGCUUCAACCAUUUAUCAAAGAAGAGGUUCUUGUUGGUAUAUACAAUGUAUGCAUCAUCUUUUUUGUUCUUUCAUGGUCUAUGAAUUUUAUAGUUGUGUUAUUACCAUUAUAGAAUGCAUUAAUGUAUUUUGCAGGAUGUUUUCCCGUGCACAGCGGAACAGUUCUUUACUUUAUUGUUUAGUGAUGAUUCUAAGUUCACAAAUGAGUAUCGCGCAGCUAGAAAGGAUUCUAAUCUUGUUGUAAGUCCAAGUCCAUUUUUUGAAAUCAUAGACCCUAGAAAAUUAUUUCUUCCUUUUGUAUUCUCUAUAUUUUAUCAAUGUAGUUUUCUUUGCCAUAAAGAAAAAGAACAAAAGAGCUUCUCAUGGUAAUGCAUUUAUGAUUUAAGGAAUAUCCAUGUUGAUAUGUUAAAAAGGAUUAUGAGCUAAAUCUUUGAAGGAUGAAAAAGUACCUUCAACAUGGUGCUGAUUAUAAGUACCUAAAUUGGACAUGGAAGUUUAUAUGUUGCAUACCUGGUUUAGGCGUUGCAGCCAUUGGAAUGAGAAGGAUAAUUAAAACAUACGUUAAAUUAUAGAAAAGAAGAUUAUUAAAUUCUGGUUUUUGAUUGUUUGGAAAGGAUAUUUCCCAUUUUUCUUGUAUAUCGUUUGCAGUUAGGAUUUGCACAUUCUAGAGUUAAGGCUUAUAAGAGGCAUUAGGACUAAUGCUGAGCUGGCAGUGCUCUCCAUGAUGUCCAGGACAAUGGUUCCUCGAAAACCAAAUUAUGGAGGAAACAACAUUAUGUAUUUUCUGAUGUAGCACUUGGAAAUUUGUUUGGUUAGCACUGAGUAUUGCUUCUGUUGUCUCUAAUUAUCCUGUGUACACUGUAUGCAUUACUUGUGAAGUUGAGACGAUUAUAUUGGCCCAAUUUCUUGUUGAAUGGGCAAAUAUUGCCUCAAAAGGACUGCUCUUGUCCAUCCAAAUAGAGCUUCUGUUUGGGUUUGGGGGUUGAUAAGGGUCCUGCUAAGCAGUUUUGUUUCUGAUGAUUAUCCAUAUGGUUCACUUAUCCUUCCAUUUCCAUGUGCUUUUCCAUCUUAGAAGAAGAUUUUAUUUCUGUAGUCUGAAUGUUGGUUGGUUGAUAUAGAAAUAUUUGCUUACUAUCUCUUGCUCUAUCCAGAUGGGACAGUGGCAUGCUGCAGAUGAAUACGAUGGUCAAGUAAGAGAGGUCGCAUUUAGAUCUCUCUGUAAGAGUCCCAUCUAUCCGCGUGACACAGCCAUGACGGAGUCUCAGCAUGCAGUUUUAUCACCAGAUAAGAAAAUAUUUGUAAGGCUAUCUCUCUCAUUGCCUUAAAUUUGGCAACAUUGAUAAUGUGCUUGCAAUUUUUUUUCUUAUUUAUUAUCUAAUAGUUUAAAAAAAUUCUCUGUUAUUAUUUCUGUCUUAUUAUCUUCAAAUGGUACCUUGCUUGUUAAAAACUGACUUCAAUGAUUUUUUCUUGUAAAUUUUCGAUUAAACAUGUUUUUUCUUUUAGGUUUUUGAGACAGUCCAACAGGCACAUGACGUUCCAUUCGGGUCUUACUUUGAGGUAUGAAAUAUGUUUCUAUUUGGACAUCAUACUUUUGGUUCACAUUUCUUAUUAGGUGUCAAUGUUAAUUCAAUUAAACAAGACAAGUUAUUUCGUUUUAUUUUAUUAUGUUCAAAAAAUAAAUAAGUAGAACGUCUGAUAUAUUUAAAAUUUGUAUGGUCAUCAUUACUUUGUUUCUGUGCUAAGAUAGGUGAACCAGCAUUUUCCAAAAUAUUUUAGAAUAACGUACUUUCUGGUUGUAUUUCCUUGCUUAGAGGGUUGUAACCUGUAAGAGAAAUAUUCCACUUUGUUAAUGCAAUGUAAUUGUUCUGCUGUAUCAGAUUCAUGGUCGAUGGCAUUUGGAGACCAUUGCUGAAAAUUCCUCUACUAUUGAUAUUAAAGUGGGUAAGUUUUGGUUUGAUGUUCAUCUCUUUGACCAUCUUUUCCCAUUGCUGAGAUGAUUUUUCAUGCCCUAAUAAUGGUUGAAACAAGCUUGCAUCAAGAAUUGUCAUGGCAUCCUGUGAGGAUACAGAAGCAUGUAUAUUAAUGCCGAAGGUGUUAAAUCUUACUGUUGCAUUGCAUUGAACCUGUGGGUCAAAAUAUUGAGCAACUCCAACCUUGCUUUUCUUUUUUAAUUCUAGUGCUUGGAAUUUACUGUUUCUGCAGUAUCUGCAGGUGCCCAUUUUAAGAAAUGGUGUGUCAUACAAUUCAAAAUCAAGACAGGUGCUGUUAACAAGGUUGGUACUCUGAUUGUACAAUUUUCCUUUUAAUCUUUGUUUUAUUACAAUGAAAAAUGAACUCCAUAAUUUUUGAAAUAUGAAUGAAUUUAGUAAGCAAUGAAUUCUUUUGUUCUAUGCCAGUACAAGAAAGAAGUUGAGCUGAUGUUAGAAACGGCACGUUCAUAUAUCAAGAUAUGUACUUCCGGUGGCGAGACUAACAACCAAUCGUCCACUCCAUCUGUAACUCCAGAUUGUAACUAGUUGUGCAACUGUAUGAGAUCCAGUAAUUAAUGUUGUAGCAGUCCCCAUUUUUGAAUGUAUAAUACAUGCACACACACACACACACCCAUAUAUAUAUAUAUAUAUACACAGCCCGAGGUCCCUCGUGAUGGUGAUAGUGUCGUCAUCUUACCUUGUGCGCUGAUGGAGUUAUUCACUGUGUAAUGGGGAUUUUCAUUUUUUUCCCCCUCAUAAUUUAACUAGAUUUCUCCUCUAUCGUAGCGGCAAUCCCAGCUGAGAAGAUUAAGUUUGUUUUGAUCCGAUGUAAAUAGAAGGUAAGUUUUCAAAUACUAGGUGUUCUAUCACAAAUUUGAGACAUGCUAUUACAAAAGUGGAUUACUAAUAUUUUGUAACUACUAUUGCCUUGUAUGUAUGUAUAUUGUCCAUCUAUCACAUCCUCAUUUUUCAGAAACCGAGUUGCCUGCCACACUUCGGCACCUUGUGGUUAACAUAUCUCUUGAAAGAAUUAUAUUUUGGAGCUGUGAAAAUCAUAAAGGUUUACCUGGUGAGUGCAUAAGCUCCACCAUCUUCAAGAGUAAACAAUUUGGUAGUGUGAUCAUCUUUUUGUCUUUCCCCAAAGGAGGAACGGCGUAUAAGUUGUGAGAAACUAGAGGCUUUGCCCAACGGCUUGCACAAUCUGACCUCUCUUGAACAUUUAGCACUGGAAAAUCUAAUAUUGGCAUGUUUCCCCGGAGGAUGGCUUUCUCUGCCAACUUUGAUUCACUCGAGCUUCAGGAUCUGGAGAUUCGCAAAGCACUGUUCGAGUGGGAUUGCACAGAUUCGGCUAUCUCAGACGACUUGUAAUCCGCAGAGUAUGUGAGGAUGUGGGGUUCAUAUCCAGUAGAGGAGAAAGGAACGAGGAUUCCUUCCUCUCUGGCUGAACUGGUGAUUUCCAACUUUCAAAUCUGAAACGCCUGAUUGUUCGAAGCUUAAGUAUAUUUUAGGAGGGCCUCCCCACCUCACUUCUGCAAAUAUUUAUCUGGAAAAGAUAUAUAUGUAGAAAGGAUGGAGAACAAUAUUGGCACUUCAUGGCGGGGAAAUUGUGUGGGAUAUACCUAUUCCCCUUAAAAUAUCCAAAAUAUUCAUUAAAUUAGGGUGGGGCUAUUUGAACCCACCAAACUACUCAUUAAAUUUACUUUUAAAAAUAAUUUUUUUAUUAAAAUACCUUAAAUUAAAUUACAAUUAUGGACAUUAAAAUAUAAUAAAAAGGAAAAAGAAAAAACAGAAUUUUUACUUUUUAAACUCGCCUUUACAUUCACCAUAAUUUUGUUAAACUCUAAUUAUAUUUUCCUCAAAUCCUAAUAAACUAGAGGUGUAAUUUUUCUUGGAAACCACAUAUUUUUGUUAAUUAGGCUCAUGUGAUUAGAUUUAGGAUAAUAAAAUUGGUGGUUACAUCUUUGUUUGCGCUUAACAGUGGCCAACAAUCAAUGACAAGUAGUGUUGUUGAAAAACUUCUCUAAACAACUUCUAUGCACUUCAUCUCCUGUCGCCAUCAAAAGUUGCAGCGAAAUAUUUAUUUGAAAAUACCAAAGAAAUUGCCACUCAUAUAAUUUCUUGACAACCAAACGAGGUAUUUGAUCGAUGAAGAACCAUGAAAACAUCCUUAUCGAUUUCCCUUUGAAGCUUCUCAUCCCGUCUUCAUUUGAAAAUACCAAAGAAAUUGCUUUCAAAACCAUGCCCCCUGCUUCAAAGAUUUAGAUCAAGCAAGUUCUAAAGUCAUUGUAUGGUCUCGAAAUUGAGAAGGUAAGGACACUGAAUAUGCAGGGGAAGAAGGAAAAAAGAGAGGGCCUCUUGGUUGCUUGGCCAAAUUACAAGAAAGCCUACAUGACUCUGAAGAAGCCAAUAUCUUUGCCUUUGACAUCCCUUUUUUAGAGCCUAAGGGAUCUUAAAUAAAUGGAAAUUUAAAUUAUGUGACAUUCCGUUGAAGAGAUUGUCUUUACACAUUUUAAGCAAUAAUCAGCAACAUUGAUCUUUUUCGAAUUUUCUAAAAACUAGAGUAUGACAACAGGAGUAAUUAAAAAAAAAGAAGAUAAAUAGUGUUGUAGACGGCGAUAAAGCGAUUCUUAUUUUUGCCAUAAAGCAAUUCUUUUUUAUGUUGGUGAUUACUGCAGAAGCAAUGAUAGAUAUUCUUUGUUUGUUGCCUCCAUGAAGAAUUUGUAUAAUUUACAUCAUGAAUCAAAGGUUGAGACAUUGUUUUUUUUUUUUUUUUUUAAUAAUAGAAGGGUCAGACAUUGUUGAAUGGUGUAAAAUAUGAUAAAAAAGGUUUAGUAGUUACUAAUUGUGCUAUAAUAAAUUUCUUUUUGAAAAAAAAAAAGAAGAAAGAUGAAUAUGUGCUGUAACUAUUUUUUUAGAAUCAUAUUCAUAAAGAAAAUCUUCAGUAUAAUGGAAAAAAAUAAAUAAACAUUUGUUAAGGGUUUAUAAAUCAAUUUAAUGGGUUUAAUAAGUAAAAACGGUAUUAUUAUAAAAUAAAAUGGGUUUAAUGAGGGUAUAUUGGGUAUUUAAGUAAGUUCAUUGAGUAAAAUUUAAAAUUUUAAAAUUUAAAUGUGGGUUUAUUUAGUAAAUGGCUUUAGUGAGUAGUUUAGUAGGUUCAAAUAGUCUCACCCCUUAAAUUAUUACUCUUAAAUUUUACACAUAUACAAUUAAAAAAAUCAGGAAAAGAGUACGAAAAUAUCCUCAAUUAAGUCAUGUAACAAAUCGAGUAAUUGAACCACAACCAAUUAAGUUUUCUAAAUAAUUCUUGACUUCUUUCAUGUAAGUUGGGUAACGACUUGAGGAUACUCAACCUCAAUUGAACCACGAUGACUAAAUCCCUAGAUUUUUUUUUUACUUCUUUAAUAAAGUCGGAUAACGAGUGGAGUAAAUUCGAUCUUAAUUGAACCAUGAUCAAUUAAGUCUCCUGAAAAAUUCUCAACUUCUUUAACAAGGUCAGAGUUGAGUAUACUCAACUUCAGUUGAACCACAACCAAUUAAGUCCUUGAAAAAUUCUCGAUUUCUUUCAUGGAAGUCUAGUGAUGAGUUGGGUAUACUCGACCUCAACUGAAUCAUAACCAAUUAAGUCCCUAAAAAUUUUUUGACUUCUUUCAUAGAAGUUGGGUAAUGAGUUGAGUAUAUUUGACUUCAAUUGUACGAUGACCAAUUAAGCCCUCUAAAAAAUUCGAGACGUUUUCAUGGAAGUCCGGUAAUCCUAGACUUCAUUUGUAUCAAUAAGUAAUCAUCUUCCUGCUCAACUAUAUAGUCGACUUAAUCAACUCUUUUCCUUCACUACUUGCUCAACUAAAUACUCGAUCUACCCAACUUCGUACUCGACUUCUUUCCGGAAUCAUUUUUUAAUCAUCCAAAACUUAAGUUGAAUAUUUCGGUCUUAAAUCCUUAUAUUUUAUGCAACCGUGUGUGCUUAUUUGUGCAAGCACUAAAAUGAAUAAUCUACUAUUACAAACUCAUAAAUUUUAAGCAAAUAUACUUGUAAUGAAAUCAAAUAAAAUUUUAAGUACAUAAAAUGUUUAAAUUUCAAACAUACCUUAUCCACCACUUGAUAAUCCACUUGAUAAUGUGUUGGAGGUAAGAGAUGAAAUGAUGAGAGGAGAGAAAACUGUGAGAGAGGAAGAAUUGUGAGGUGUGAGAAAGUGUUUGAAAUGGUGAGGUGAGGAAAUGUAGAUAGAUAGUAUUUUGUACUUUUUCCUCUUUCUUCGGGGCAUAUGUAUGCAAUGGGGUAGAAAUUUGGUACUUAGGGGCAAAUGGGGCGUGUUCAAAUUAAAAACCCCUUCAUAGCCAAUGUGGUACGGAGAAGUCAAACUUAUAUAGGGGAUGGAAUUGGAAAGCUAACAUAAUUUCUCAUCAAACAAUUAUACGAUAAAAUAACCUUAACUUUCAAGUUAUAAUUGUAAGUGUUUAAUAAAUACUGUAGAGCUAGAACUCCUACAUAGAUGUGGUUCACUUGUUUCCUUUCCUCAAUUAUUUUUUGUUUUGUUAAAUUUUUUAUAUAAAUUUUAAGAUAAAAAUAGUUGUAAAUUGUGCAAUGUCAAGAGCAGAUAAAAUGAAAGUCGUUAUCUUUUCUGAUUAAAAAGGAAACUGAUGGUCUUGAAUUUUGGAUAAUUUAGUUCUACUCAACUAUAGUGUAAUUUACCUCAGUUAGUGCAGACAGAGAUUAUAAUACGAUUUGCAAAGAAGGGCAGAAAGGUGCAAAAAGGAUAAGAGGACGGACAAUUGGGCAGUUGACAUCACCAUAAAUGGUAAAUGAGUUUUUGAUUACUCAUAAUCAAUUAUCCAUUGAAGGGAAUAUUGCUGAGCAACAAACAAGAAACAGGGGAUUUAGAGGCCGAUGACCAAAUGUACUUGAGGUGAAGAUUUCUUUAAUCCUAGCAGCAAUUAGAGGGAUUUAAACAUCUAGAGAUGUGUUCUAUGAAGUGAGCUGAGUGCAGGAAAACAUUAGAUCUUACGUACAUUUGGUAUUUUGUCUAGUAGCUAUAGCUGUAUCGUUUGUUUAAGUAUUUAGUAAACUACUGGUAAUUGUUGACGAGAAAUUAAGGUGAUAUUAUAUAUGCUAUCAUUGUUCGAUGAAAAACUUAUAUUACUUUUAUUGUUUUAUCAAAAUUUGUAUCGCAUAAAUAUAGUCGAUGUUUAUGUCAUAAUUAAAGCUCCUUAUUCAUGGAAGCCACAGCACCAAACAAACUAAUAUACACACACUAAGGGAGACUAAGUAACGUGCCCUACAAUAUUAAUUAGUCACCCCAAACACAAUUAACCCAUUUAUAAAUUCCAAGUCUAAAGUUGUUUGGUUUCUGUAUUAUAUAAUAGUUGGUAUUAACAAAAAAGUAUAGCCGAAUUAUUCAAAUGGUAAGUGCAGCGGAUCUCAUAAUCCAAAAAUGAAAUUAUUGGUAAAUAAAUUGAAAAUACUAUAACUGAAAUCAUCACAUUAAAAUAUUAAUGGUAUUACCAACUCUUGAGAAAAAAUUCAUUAUUUUAACUUUCCAACCUUUCGUGAUGAAAUUUUCUUCUAAUAUGUUAAGAAUGAAAAUAUUAUCGAAGACUAUUAGCAAGGUGAAUAGUAUAGCUGAAUUAUUCAAAUGGUAACAUCAUUUUCUUUCUUUAUGGAGUUAAGAAUAGCCGCGGAUGUUCGAACAAAACUCUAUGCGCCUGAGCACCUGUGCACAAAAAGAACAUAGGAUUGUUGAAAUUUGAAAACACACUCAAAGGGGAGUAUAAGAAAAUUCAGCAUCGAUGUCUUUUAUCAUUACUUUCAAGUUUUGUUGAAGUUUAUGGAUAAUUACAACGUAAUUCAUAAACUAACUAAAAAAUUAUUGGCAAUAACUUGAAUGAAUAAUUUAAAAAUACUUUUAUUGAAAUCAUCACACAAAAAAAAAAAAAAUGAAUAGGUUUACUAACUCUUGUAAAAAAAUAAUUAUUGUCCCUUUCCAACUUUUUGUGAUGAAGUUCUUCUAAUAUAUAUAUAUAUAUAUGUAUAUAUAUAUGAAUGUAUUAUAUUAUAUUAAGCAUAGAAAUAUCGUUGAAGACUAUUGGUGACAAAAUUAGAUGAAGUUUCUUAUAUAUACAUACAUACAUAUAUAUAGUGUGGAAGUUGAAAACUGUGGUUAGGGGGGCCUUGUGCCCGCGUGUAUAUAGUAAAAGAUUAAGAUAAACUUUACUAUAAAUGGCAAUGUAUUAACAUCAUGAAAGACAAAAUAAUUCAAAGAUAUAUAUCUAUAAAUAUGUUCAUCUUUCAAUAAGUUUAUUCAUCUUCAAUAAAAGUAACCAAUUAAACUAAACUUAAACUCGAACCUAAAUAAAGAUAAUUUGUAACAGAAUUAUAAUAAAUGUGUAGGAACUUAGAGGUUCAAUAUUGUGUGUGAUCGGACUAUUUAUCAUCGGAGUUAGGAUAUAAAGAACUAAAAGUAUUUAUAUCAUGAUAAUUUGGUAAAUGCUAAUUAGUUUAGGAAUAUUUUUUUAAUUUCUAUUGUAAUUUAGUAAAAUAUUUACCUAUUAAUUUUUUUCCUCAAUUUUUUACCGGGACACAACCCACCUCGAUUUCUCCUAAGUUUCACCCCUUUAUAUAUGUAUAGUAAUUUUCUAAUAGGAGAUAAAUUAAAAAAAAAACAUGAAAAACAUACACUCCAAUGCUCCAUUGUAGUGUUUCAUUUUGAUUUUAUAGUAUAUUAAAAAAUUUAUAUUUUUUUAUCUUUUAACUUGAUUCUUAUCAUGUUAAAGUAAAGAAUUCCUUAUUAAAAAUGGACUCAUAUAACCUAAGCAUCUAUCACUGUAUGUUAUUAUUAUUUAAAACAUCUCCAUUUUGUAUCAUUUCCCUCCGGAUGUGACUAACAAUUAGUUGGAACCUUAAAAAAAAAAAGGUUAUGACAGAAAUAAAAAAAAUAAAGAAAAAUGAUAUGCAGUCUACUAGUGAACUCACCUCGACUACAUUAAGAUUUACAUGACCGUAGGUUGAGAUAGAUGGGGUUUAUUGGCAGGGGUGAGUAAGAGAGGCUCUGUGAUAGAGACCGACAUUGAAAAUAUUCCUGUCUUGCUUGCUUGAAUAUCACAAACUAGACUUGAUCAUUCAAGUGCCCCACUGUUUAUUUUCUCAUUUUCCAUUACAAAGAAAUGUCGACAUGUCAUUGGAGAGGCGAUGCUAAAGGCGUCCGUUGAGAAACAGUUCAAAAAGUUGGCUUCCGAGGAAUUCGCAUUGAAAAACUGAAAGUUGCGGCUUGAAGAACCAGCUAGGCAGCCAUUACAACUAAUUUGGGAAACUAAUUCGCAGUUGCUACACAAGUUUUACUGCAUUGCAUGAUGUCUGAAAUAACAGAGACCACUGCUAGACUGCAUGAAAAUUCAGGUGGGAAGUCUUAUAAAGUCAGACAAAGGCUACCCAGAACCUAUUUGGUGAGUAAGGCCAAAUUGUAUGGCAGGGGAACAGAUCACGAGAAUAUUGUUGAAUCGUUGUUGAGGGAUGACAUAAGAUCUUGUUGAAAUGAACUCAAACUCGUCAGAACAACUUGUCGUGUUUAAGUUGUGAAGAUGAGUGACAUGUCAUUUCAGUUGAACGGGAUUCCAGAGCUGACAAUUUGACAAUAUCGUACAAGACCAUUAAAUCUCACGUGACUAAUGCACGCCUGUUUUAACCUUAAACGGCAUUGCUAGCAGUCGUUUAAGGAAGGCUUUAAAGUGGCGCGUGAGGAGCUCGUGACAGGUUGGUUAAGGCUGUUGGAUUUGGAGGGAAAAUUCUGGAUCUGUUACGCCUGCCCAACUGAUAUAUAUACAAGCUGGUUCUGGUGUAAUCUUGUUGGAUCAAGGUGAGAGUGAUAAGGCAGCCAUAGUGAGAGUUAAGCUUUGUGAGUGAUCUCCGUAUUGUGUAUUAUCAUCUCUGUAACCUUGAAGCUUAAUAAAGUUGCUCCUUGAGUUGUUUUCUCCAGUGGAUGUAGGCACCCUCAAAGGUGCUGAACCACUUAAGUUCUUGUGUGUUCUUGUUUCUUUGGGCCGUGUUCUUUGAUCUGAUCGUAGUUCUUGGUUAGCUUAAGUUUGAUUCUUGAGUCUUUGAGUCUGAGUUAGGUCUUGGGGUGUGAUUAAUCUAGUAAUUAAAGGGCUAAUUUCACAACAGAUCUAAGAAUGGAUUCUCUGCUGUUCCCAUUGUAGGGAUGCCGGGGGUGGGCAAGACAACUCUUGCUCAGCAUGUCUAUUACGACGUUCGACGAACGUGCAAGAUCAUUUUGAUCUGCAAGCGUGGCCUUGUGUCGCUGAAGAUUUUGAUAUCUUAAAGGUAAUGAAAUCAGUCCUAGAGUCCAUUGCUACUGAUCAGCCUGUGGAUGAUAAUGACUUGAAUUUGCUACAAGGGAAAUUGAAGAAACAAUUUUCCGGAAAGAAAUUUUUGCUCGUUUUAGAUGACCCGUGGAAUGACAAUUAUAAUCAUUGGAGGACCUCAGCCGUCCAUUUGAAUCUUGUGCACUGGGCGGGUAGCAAGGUUGUUAUCACUACUCGCAGUAUGAAUGUUGCAACAAUGAUGGCGACUACUUCAAUUUAUCCACUGGAAUAUCUGUCAGAUGAAGAUUAUCUCUGUAUACUUGCCGAAAAAUCCCUAGGAACAAUAGAUUUCAGCAAUCAUCAAUCCUUGAUGGAAAUUGGCAAGAAGCUGGUGAUUAAAUGCUACGGCUUACCUUUGUCAGCAAAAGCUAUUGGUGGCCUAUUAGGUGGCAAAUAUGACUUGAGUGACUGGGAAGAUGUGCUCAAUAGCGAUAUAUGGAAUUUAUACUCAGACGACGGAGAUGGCAUUUUCCCAUUGCCAGCCCUUAGAUUAUGCUAUCAUUAUCUUACUCCAUGUUUGAAGAAAUGCUUCGUAUCUUGCUCACGUCUCCCUAUGGAUUAUGAAUUUGAUGAAGAGGAGCUUGUUUCAUGAUAGAUGGCUGAAGUUUUUUUGGCUCAUGAUGAGAGUAAUAUGUAAAUGGAAGAUUCAGGUGGUGAGGUUUUCAAGGAGCUACAUUCAAGGUCGCUUCAUCAACAAAGAAGCAACGAUACAUCACGGUUUGUGAUGCAUGGCCUCAUCUACGAUCUUGCUCUUUGAGCUGCUAAAGGACUGUUGGGGGCAAUUACGACACAGCACAAUGAUACGGAACCCAGUCUCAGAAAGAAGCUCCCAGCACAUAGAUAUCAGAGAAGAUAAUAACAUUGAGGAUCACAAGGCAUAUGAAAGAAGAAAUUGGACGGUCAGUCUUGUAAUGAAGCUCCUGUACAAAUUAUAGAUUUAGAAUUUUCCAUAGCUUCCUUUUUUCUCCAGUCUCCUUUUGUAUUUUACUCGCAAAAAUUGGUAACUUUUAACUCCUAUAUUUUCAGAGAUCGAAAUCUGAGUGAUCAGCUAAAUAAAGAUGUUUGAAAUGAAAACGACUGAGUCAAACAAUUGGUCUACUGUCGCUGUAGCACUGGCCUUCUAGGUGAAUGUACGUGCAGCGUUGAACCGAAUACAAUGAGACAACUGACUAAAGAAGCAAUCUAGUAACAAUCUACGAUCAGUUGAAAGCAAUUAAUCAAUCAGCAAAAUUAAGAAAAUAGCUGAUCAAGAUCAAUACCAGAAAAUUACCUGAAUCGGUAGGUUUGCCUAAAUCCGUGAAGAGAAUUAGCCUCUAGAAAGCUUAAUUGACGAUGGUGAUGACGCAAUAUUUACCCAACUCACUACAAAAGAGAAUGUACCACUUAAGACUCUUUCUAAUUCUUACUCUAUCAAAAGAAAAUCAUAUGUAGAAUGGACAAUAGUCACCAGCCUUAUAAAUACACUCUUUGUUUCCAUAAUUUUGAACCUCUUAGUCUUCUACUCUGUUUUGUAUUAACCGCAGUAAUUCGUGCACUAAUUAUGAGGUUGCUCUAUAAUCUUAAUCAAUAAACCACUGACUUGGCAACAAAGAUUGAUACAGGCAGCAAAUGAAAUGAAACUUCAAGUUCACUGACUUGUUUAUAGUAAAAAAAAUUGCAGUCAUGACAACGAAACGGUCAUUAUAAUUAAUGUGCUUUUGCUGGAUCUUAUGUGCUAAUCAGAUAGGCCUAAAAAUUAUGAUGGACAUUGUUGGCCAAGUAUCAUGAUAUCCGGACCGUACAAUCCCAAGUAAAAUCAAGUCAGGUGAUUCAAAUCAUUUGUGGUGAUGUGAGAGCAAAGAGACUGUUAGUCAUUACAUAAUCCAUUAACAGUACCAGUUAUUAAUGAUUGAUCAGCUAAAUUUUUUUCUCAAGUUUGCGUAGUAUCUUUUAUGCUUCCUUUAUGCAAAUUAAAAAAUUUGCUGCGAUUAGCAAGUACUUUUCACAACUUGCAUGAUACUCGGAUGGAAUAAAGUGCUCUUUUCCGGAAGCACUUGUCAUGGCAUUGAGAUAUCAAAUCGAUUAAUGGACUUGAUUGCAAUUGAUAUCAAAUCCAUUUUCGUUUUCCUAAAUUAAAGAAAUAUGUAUAGGCGGAGAUAUCUUCAGUUAAAGUACCCACCAAACAAAAAAUUGUUUAAUUUAGAAGGAUUUGAUAGUAAUCGAAUUCGUACUUGUUGGCCAUUAUCAAUUUAAUCUCUUCAGUGAUGUUAUUUUCGGUUAUUUCGAAGUUGUAAUAUUUAAUUAAACUAAUAAUAAUAUACUGCAUUAGUUUGUACUAUAUUGUUCUUACAAAAAUAUCUGUAGCUAUAUCAUUUAUCUCAUUUUUAAGUGUGUCGGUGUGUGUUUAUAAUUUGUCAAGAUGAAAAAAAUCCCAUUAGAUGAUAAAUAUGCAUUAUAUAUAUAUAGUGCGAAUGUCCUCAUUUUUUUUUUUAUGUGAACAAGCUUUUAAACCCCGCAGUUUAAGAGAGUUAAUUUUUUAUUCUCUUAAGUCACAUAACUUUAUAGUUCAUUAAAAAACUAACUCUCUUAAACCGUACAGUUUAAAAGCAUGCCUGCAUUACCCACACCUAAGAGUGAUUAUACAUUGAAAUACAAGUUAUGCAACCCAAGAGGGGGGUGAAUUAAGUUUUUAAAACUUAAGCUAAGCAAACCACACAACAAUUCAAUCUAAUGUCUUAAUAAAUUCGAAAAUAAUAAGUUCAAUCAAACACAAUAAUAAAUGAGUAAGGAAAGAGAAAACAAACACAAUGAUUUUUACGUGGUUCGGCAAUCCUUGCUUACGUCCACGCCUCCAAGCAACUCAAGCUUGAGGAUUUCACUAUCCAAACCUUCUAAGACUUCAAAAGCUUACAAUUGACUUCCAAGGUGUCAAUGAACCUUUACAACAAAGAGAUUAUCUCCCAAUCUCUUCACUCAAGUGUCUCACACACUUAAACACUCAUAAUUAAGAUGAGGAAAUGAACAUUACAACAAAAACUCUCUUUAAGAGUAGAUAUACAAAUUGAAGAACAAAGAUGAUUCAAUGUUUUAUGAUUUGCGAAAAUGAGAGCUCAAUAUAUGUUGUGUGCUUUUUGUUUUUGCUUCCUUAGAUUACCAAAAUUGAAUUGGAUUUGAGUUUAUAUAGUUUGAGCUCAAAAACUAGCCGUUAUGCACAUUUUGGUGGUAACCGGCUUACCGUUUAUGGAAUCUGGUUAGCUGCUUUUAUGUUACCGCUACAACAAAAAUUUGAAUUUCAGAGCAUCCGGCAUGCCGCUUUUCAUAUCUGGAUAGCUGCUUUCAAAAUUCGGAUAGCCGCUUUCAAAAUCCGGAUAGCCAUUUAUGUUCCAGAAGCUUACUGCCCAAAAUUCGGUCUUCCGCUUGUAAAAUCCAGUUAGCCGCUUACUACAGUAACUGCUACAGUGAACUAUUUUCUAAAAUUAUAGUUUUAUCCCAAAAUAUUUCAUAACUGUACUAUGGCCCAAAACGUUAUAAAUUUUGCAAAUAGGUCAAAUUUCAGAAUCUCUAAAUAAUGCUCGUUGUUCCCAAAACUUUAUGAAAUUAUGAUAUGAUGCAAAAUACUAUGAAACUUUUUAAAUAAGUCAUUCUCCAAAAUACGGAUCCCAAAAACAUACACUCACCUCACCAUGUAUACAAGUUGCAAAUGACACCCCAUAUUUCUAAGGCGAGGUGAGCGGUGCCCUCCCCCAUUUUCCCUAAAACUGGGCCCUACUAAGCAUGUUGCAUGCAAGCACAUCUCCGCUUCCCCAAGGAUAAGGCAACCACUACCCCACUAGCCUAGAAGCAAUGAAGUGAAGAGUAACCGCCACUACUCACUUCCCUUGAUGAGAACCUUAACUACCCACUUAGCUUGUCUCCACUUUUUGUACUCUAAGGCCAUGUUCUCCCACUAGUUGCACCAACAACUACCCAUUCAUGCUAGUUUUUAGGACCCACUUCUAGUGAAUUUCCAACCAACAUGCUCCCCAUUUGACUGCCAAUGCUCGAACACAGGCCGCGUACGUAAUACAAAUGCGUCUUACAUUCGCAUAGUUUGGCCCUUGUGCACGCCCCCAUUUGCUGCAUGGUUGCGCGCGCCCCUGUACACAUUUGUGCUACUGCCUUGUGCCAUCCUGCAUUCUACCCACUUAGCCUGUGUGCCCUAUACACCCUGCACACUUGUGACAUGUUAGGUGCAUUGUUCGCUCACGCCUUUACGCAUGCUGUCUCGUGCUCUUUGCCCUUGUUCCACAACAUACGCUUGCUCCUAGCCCGCGCACCACUCUUGCCUUACUUUUGUGCUUGCCCACAAGCAUGCCUAUUGUUGGGAAAUAGAUUACCACAAGCAGUUGAAAUUAAGUGGAACAAACUCUUUCCCUCUUUGUGUGAUUAAAAUAGGAUGUGUGCUACAAUAAAUAUGUAGAAAAAUAAAUUAAUAAAUCCAAAGCAAAACUAACCACAAGAGACACCGAUUUUUACGUGAAAAACCCAAAUUGGGAAAAACUAUGGGAUCGUAGUCCGAUAUAAACUUUCACUGUAUCAAUGGAAUUACAACACAAAUUCUUCUCCAUAUAACACUAGAGGCUAACAAUAUUAAAAUUCUCAACAAUCUUAGCUUACAAUAAUAGAUCUAAAAUCUAUUUUCUCCAAUAAGUGGGUAUAUCAAAUAACAACUAUAGAGAGAAUAAAAUACAGAUCAACACCAGUAGAAAUGUAGAGGGUGAUGUCAAGAACUUACCCUCCAAAUUUGGGAUAAAUCGGAGCUAAAAUCACCUUCCGAUCGAUGAAUCAAAUAUUAAAACCCUCAAAGGAAACUUUCUCUCUCGCAAUGUCUUUUCUCUUCGUGAAAUGGCUACCUCUCUCGCGAUUCUUCACUUAUUUCCUUGUUAAUUUCAUCAAAGUCCAAAAGUUUAUAAUAAUUACACAUCAAGUAAAUUAUUUUGGAUUUUAGGAAUUUUGGUCCACCGAAGUGAGAUGGACCUUACAAAUCUCCCCCUCCAUCUCAUCUGAGGGGUACCACCAAGCCCGCUCUCUGCUUACAACUUUUCAACUUCUCCUUGGGCAAUGACUUUGUCAUCAUAUCUGAUGCAUUCUUCGUUGUGUGAGUUUUCUCAAACUACAACUGCUUCUACUCAAGCACAUCUCGUAUCCAAUGAUACCUCACAUCAAUAUGCUUCGACUUCGAAUGAUAUAUUGAAUUCUUCGCGAACUGGAUAGCACUUUGACUAUCACAAUACACAAUGUAGAUGUCUUAUUUAACACCUAGCUCUCACCACAACAAAAAUGGCUUUCUGCAACAAAAAGAUUUUGUUGCCUAAAGUGCCAAUUUUGUUGCCAUAGGCUAUUGCUACAAAAACAAGCUUGUCAGCCAAGUCAUCGGCCUAGCAUUGUCGCCCUCUAUGUUUGACAACAUAUCAGAACAUUUCUCGGCCCAGACUUCCUUUCGUAACAAAAUAGAUUUGUUGUAAAGGAGUCUCCAACUUGUUUAAAAAUUUACGCUAAACUGUUUUACGCAACAAAAUUAUUUUGUUUCUAAAGAGUUAUUUACUACAAAACUAUUUUGCUACUAAGAAAUAAAGUACACUUCAUAAAAGUACAUACCAACAAAGGUGUUUGUUUGCUAAGAUCAUUUUAGGCAACAAAACUGCUUUGUUUCUUUAUGUUGAGCAUUUUACAAAUUUACAAUAAAUAUUUAAAUAUUUUUAUAAACAAAUCAAUUUUUUCAUUAAAAAAUACUACAAUUUUUUGUUUAAUAAUAUCAUGGUAUAAAAGGAAACAAACCAAGUUUGGUGGGAAAAUACCAAUUUUUUUCCCUAGCGUGACAAUAAUAAACUAGAAAUAUAUGUUGAGAAAUCUAACAAAAAAAAUCAUUAAUGCCAUUGAAUUAAUUUAAAAGUUAAAGGCCCAUUCAAUAUCCAAGCUAUAUAUAUAUAUAUAGUUGACUUUAAGAAUCACAUAUGAUCUUCAAAUACAAAAGUGAAUUGUCAUCUGUCCCAAAAAUCUAAUGAGCAAAAUAUUUGAACGAUCUCUAAUAAUAACUACUCCAAACUCCAAAUACUUAAAGAUAUGACAUGCACCAGCAAUAACCGAAAAGAUCAACUGAUGACUAAUUCAAAAAACUAACAAGUUCAAGAUACUCUAAGGACAUCAUUGAAAUGAGUAAUCAUUGAGUAGCUGAAUUUGUAAAGCGAAAAGAUGUUCCUUGAGAAGAAAAAAAUUACUGCAUCAUACUCUCAAAUUGGGACAAUUUGGACUCCAAUUGAUCAAUAGAAUUCUUUUGCUCUUUAAGCUCAACAUCUUGUGAAUCCAAUCUACUUUUUUGUGAAGAUAUAAUACCAUACAAUCUGUCAGCCUCAGAAGUAUCAAUACCAUGGGUUGGAGUUGGGUGUGGUCUGUUGCCAAGUCCUCGAAAAUAGCCUGAUUUCUUUCCAAGUACUUCACUACAUAUUUCCCUUUGAGUUAGUGGUUCUGCUUCUUCAGGAUUAGUUUGUUGUUGUUGUUGUAGCUCUACCAUUUGACCUUAUACAUAAAGCUUCGCUAGUAAAGGAAGGAAGAAAAAAAAGAAUUUUAUUAAUUAAACAAUUGAAAUUUAAUCCACUGGUCAUGGAAUUAAAUUGUAUUAAGGCAUAAAUUAAAAAAAAAAACUUGUUGUUAUACUUAUAAAUCUUAUCAUUUGAUAUUUCAAAUAAUAAUGUUAAUUGAAGCAUGAAAGAAAAAUUAAGAAAAAAAACUCAAUGAGUAAAUUUUCAUCAAUAUUAUGUAAGUGAUAAGAAAUAAUAAAAUUAAAGAUUUUAUUUCCAAUAAAGCAUCUUACAUGCUUUGAGUGGGUCACCUCAUUCACCCAACCUUUUGUCUUAUUGAAAUGAGUGACACAGAAUAAUUCUAUUUCUCCAUCAACCAUGUCAUCCUCAAGAUAAUUAACAAAAGGUCUUGAUCCCAGCUUAGCACGAUUAGCUUUAUUUUUGGUAGAUUGAGUCUACAUUAAAAAAAAAAAUAACAGUAGAAAAUAAGAUACAUAUACAAGCAUAUUGACAACUAGUUGGACAUCUAAAGUUUAUAAUAUAAAUAUCAUUGGAUCUGUAAACUUGUGGAAUUGUAAAUGUUAUGACAAAGCCAAUCCCAAUCAUUUAGACAUAUGCCUGGAUAUGGAUGCUUAAGUGCCUCUUCAAAGGAUGGAUAAUCCAAGUAAUGAUCAUACAUCCAAUGUCUCAUAUCACGAUAUCUCCCACCCAUAAUGUUAUUCACACAUCAACGAACAUGUGGCAAGUUCAAAUCAAUCUUAAACUUUGACUGAAUUUAGAAAAAAAAAAUCUUAGUUUAUAAUUUUAAAAAAUAGUACAUGAAGAAUAUUAAGAACCAUAAGUACUUACUAAUAGUCAAUCAAACAAAACUUGCCUCUCUGAUUCUGGAAUCUUGCUCCAUUACUCGUGCUGAAGAUAUGCAAACCUUCUAACCAAAUAGCCACACUCACUUGACAACAUGGAAGAGUACUUAUGACCUACUGGCCUAUUAGUCUCGGGAGAGAUAUAUAGCUUUAUUUUUCCAGAUAAUUGCACAAUGUCAUCCAUUUUUUUCCCAUAUGAGGGGCCACGCGUUCUUUUCUUUAUUGGCUGAAUAUCUAUUUUAUAUACAUGUGUGUGUGUGUGUGUGUGUGUGUGUGUGUGUGUAAAGCAUGUAUUAGUAUAAGAAACAAAAUAUUGUAUAUUCUAUUAAAAAAAUCCUACCAAUUAAACUCUUUAAAUACCAGAUUCUAGAGUUGUAACACCACCUUGCACAAACUCUUGGCUAGGUAUAACAAGCUGAGAUGGGGGAAUUGUAGAUGUGACAACAGUUUCUGCCCUUACACGUUUGGUAACUCUAUGUCCAGGACCCAUCUAGUUAUUAUUAAAAAUAUACAUUAGAGUUUAUUAAUAGCCAAUAUAAAAAUGAAUCAAGAUAACUAUAAUUUUGUCAAAAAAAUUAUAACAUGAAAGAUUUUUUAAUAAAAUUUUCAUAUUCAAUCAAUAAUAACCACUUUACUUGUAUUCUUCAGAAUAUCUCACAGGCACUUAUAAAAAUUUUAACCAUUAAUUCACAUUUUUAAACAAGAACUAACUAAAACUAAACAAGAGAGUAUAACACGAACAAAACAAAAAAGAUAAAAAUAAGUUAAAAGACAACCAUGCAUGAAGGAGUGAAAGGCGACAAGUCAAUUUGAUUGCUCAAGAAUUCCUUAAGAAUACUUAGCUGCAUGAAAGAAAGAUAUCAGAGUUAGAAUAUAAAAGUUAGUAAACCAAUAAAUUAAUUUCAUAUAAAAUAAUAAUACAAGAAAACUUAUAUAUAUAUAUAUAUAAUACAACAAAGAAAACAUGAAUGCUUACAUUUGAAGCUUGUAAUAAAGCAUUACACAUGUGAUUACAUGUCAAUAUCGCUAUCAUCAUAAUCCUUAUUUAACUCUUCUUCACUGCUGGAGAAAUAUUCCUCCAUUGUUUCAUCUUCAUCUUCUUAUUCAACAAGUUUGAAAUUAUCUGCAUCAUUAUCUCUUGCCCUUUCAACAUACACAUGUGAUGAAAUUACUUGUGGAUCAACAUUAUUUAUAUUAUACAAUUGUGCAUUAGCGUGUUCAAGUUGUACCGAGAGAACAAAGUCAGAUGACUCAUUUUGCUGAUACACUUGUUUAUUUGCACUCCAACUUCCAUUUUCAUUUUCAUUUAAGCUUUCUUUCUCUUGAACAUCCCACAAACCCCUAUGCUGCACCUUUUCUACAACCUUCCAGCCUACUCCUAACUUUGAUUGAUAGAAGUAAGGUGGUAAUCACGAUUAAUUCUUUUUUUUUUCCUAAGAUUAGUGUCAAACCAAUCACACUUAAAUAGAAUUACUCGAUAUCCAAGAAGAUAUAUUAAUUCUAUAACAUUACUGAGUACACCAUAAAAGUCAAUUUCUUCAUUAUCAUGCUCCCUUGGCACCAUUACUCCACUAUUUUGAGUAGUACGAUGCUCAUCUCGACUUGUGACAAGAAAUCGCACUCUAUUUACAAUACAACCAGAAUAACUAAAAACUAUAACAUCUGGUCCACAAGUUAAAGCAUAUAGUUCAUCAUUUAUUGUUAAAGAUCCCUCAUCUCGUAAUUGUCUCAUCUAUAAAGCAUAAAUUAAUUUAUUACAAGCUUGUUAUAAUGGAGUUAAAAAAAACUAAUUAAUUUGACAACUAUAAUUACUUACAUGUGCUGCAAGCCACUUAGGAAAAAGUAAUUGUUGUCUUUUAUUUAAAUUAGCACCACUUUCUCUUUGUAAUAGCCGUUUGUGCUCACUAUAAUUUUAACAAAUAUAUUAUGAUAUGUUAUAUAUAAAUAUAUUUAUAUAAAUUAAAUAAAAUGACUAAUAUAUUUUAUGCUUACUCUAGGUAUUCUUGGACUUCAUCAUAGUUGUUCAAAACAUACCAAUGUGCAAUGUUGAUCUCUCGUUGUGAUAACUCAAUUUGAGCUUUACCAAAAGGUCGAACAUUCUGAGAGAAGACUGAAAGUCCUCUACUCUUUGUCCACCAUCAUCAUUCUGCUCAACACGAUUAAAUUUGGUUUCAAUAGAAUCUAAAUAUAAUGAAAAAAAAGACAACGAUUCAUUUAUGAUAUAGGCCUCGGCAAUCGAUCCUUCAGGUCGAGCUUUAUUCUUUACAUAGCUCUGAUAUCGGCCUAAAGCGCCCUGUUCAACAACAAAUGAUUAAAUUUAAAAAAGUGACUUGUGAAUGUAAUGUAAAUAUAAUAAAAAUAUUAUAAUCAAAUAAUGUGAUUACCUUUCAAUUGGGUACAUCUAUCUUAAUGCAACAGGACCGACAUAUUUUGCUUCACGUGGUAAGUGCACAGCCAAAUGCAUCAUUAUGUCAAAGAAUGCAGGUGAGAAAAUUUGCUUAAGCUUGCAAAGUAUCAAUACAAUCCCCUCUAAUUUAUCUAACUCACUCUUAUAUAAUGUUUUUUAAUACAGUUGUCUAAAAAAGUUACAAAGUUCAAUAAUGACUGAGCAAAUAUCUUUAUGUAAAUAUAAACGUAUUCCAAUUGGAAGGAUUUAUUAUAACAAAACAUGACAAUCAUGGCAUUUUAAACCUAAUACUUUUGCAUCCUUGAUGUUGACACAAUUGGAUAUAUUUGCAGCAUAACCAUCCGGAAACUUCACUAACUUCAGAAAUUGACAAAAUUCUCUUCUUUCAUUUAAAGUCAGUGUGUAUGAAGCAUGAGGUUUUAAAAGUUUGUUUCCUUCUAGUUUUAGAUGCAACUCUUUCCUUAUGUUCAAAUCCUCUAAGUCAAGCCUUGCUUUAACAAUAUCUUUAGUUUUCCCCUCAAUAUUCAAUAAGGUUCCAACUAAAAUAUCACAUUUAUUUUUCUCAAUAUGCAUAACAUCAAAAAAUGUCUUAUUUUCAACUUGGACCAAUACUCCAACUCAUAAAAUAUGCUCUUCUUUGUCCAAUUUAAAUCAUUUGUACUACGUUUCCGCUUUCUAUCUUUGUUAUUUUCAUUUUUUUCAGGCCUAGCUUCAUUUAUCUUCUCUAAUUGCCUUAGAAUGUCAUCUCCUGAAUACUCCGUAGGUGCUGGAUCAAAUUCAAAAUCACCAUCAUGUUCUCUAUUAGCUCUCCAUGAAUGACCAUACGACAAAUAUCGACGAUGACCCAUGUAACAUAUCUUACUAUUCAACUUUCGCAAAGAUGUUUCUACAUUACAAACCAGGCAAGCCUUAUAACCUUUAGUGCUCCAUCCAGAUAAAUUUCCAUGUGCAGGAAAAUCAUUAAUAGUCCACAUUACUGUAGCAUGCAUACGAAAUGUUUGUCCAGUGGGCACAUCAAAGGUUUCAACACUAUGAUUCCACAACUCUUUUAAUUCAUCUGUUAAUGGCCUUAUGUAAACAUCAAUAUCCUUACCUGGUGUUUUUGGUCCUGGGAUGAGUAGCGACAUCAUCAUGAAUGGAUCUUUCAUGCAUUUCCAUGGUGGUAAAUUACAUGGCACAAGUACGACUGGCCACAUACUAUAAGAAUUAUGCAUGUCACUAAAAGGAUUGAAGCCAUUUGUUGCAAGAUCCAUCCUGACAUUACGAGGCUCUUGUGCGAACCAAGGAUAUAACCUAUUAAAUUCUUUCCAUGCUUCCCCAUCAGCAGGAUUUCUUAAAAUACCUUCCACAGCAACUCUCUUCUCGUGGUGCCACCUCAUAUCUCUUGCUGUAUGCCGAGAUAUAAAUAAUCUUUGUAACCUUGGUUUUAAAGGGAAAUAACGUAACACUUUUUGCGGUACUUUCUUUUUACUGCCUUCAAACUUAUACCUCGGUUCCCCACAAUGUAGACACUUUUCUAAUGCCUCAUAUUCUUUCCAAAAUAAGCACAAUCAUACUUACAUGCAUGUACGACUUCAUACCCUAAGCCUAAGUCCUUUAGCAUUUUUUUUGCAUCAUAAGUAGUACUUGGUAGUAUUGUGCCUUCUGGGAAUGCCUCUUUUAACAAUUGGAGAAUCAUAUCUAUUGUUUUGUUGCUCAAUCUACUAAGAACUUUUAUAUGCAUUAACUUGACAAUAAAACUCAAAGUAGAUAUCUUGGAACUAGGAAACAAACUUUUCCCAGCCUUUUCUAACAAUCCUGCACACAUUCUAAAUUCUCUAUUAUCAUCAUGUGUUAGGUCAAUAUUCUCUUCAAUAUUUGUCUCCGAAGUGAAUGCAUCCAUUAACGUUGGCUCACACAUAUCAUGAAUUAAAUUAUACAUUUCAUCAUCAUCCUCUUCAUUGUCAAAUGUAAAGUCACUCCUGCUACUGGGCAUAGAUCCUGCAUUCAUUUGAUUAUUGUCCACAAACUCAGGUUCUUCACCAUGAAAAACCCAUUUUGUAUAGCUUUCUGCAAUGCCAAAUCUUUUUAAGUGGGCUUUGACAAUAUGCAAUGACUUCAAGAAUGCAUUUUGACAUUUUUUACAUGGACAACGAACAAGAUUAUUCUCAUUUACACAUUGCUCAGCAACCUUCAUAAAAGACUUGAUACCAUCUAAGUAUUCUUUACAUAAUUUAUUUCGCAAACACAUCCAACUCCUAUCCAUUGUUCACUGCUAGGUACUAUAAAUUAAUAUAUGUAGGGAACAAAAGCAAGACAAAAACAAAAGAAUUUUACAUAAUAAUGUGGACAAAUCUUUUUAAAAAAUGAAUUGUACCUGAAAGCUGAAGGUAAUAAAUAGAAUUCAAUUGAUUCUUCAAGUUUUUGUUCUCAGCAAAGACGAAACUCCCAAACAAUUAAGUCGCCUGUGAAAUAGAGUUAAAAAUUCAAAAAAAUAUUGAGAGAAGAUUGAGAAAGAAUAUAACCCGCAAGUUUUAUUUUAUUAUUGCAGUAUAUAAUAAUUCUUUAGAUGAAUUAACAGCAAAUAGAGAUCAAAAUAUCCAUUAUAUUUAAUUUAACAAAUUAAAAAUUGAAACAAAGACCCACUUAAUAAAUAAUUAAAGCAAAACCCACUAAACAAAGUCAAACUCAGCAGGCCAAUAUAUAAAAUAAUACUAAAUUUACUUGAAGAAAUCAAGUGGGGAAGAAACAAUUAUUUACAAAUACCUCGAAAUAGAACUUUUCUUGAGCGGUGCCUUCCAAGUACAACUCUUUAGUAGUUUAAAGCUUGGGCAGAGAGAAGAACUCCAUGGCUGGGCAAAAGAAAGAAGCGAGUGUAAAGUGGAAAUAUUCUAGAAGCAAUAUUUUUAAUUAAGAAAAAUUGGAGAUGGAAACUUUACUUCCGUUGGCGCGCGGUUCAUUAAAUAAAGCACGUGGAAAUAAAAAGCCUCCCACAAAGUCAUGUUGGCUUUUAUAUUAUCUUUAUAUUUUUAUUUAUUAAUUUUAGCCUACGUGUUAUUUUAGUAAUUUUUUAAUUUAUAGAAAUCUCCCCAAUCUUUAUAUAUAGCUGGUUAGGUGUUGUGUUCAAUCAAUAUUCAAUAAUACACUUUCAACUUGUUAAUUGAUUUUUUUUCUUAAUAUUAGUUUUAGUACUUUCCAAUAAUAAUUUAUUGAAGAUCUUUUUUAUCCACUAAUAAAUUAUACUUACUAGUAAAAUUGAAUUAAUCCAAUUUACUAACUUGCUAAUACACACACACCCCACUAAGUAAUUUAUUUAGUAGUCUAAUAAAAUUGAUGUAAUUAGUAAUGAUUCUUCAUCCAUUUAAUUUCCUCUUGCUUGUACUGAAUGAUAUUACAUUGAAAAGAAUGUGUUGUUACAAUGUAUCUAAAGGGCUAAUUGUCAUAUUCCUUCAACUUUAUGCCUAUUGAAUCCAAUAGAGAUUAUAAUAAUUAUUUAUCUUAAGAGGGAAAUUUUGAAUAAUGUUAGGGAUCUCAAUAUUUUAAAUCUCAAUUUGUAUCUCUAUUAAUGUCGUAUUCAUUUAUUGAACAGUAUAAUAACAAUUUUACUAGCAAUUAAAUUUAUAAUCUAAUAAAUGAAUAGUACAUAUAGUCAAGUUACAAUUGGGAUCCAAAUUAAUAUUGAGAUCUCUAGUAUUAUCUAAUUUAUAUAUAUGUCUAUAUUGGAAUUAUUAUCAUCAACACUACUAUGACCAUUAUUCAUACUUCAAUUCAUUAUUAUGAUCAAUAUUAUUACUAAUCAUAAUUUUUAUACGCUAUUAUCAUUGAUUUCUUUUUUAAAUAAGUAAAUCAAUGUUUUUCUUACAUUUAAUGUCAUCAUUUUAAAUUUUGUAUAAAAUAUUAUUAUAAACCUUAUUACCUAAAAAGUAAAAAUUUGGAAUCAUAAUUAAAACAAUUUCACAAUAUAUCAAGAUGUGUCAAAAGAGGAAUAUGGUUGCUGACAAGAAAUACUAUACUAAUUAUAGUGAAACAUGAGGAUAUAAUGGUGCCACAUAAUAGUUAUUAAACAUCAUAUAGAACUUAGUGCAAUAGUUUGCUAUUGUCAAUAUUGAAAAAUUUAAUAUUUUUGUUAACCUUUGCGGAACAAAAUUAAUCUCGUUGCAAAAAAUUCUAAAGGAGCACAAAACAAAUUUUCUCGCUAAUCACAACUUUUUAUAAUAUUUUAUUUAUUGCAACUGAUUCAAGUGUUUGUUGUGGAAAAAUUUUAGCAACGAAACAAAUUUUGCUUUCAUUAAGCUUGUUAGGCAACAAGAACACUUUUGUCGCCAAAAAUAACGUAUGGCAACAAAAUAUUUUGCUGCCAUAUAAUCUAAUUUUCUCACCUAUUCCACAUCAUUAAGAAGAACAAAAUAUGUUUAACUAUAGCGAUAAAGACUAAUUUUUAUUGCAAGACAUAAAUUUUAGCAAUAAAGUAAGUUUUGUUACAAUAGAAUUUCUAGCCAAUAGUGUAUUUUCUUGUAGUGUCUUGUAGAAAAUUCUUCAUCCACAAAGUUUCUUUGCAACUUUCGGUGAUUGCAAUAUACUCUGCUUCUGUGGUAAACAAAGCAACACAGCUGAAGUCUGGACUACCAUGAAACUGCUCCCCAUGCAAAUGUGAGCAAAUAUCCCAAUAGGGACUUUCUGGAAUCAACAUCUCCUGUCAUAUUUGCAUCAGUGUACACUUCUAACACAGGUUUGUUACCACCAAAACAUAAACAUGCCUUGGAAGUGCCUCUGAGAUAUCUGAGAAUCUACUUUACUACUGUCCAGUAUUCUUUGCUCGGAUUAAAGAGAAAUCGGCUGACUACACUAACUGCACGUGCAAUAUCUGGUCUUGUACAAACCAUGACGCAAAUCAAACUACCAACUGCUGAAGCAUAAGGAACUCUUCUCAUCUCUUGCUUCUCUUUCUCACUUAUAGGACAAUGCUCGGAACUAAGAUUGAAAUGGCCUACAAGUGGAGAACAAAUAGAUAUUCCCUUAUUCAUGUUAAAUCUUUCAAGAACCUUUUCAACAUAUGCUUCCUGAGAUAACCAUAAUUUUCCAGUCUUUCUAUCACGGGAAAUUUUCAUGCCAAGAAUCUGUUUUCCCGAUCCCAAGUCGUUCAUUACAAAAGACUUACUAAACUCUCUCUUGAGAUUGUUAAUCUUACUAGCAUCCUUGCCAAUAAUCAACAUGUCAUCCACAUAAAGCAAAAGAAUAAUAAAAUCAUUAUUACCAAACUUCUUCACAAAAACACAAUGGUCAGACAUAGUUUGCUGAAACCAUGAUUCUCUAUAAAAGAAUCAAACUUUUUAUACCACUAUCUUGGUGCCUGUUUCAGCCUAUACAAACUUUUCUUCAAUUUGCACACAAGUUCUUCUUUACCUUUGACACUGAACCCUUCAGGUUGCUCUAUAUAUAUUUCUUCCUCUAAGUCACCAUGUAAGAAAGUUGUCUUUAAGUCGAGUUGUUCAAUUUCCAAAUCCAAGCUGGUUGCUAAUCCCAGAACUACUCGGAUAGAAGACAUCUUCACCAUAGGAGAAAUAUUUCCUCAAAAUCAACAUCUUUCUUCUGACCGAAACCCUUUAACACCAAUCUAGCCUUGUACCGCUGUUGUGAGUUAUUUUCAGUCUCAACCUAUAAACUCAUUUGUUCUUCAGUGCCAUCUUUCCCUUAGGCAGCUUCACUAAAUCAUAAGUGUGAUUUUCAUUCAAGGAUCCCAUCUCUUCUUACAUGACUUUAACUCACUCACUUUUGUGCUGAUGAGAUAUAGCUUCUUCAAAACAUUCUGGCUCUCCUCUGUCUAUAAGCAUCACAUACUCAUGUGGAGGAUAGCUGGUGGAAAGUCGUCAUUCUCUGGUGGAAAGUCGUCAUUCUCUAGUGAACCUUCUCAAUUCUGACUCAACUGGUGGUGCUAGUGAUUCUGGAGGUGCUUGCUCAACUGGUUCUGCUGGACCAUCAUCAUUAUCCUCUCCAGUUCCCCCAUGAUCAUCAUGAACAACAAGUGUAGAAAUUGAAGUUGGAAUAAUAUGAAUCUUUGGAGAUGACUGAGACUCAUCGUUUUUCUCUUUAUCACUAACUAUCUGAUCUUCAAGAAAUACAACAUCUCUACUUCUUAUUAGUUUUCUUGCCACUGGAUCCCAUAAUCUGUACCCAAAUUCUUCAUGUCCAUAGCCUAAGAAAAUACAUUCCUUAGCUUUAUCAUCAAGCUUCGAUCUCUCAUCUUUAGGGAUGUGAACAUAUGCUUUGUACCCAAACACUCUCAAGUGUUUAUAAGAAACAUCUUUACCAGUCCAAACUCUCUCAAGUACAUCUCCUUCUAAUAGAACUGAAGGAGAAAGGUUAAUUAAAUCAACUGCAAUACACAUAGCCUCUGCCUGGAAUGAUUUAGGAAACUUGGCAUUAGAAAGCAUACAUCUGAUCAGUUCUUCAAUUUUUUUAUUCAUCCUUUCUACAGCACUAUUCUGCUGAGGGAUUUUUGGUACAGUCUUCUUAAGUCUGAUUCCAUGGGAUCUGCAAUAUUGCUCAAAUGGUCCUCUGUACUCACUACCAUUAUUUGCCCUAACACAUUUUAAUUUUCUUCAUGUCCCUCUCUCAACAUAAGUAUGGAAGAACUUAAACAUAUCAAGCACCUGAUCUUUAGAUUUCAAAGCAAAAGCCUACACUUUCCUUGAAUAAUCAUCAAUAAAAGUUACAAAGUAAAGUGCACCUCCUAUUGAUUUACUUUGUAUUAUACAAACAUCAGUAUAAAUCAAAUCAAUGAUUUACGACUUUUUAGAUGGAGAAAAGCUUUUAAAAGCUACUCUGUGUGUCUUCCUAGCUAAACAAUGAACACAAGUCUUGAGGGACGUACCUGUAAAACUUGGUAGAAAUCUUUUUCUAGCAAGAGUUUUUAACCCUUUCUCACUGAUGUGACCAAGCCUUUUAUGCCAUGUCUCAAUGUCAGAAUCUUUUACAGCCACAUUCACAUUUUCUUUCUUGAUUUUGGCUUCUAUUACGUAGAGAGUGUUCAUUUUAUUUCCUUUAGCUAACACUAGAGAACCUUUGGUGAGCUUUUAUUUUCCUUCACCAAAUUGAUUAGUAUAACCAUCAUCAUCAAGUUUUCCGUGGAGAUCAAAUUAAGACGAAUAUAUGGUACAUGUCAAACAUCUUUAAGGAGUAACUUACAACCAACACUAGUUUCCAAGCAAAUAUCUCCCAUGCCCAAAAUCUUAGAUGCCCCCUCAUUUCACAUCCGAACAUGGCCAUAAUCACCAUUAACAUAGAAUGUGAAGUAAUCACGAUGUGCAGUAACAUGAAACGAAGCACCCGAAACAAUCACUGUUAUGGCAAGUGAGAUUUAUAGAGUUAUCAUAAAAAACAAUACCCAUAUCACCAUCAACUACAAUUGCAGUAUUCUCCUUGUCAGUUUUCUGACCAUCGCCUUUUUCUUUUGCAUGUUCUCUUUUCCAUAAUCUACACUCUCUUUUAACAUGACCCAUUUUCUGACAGUGAAAGCACUUCAUGUUUCUCCUCUAGGACUUAGAUCUUCCUCUAGGAUUAUCAUUAUUCUGCUGACGGAAAUUUCUACUUUGACUUCUCCCCCAUCUUUCUUGGUUAUGAAACAAGUGCAGCUGACUUAAAGGGAAUUACUUCAACAAUAUUUCUUCGAGAUUCUUUAUUUCGCAGUCUAUCUGUAACCAUAUCCAAGGUUAAUUUAUCAUUCGGCGCUGAAUUAUUCACUGACACCACUAAUAUCUCCCAUUUGUCAGGCAAAGAACUAAGCAAUAACAGUGCUUGUAACUCAUCACCUAGAAUGAUCUUCAUAGUAGUCAACUUAUCAACCAAGCCCUGAAACUCACUAAUGUGUUCAGUUAUACUACGACCCUCCUUAUAUUUCAAGUUGACAAGCCUUUUCAUCAGAUUGGCUUUAUUUUGUGCUGUUGGCUGCUCAUAAAUUGUUUCUAAUUUUCUCCAAAGAACAUCAGCCUUAGAUUCUUUUGAGACAUGAUGGUACACACUCUUAUCAAUCCAUGACCUAAUAGUACCCACGACCUUCUGGUUCAAUUGAACCCAUUUCUUAUCAUCUAUAUCAGCAGGUUUAGCUUCAUCACCUUUAAUAGGUUCAUGUAAGUUUUUCAUGUAGAGCAAAUCUUCCAUUCUAGACUUCCAAAUACCAUAAUUCCACAACUUCAAUUUAAUCAUUAAGGUCGAAAACUCCCCCAUCUCAACCACACAAGUAAUAAAAACACACAACCUGACUCUGAUACCACUCUAUUGGGAAAGGGACUACCACAAGCAGCUAAAAUUAAGCGGAACAAAACUCUUUCUCUUUUUGUGUGAUUAAAAUAGGAUGUGUACCACAAAUAAAUAUGUAGAAAAGUAAAUCAAUAAAUCCAAAGUAAAAACCAACCACAAGAGAUACCGAUUUGUAUGUGAAAAACCUAAAGUGGGAAAAAUCGUGGGACCGUAGUCCGAUAUAAACUUCCAUUAUAUCAAUGAGAUUACAACACAAAUUCUUCUCCAGAUAACACUAGAGGUUAACAAUAUCAAGAUUCUCAACAAUCUUGACUUACAAUAAUAGAUCUGAAAUCUAUUUCUCCAAUAAGUAAAUAUAUCAAAUAAUAGUUAUAACGAGAAUAAAAUACAGAUCAACACUAGUAGAAAUGUAAAGAGUGAUGUCAAGAACUUACCCUCCAAAUUUGGGAUAAAUCGGAGCUAAAAUCACCUUUCAAUCGUUAAAUUAAAUAUUGAAAUCCCCAAAGGAAACUUUCUGUCUCACAGCGUCUUUUUUCUUCGCGAAAGGGCUACAGUUCUCGCGAUUCUUCACUUAUUUCCUUUAUAUAUUUUCUGAUUAAUUUCAUCCAACUCCAAAAGUUUGCAAUAAUUACACAUCAAGCAAAUUAUUUUGGACUUUAGGCAUUUUGGUCCACCGAAGUGAGAUGGACCCUACACCUAUGUUGCUGCCAUGGCUUGACACAAGGCCUCAAGCUAAGCCUUCGCAUUGGCUCUUAUUACUUACAGCGGUGAUAAAACUCCCUAACUAGAAAAGCCUAACGUCUCGUUGACUGAGUAACUAAGUCUGUCAUAACCUCCCCCUUACAUAGCCAUAAUAAAGCAUGUGCUUCUUUUUCCUUAGCAUAUGCCAGCAUGCCAACAUUAGGUUCACUAUGCACCCGUUGUGACAUCUUUAAGUCCCUCAUAUGUUUUUCCCAUAUAAAACCAUUUGCUACCCGCAACAUGAUCAAAUACCAAUAGCUUCUCCACCAGUCAUCUUGCCUAGGGAUGGAAAUGGGCAUCGCUCGCAUCGGUUUGCUAUUGUCAAACUCGUACUUGCACAAAAUUUAAAUUACCAAACCCGCACUCGCACUUGCUGUGGGUUUUAAGUUUUUAAGAAAAUCCACCCGUUGUGGGUUUUUACAAUUACCAAAUCUGUAAUGGUACCCAACGGAUUUUUUGUGGGUUCUUACAUUUAAAAUCACAAAUGUUUAAUAUGUAAAUUUAUAUUGAUAACUUAAAAUUCCACAUAACAUACUUAAUUCUAAAUUUAAUCAACAUAAAUAGAAAAUUAAAAUUUCAACAUUAAUCCAAUACAAAUUCUCAAAUUUAAGAAUGAAAUAUAUAAAUCCAUAUAAAAAAAAACACACACAAAUGCUAUGAAAAAUUCAUAAGUGUGUGGCUGUGGUUCAUGGGUGAAAGGGGAAUGGGUGUGCGGCUACUGCUCACGGGUGAAAGGGGAAUAGUUUGGAAAGUUAGGUUUUGCGACUACUGCUCACAAGUGAAAAUGAAAUAAUUUGGGUUUCCUUUAGGUUAAGUUAUGAGUUGCAACUUACGCACACCACACGUGAUAUGCUUACACUUUAUAUUUAUUUAAUUUAUAUAUUUUUAGAUUUAAUUAUUUUUUCAAUUAAAAUUUUUGAAAAAUGAAUUAUUUUAAGAUUUAAAAGUGAUUUAAAAAAUUAAAAAUUAAUUUUAGUGUGUAGUGAAUUUUUAUAAAAUUCUCUUUUGGUUUUUCAAAAUUAUCUUGAAAAUUGUUAUUUUAAUUAUCAGUUGUUAUAUAUACACAAUUAAAAAUAGUAUAUACACAAGUUUAUAAACAUAUAAAUAAAUUUUAUUCAAUAUUAUGUCUAUUUCAGUCAUUUAAAUACUUAUAACAUUUUAACAGUAAAAUUUACCAAAUACAUACGAUUGCUUUUAAAACUCAUAGUAUUUCAUAAAUAAAUAUUACUAAAUAAUUUAAUUGAUUCUCUUCACAAUUGAUUAUUUAUACAAAAUAACUAAUAAAAAUUAUUUUAAAAAUUAUAAUAUUACUAAACUGGCCUUUAAUAUACAAUUAAAUCCAACUGAUGUCUAGGAGGCCUUUAUAAAAGAUGUACAAUUAAUUAAAAAGUUUAUACAUUUUUUUUAGAUAAAAAAUAAGAUUCUUCCUUGCAAAAGAUAGUUUAUAAAAUAUUUUAUAAUUUUUCAGUAGUAUUAUUUAAAAAAUCUUCUAUAAACAUGUUUUUUAUUUCUUUUUCAACACUCACAUGUUUAAGUCGUAACCAUCCAUUAAAGAUAAAUAUCGAUCUAUUUGUAUUUAAUUAUUAACAAUUAAAUGUACCUUGAUUGGACUAUGACAAUGAUACGUUGCCUGCACAGCAUUCACGUAACCCUUUUUUUUUUUUUUUUAUCAUUUUCUUUGUACAGUUUCGUUAUUCAAACUCCAUCAAAUAAAUCAAAUUCAUAAUAUAUAAUAUCUUCCUUAAAUUUUAUUUCAAUCAACUGUAUAUACAUGUUUUGUUGCCCAUAAAUUUCGAAGUAAAUAUUAUGUCUCUAGGCACUUGUUUUUAGCACUGGGAAUAAAAACNNNNNNNNNNNNNNNNNNNNNNNNNNNNNNNNNNNNNNNNNNNNNNNNNNNNNNNNNNNNNNNNNNNNNNNNNNNNNNNNNNNNNNNNNNNNNNNNNNNNNNNNNNNNNNNNNNNNNNNNNNNNNNNNNNNNNNNNNNNNNNNNNNNNNNNNNNNNNNNNNNNNNNNNNNNNNNNNNNNNNNNNNNNNNNNNNNNNNNNNNNNNNNNNNNNNNNNNNNNNNNNNNNNNNNNNNNNNNNNNNNNNNNNNNNNNNNNNNNNNNNNNNNNNNNNNNNNNNNNNNNNNNNNNNNNNNNNNNNNNNNNNNNNNNNNNNNNNNNNNNNNNNNNNNNNNNNNNNNNNNNNNNNNNNNNNNNNNNNNNNNNNNNNNNNNNNNNNNNNNNNNNNNNNNNNNNNNNNNNNNNNNNNNNNNNNNNNNNNNNNNNNNNNNNNNNNNNNNNNNNNNNNNNNNNNNNNNNNNNNNNNNNNNNNNNNNNNNNNNNNNNNNNNNNNNNNNNNNNNNNNNNNNNNNNNNNNNNNNNNNNNNNNNNNNNNNNNNNNNNNNNNNNNNNNNNNNNNNNNNNNNNNNNNNNNNNNNNNNNNNNNNNNNNNNNNNNNNNNNNNNNNNNNNNNNNNNNNNNNNNNNNNNNNNNNNNNNNNNNNNNNNNNNNNNNNNNNNNNNNNNNNNNNNNNNNNNNNNNNNNNNNNNNNNNNNNNNNNNNNNNNNNNNNNNNNNNNNNNNNNNNNNNNNNNNNNNNNNNNNNNNNNNNNNNNNNNNNNNNNNNNNNNNNNNNNNNNNNNNNNNNNNNNNNNNNNNNNNNNNNNNNNNNNNNNNNNNNNNNNNNNNNNNNNNNNNNNNNNNNNNNNNNNNNNNNNNNNNNNNNNNNNNNNNNNNNNNNNNNNNNNNNNNNNNNNNNNNNNNNNNNNNNNNNNNNNNNNNNNNNNNNNNNNNNNNNNNNNNNNNNNNNNNNNNNNNNNNNNNNNNNNNNNNNNNNNNNNNNNNNNNNNNNNNNNNNNNNNNNNNNNNNNNNNNNNNNNNNNNNNNNNNNNNNNNNNNNNNNNNNNNNNNNNNNNNNNNNNNNNNNNNNNNNNNNNNNNNNNNNNNNNNNNNNNNNNNNNNNNNNNNNNNNNNNNNNNNNNNNNNNNNNNNNNNNNNNNNNNNNNNNNNNNNNNNNNNNNNNNNNNNNNNNNNNNNNNNNNNNNNNNNNNNNNNNNNNNNNNNNNNNNNNNNNNNNNNNNNNNNNNNNNNNNNNNNNNNNNNNNNNNNNNNNNNNNNNNNNNNNNNNNNNNNNNNNNNNNNNNNNNNNNNNNNNNNNNNNNNNNNNNNNNNNNNNNNNNNNNNNNNNNNNNNNNNNNNNNNNNNNNNNNNNNNNNNNNNNNNNNNNNNNNNNNNNNNNNNNNNNNNNNNNNNNNNNNNNNNNNNNNNNNNNNNNNNNNNNNNNNNNNNNNNNNNNNNNNNNNNNNNNNNNNNNNNNNNNNNNNNNNNNNNNNNNNNNNNNNNNNNNNNNNNNNNNNNNNNNNNNNNNNNNNNNNNNNNNNNNNNNNNNNNNNNNNNNNNNNNNNNNNNNNNNNNNNNNNNNNNNNNNNNNNNNNNNNNNNNNNNNNNNNNNNNNNNNNNNNNNNNNNNNNNNNNNNNNNNNNNNNNNNNNNNNNNNNNNNNNNNNNNNNNNNNNNNNNNNNNNNNNNNNNNNNNNNNNNNNNNNNNNNCGCAACUAAAAUCCCUUAUUUUAAAUGUUUUUACUGUAUUUUAAAAUUAUUUAUUGUAUGUACAAAUAUUUGUAGUACUAAAUACCCUAACUCUAAUCAAUUUUAUUUUUAAAUUUAUUUCAAUAAUUUUUAGGGAAAAUUAUUGUUAUAUAACCAAAGUUAGAGAAAAUGGUCAUAUAGAUCCCCAUGUUUUAUAUAAGGGACAACAAAACACUCUUUUAACUAUAAUAUUCUUUGUAAAUAGUAACUAAAAAAUUGAUUUUAAAAUUUUUUAAUAAAUAGAAAAUAUACAAAUAUAUUUUUUAAUAUAUACACUAAGUUUUAAAAUGUAAAUUAUUAUACUUAUUCUAAUAAUAUAUUUGUAUUUAUUAUAAAAAAUUAAAUAAAUCUUUAGGUUAAAUAUAUUUUACAAUUAAUAAAAUAUAUUUCAUGUAUUAAUAAUAUGAAAAUUAUUUUAUAUUAUAUUGAAAAGAAUUUAAAUUUUUAUAUGUUUAUAUUAUGUUUUCGUUUAUUAUAAAACUUAGUUGAUUGUAAAGGAUUAAAAUAUUUUUUAAAUAUUAAAAUUAUUUUAAAAUGUAUAUAUUGUCAUUCAUUUUAAUAUUAUAUUUUCAUGUAUUAUAAAACAUUGGAAUUAAUUUCUUUAAAUUAAUAGUGCCAAAUGAUAUUAUAAUCAAAAGAGAUAUCAGGAUCUUUUAUUGAAAAUUUGAGGAGUUUACAUGACCGUUCCCUAAUUUUUAAAGUAUGAUGAAUAUAUAACAAAAUUUUAUUGAAAUGAAACGUAAAUGAGUAUAAUAAGAAUAAGUGAAUUGUUAAUCGUAUUGAAAACUCUAAAUUCACACUUGAUAAUUGUCAAUCUAAAGCUAACUUAUUUAAUAAUUAGGUCGAUUUUUAAUUAUUAUUAAUUUAUUAUUUCGUGUCAAGUUCCUAUCAAAUUCGUCCAUCAUGUCAAAAGUUGUUACCUCAAAUAAAAAUAAUUAAAUACAUUUAGGAACAUGUCACAUCUUUCUAUUUUCCCAUCGACAAAAAAUCUGAUGAGAAAAUUUUCCACCAACUUUGAUAUUGUCUUAUAUCCACUAUGUUUCCCAAAUCAUAUUUUUAUCUUGAUUCCAACUCUUGGUUAUUUUACUAUAUAUAAAAAAAAAAGAGAGAAAAAAACUCUGGAUUAUUUUAAUAGACAAACAAUCUUGAAUAUAGAUAAUAAGAAAUUAACAAUGUUAUCCCGCGAAUUUCACCCUCUAAUCAACAAGUGCAUCCUCAAUAUUAAAAUUUGCACGUUUGCUUAGAGAAUACUUAAAAAGAAAAAAAAAAUUGAAAUUAAAUAUUGAUGGUCAAAUUUGGACCAUGAAGCUAAAUUAUUGCUUAAUAACAAUCCAAUAAUUGCACAAAAAAUUAGAAAUUUUAGUACCAUCAUUUAAAAUAGAUUUUCCGUUUAUCGAAUCAAAAACCUGUACAAAUACUAUAUUAAUUUUUUAGAUAGUAAAUAAAUUUUUGGGUUUAUAUUUAGAAAACAAUUUAAAAAGAGAAAAUUAUUAAUAUUGUUAUUAAUAAGUUUUAUCGAUUAUUUUUUGUUAUACAUCACCACACGUAUUUUAAGACAUAAUAUCAAUUAUCUACAAGAUCAUCAUAAACAAUUUAUUUUCUCUAUAAUUAUUAAUGAGGUCAGAAUUAUAAAUCAUUGAACAAAAUCAGGAAAUAUCCCACGUGGAAUUUAUUAAAAAACCAGAAAUUAAAAUAUUUAAAUAUUAUUGAAUCGUGCUUGGAAACUCAGUCUACACGCCGUCUCCUUCCAUGCAUAAAAUUCAAAGUCAGUUGAAGUUUCUAAUGUCCAGGUUCAAAUAUACCCCCAACAUUGUACAAAACUACAGCUAACAUAUAUUGGUACAACCGUAAAUUAGGCGAACGAAGAUGAGGAUAUUUUCGCCACAAAAAAACCUCACCGGUUUCCAUCUCUGGCUCUUUCUCCAUUUUCAUGUGUUAAAUGUCGCCCUUCAAAGUACAACGGUCCAAUUUUCUCUCUGACUUUCUUUUUUAUUUAUUUAUUUUCUUAUUCUGUUUCUUUUUUUUUUCAAUUAAUUUCUCUCCGAACAAACAAAACCCUUAAAACCCCCAUUUGAAUUAAUUUAUUCGAAAAUUUUAAAUUAAAAGUAAGAGAGGAGGUCGAGUUGGAGUUAGAGGUAGACGAAGAGAAAGAGAAAGAGAAAGAGAAGGUCCAAAACGACAGACAUGAUGAUUGAAACGGCAAUGGAGAUUCUGGUACCAUCGUGGUGGGAGAUUCAAGUGACGGUGGCUGCGUCGCUGUGCGUGAUCGCCUCCUAUUGGUUUUUCUUUUCUAAAACCGGAGAUUUCGGCGUUGACCGAUCGCAGCUUGUUGAGAAUUCUUCAAUUAGUGCUAUUGAUGAUAAAGACAAGGUCAAAGUAAUUUUAUUUUUUCACCUUUUUUUUCUGUUUACUUUUAAUCUUUUUGACGCUGCUGAGUUUUGAUAUAAAUGAUGAGAAUAUUUGAAGUGUUAACUUUUUUCGAGGGAUUAGCUUUGUCUGAGUGUUGAAAGAUUGAUGAAAAUGGGCCAAAAAAAAUUGAGGUGAAUUUGAUGCUUGUAUAUGAUUAGGCAAUUGGGUAGAAUAAUGAAAAGGAGUCUUUGAUUAUUUGUUAAUAGAGAAUUAUGAAUGUUCCAUUAAUUAAUAACCUCCUCUGCAAGGAAGAUUCUUGACAAUUCUAGGAGCAUGUUUGGGGUUUGAGGUACUGUGGCUUUUUAUCCGAAAGUUGCUGUUGGUUGGAAUCAGCAACUGCAAGUACAAUUUAAUUUUAGUUUGGAUAUAUUUUUUGGACUCAAGGUGCAAAGACAUUUCAUUUUUUCUACUUUAUUUUAUAGAAUAGGAAAAUUGUAAUAAAUUCAGUUUAUUUAAAAAUUAUUUAUUUUUUCUUAUAUGUAAGUUAAUUAUGAAAUGCUAUUCUAUUUCUUUUCUAGAAUACCCGAUAUUUUCUUUUCGAUGCCAAAGUGUUAAAUUUUCAUAGAGCUUAGAUCUUUGUAUCAGUAACGUGAUGGUUAUCAAUUCAUUUUGGAUAGCGGCUGUCCUCUGUUUGUUUCAUAUUUUAUACGAUUGAUAGUGCUUUUUUGAAGGAAAAUAAAUUGAGAAAGUUUCUUCCUCUUUAUUUUUUUUUUAGGGUCACUGAUCUAGUAUGUUAUUAUAGCUCCCAACUAUGAAUGAAAGUUGGGGGAAGUUUGAUCUUUGCAGAAUAAAUCAAGAAAGGGAACAUUAUUGGAUUUAUUUUUAUAUGUGCAUAUACAUUACAAUGGUCCGGAGAUUGAUACAAAUCAUCUCAUUAUUCUUUGUGGAAAAUUCUUUAGUGGAUUUUGCUUCUGUUAUCAUUUAGUUUUGGUUUAAUUUAGGUUUAUGAAAUUCAAAAAAGGUUUACGAAAAAAGAAUACACCGUCUAGGGCUUUGAUAGGUUAGUGGUUGAUAAAUAUUAUCUCUCAAGUAAAUCUGGAUAUUACCAAACUCAUAUGCCACUGUGCUUUCAAAGUUAAGCAUAAACAUAACAGCUGCAAACAUACACUAAGGCUUGUUUCAGUUUAGAAAUUGGAGGGAGGCUCGUGAUAAAUUUCCUUUCUUUCAAGGGAUAUAUCUAAUGAAUUUUAACACAUCAGGGUUGAGUUUUAUAAAGUUGUAAUGUAUAGGUGGUCGGUGAUAUUUACCCAAAUAUGAAUUGUAUUUUUAAUUUUAUGUAAUACCUGUGUGAUCUUGUAUGUGAUUGUGCAGCUUGGUGUCUAAUUCACUACAAUUAGGGAAUCUUUUUCUCUUUGAGCUUUGGUUAUUCAUUAUUUGUUUGAUUCCUAUCUUUAUAAUUUCCAUGCUGUGUAAUGUGAUUGAUGCAUGAAAAGUGACAGUUGUCUUUCAUGUUUAAUAAUAUAUUUUGGUUUUUGGUUGCCAAAAAACACAGGAAAGGGAAAGUUAUUGAUUUCUGUGUAUUACCAAUUUUGUAAUUUGGGGCCAAAAUCGUAACUAAAUUGGCCAAGUAUAUUUGUUUGUCUUAGUUUAGACCAUAGUUAUUACAAGACUCUAUGAAAUAGUGUGCUUCACUUUUUAUAGAAAGAGAAUGAAGGACAAAUCUCAAGAUAUUGGUUAGCAAGCAGAUAACAGAAUUUCUGUUCUUUCUUGCACGCGAAAAAUUUUAAGUUUGAGGCUUUACAAUCAUCUUCUUCAAUGCAGCGUGUUAUUUUUUCUUGGUUUUGCAAGUCAAGACCACAUUGCUGAAGCUGUUGAGUUUUACAUUGUCCUUUAACUUCAAGAUUGGAAUUCCAGUUUGCUGUAAUAGGCUACUCUGCGUGGCACUUGUUUCAUCCAGUAAUUUUCCACUUCUUUGACAUGCAGUUCUUCACUUAUUUUGUAGAUGGUCCAGUUUAAAGGAGACCCUCAAACCAAUUCUGCAUAUUUAAUUAAGGUAUCUUUUCUUUUUGAUCUUGUUUAUGCUUUAAUCUGGUAUAUGUGAAGCUGUAAAUGAAUUCAAUCAUCUGCAAGUUUUCAUAGGAUUAAAUAUUAUGUCUUGACCAAUGUUAUGGAAUCUCCUUUGGUUUGAGAACAAGAUUUUGUUUGCCCUGUUUUUCAGUUGGAAUUGUUGGCAGCUAAGAAUCUCAUUGGUGCAAACUUAAAUGGCACAUCAGAUCCAUAUGCCAUCAUUACUUGUGGUUCAGAAAAACGAUUCAGGUUAUUUGAUCUAUCUUCUGCUUGUUCACAUUUUUCUUAAUAGGUGAUUAUUUCCAACUGAUUCGUUGAAUUUCUUUCACGAUUAGAUCUUUCAGUUCCUCAGGUUAUUAUUGUUAGAUUUCGGUGCCAUCACCAAUUUGCAUUUAUAUUUAAUUGUUAUUUGGGAACAUGAGAGAGUAUAACUGUACAAUGAGGGUUUUAAGAAAUUGUGGUACCAUUUAGACUGAAAGUUGGGUAACUUGAUCCUGAAGAUUUAAUGAAGGUAUAUGGCUAGGCUUUUGUGUUUUAUUUUAUUAUGCAUGUUUAAUAUAAGCUCCUCAAGUUACUUGGGAAUGUUCCUGCUUGAUUUCAUACUUGAUCUGUUUGCAUCUUUAGAAAUGAAUGGGGGCAAACGUUUCAUUUAUUAAUGGAGUGCAUGAAUAUGAAUUGUGUGCUAGUAUGUGAUUUUUAAAUAAGAGAUGGGACAGUUGAAUAUUAAAAAGAACUUGUUAGUUGAUCAAAAUCAGGAAUUGCAACUAAUUUAUUUACGUUUUAAAUGGUAAAAUACUUUCAUGCUUUAGUAAAUGUCCUCUUAUUUUCUUGUGAUAAAUGUUUGGUUGGUUUUAUACUGUGUAGUUCUAACUUUAUUGUGCCUGCAGUUAUAAAAUUUCUUCUUGUGUUGUUGGUGCAGUUCAAUGGUCCCUGGUUCCAGAAAUCCAAUGUGGGGAGAGGAGUUUAAUUUUUCUGUUGAUGAGCUUCCUGUUCAGGUUCCUGUUAUGAUUCACCAUUUUUACUACUGUUUCUUGUUUGGGUUAAUUAUUGAUUGACUUAGUGGUUUCAGUUGCUGAAUGAUGGAGAUCAUUGUUGUGAGUCUAGUUCUGGUAAAGAUGUUUAAUGUAUAAUAGUACAAUUUAUCAAAUGCCACUAAGAGACAGUGUGAUUCUGAGCUGACUGCAUGGCCCUCGGUUUAUGCCUUGCAUGUAAAAGCUUGGCCAAUAAGUAAAAGUUUUGUUCUUUGAGAAUUUAUGCAUGCACUUGUGGUCUAAUCUCAUAAAUAUUAUUGGCAGAUCCUUGUUUCUCUUAAGACACAUUCAAAAUAUUUUAAUUGUUUUGUUUAUUGUCAUUUAGUGCCCAAAAUGAGUUUGUUCCGUUACCUGAUGCAUUGAUCAGAUCCUUGGACCUAACCCAUUUUGUUUAAAUGAUAUUUAAAGUUACUGGUGAAAGUAAUCUCUUCCUUUUAUAAUAUUUAUAUUUCCUUGAUGGUCCAUAAUUGUCUAUAUCAGCGUGUCUCUUUUUGUGCAGUUGAUUUGUGAUUAAAAUCAACUUUUUCAAAUUGAUUUGGCGCUGACUAUUGUAGUUAUGAAUGACAUACUGAUAUGGUGUGAUGUUGUAGGGGUGGUUGGAUAGGUUUUGUAUGGAUUAUUUCCCUGCCCUUAUAUUUUUGUCCUUUUGAUUUUCUUUGUGGACAACAGGUUCACUUUUGUAUUUGGUUACUUUCUUCAAUCAAUGUAUAAUUGUCAAUUUUUUCCUAAAAUAGAAAAUCCGAUGUGUAGCGAGAGAUCCUGUGAAUUUUUUUUUUGGUUGUUUCAUUCAAUAUACUAAUAGCUUUAUCUACUGCCCUGACAGAUUAUUGUUACAAUUUAUGACUGGGAUAUAAUUUGGAAAAGUACUGUUCUUGGUUCAGUGACUGUGACAGUUGAAAGUGAAGGCCAAACUGGUGCAGUGUGGUAUACUUUAGAUAGCCCGUCUGGGCAGGUAGUCCUCUUUUGUAAAUUGUGUAAUGUUAUUUUAGUAUUUUCAUUAUUUGUUGUCCUUUUCAGUUUUGCUCAUUUUAUGUAAUAACCAACCAAAAUACCAUUUUAUCAGGUGUGUCUACAUAUUAAAACAAUUAAACUGCCUGUAAAUGCUUCCAGGUAUCUUUUGAUUCAUUUUUUUGUCCUUUUUGCUUUUGUUUGUACUGUUUUUCAUUUGUAUACAAUAUUUAGACCCCUACACUAAAACAUUGGCCUGUCAUUGUGUAGACAGUUUUUUCUUCUUUAAUUAAUCUCUGCUAGAACUUCUACCAUAAGGAAUUCUGGAAUUAUAAUUUUCUUUUAAUCUUUUACAUGUUGGGGUUGGUCAAUAAUGUUAUAACUCAUUUUAAGAAAUCUUUUCAAGAAUGUUUUCAUGGGUGAUCUCUUGCUUCGCCCUGUACGGUAAACAGUGUUUUGAAUAUUUCUUGAUGGUUGCUAUUUUGGUGGUUUAGCGUUGGAAAGAGUAAAGGAGUGUCUGGGAUGAUUAGUUAGAAUUAGAAAGUGUAUAAAGGAAUGUUUAAAAAGGAUAAAGAGCGAAGGAGGGUUGAAAAAUGAUAAAGAGGGUUCUUUGUAUGGUUUCUUGAACUUUUCCUAUGUCUUAGAUCCUGUGCAUCUGUGUCUUUUCCUAUAAUUAUCUGAGCAGGCAAUAGCAUUGAUAUAUUUCUGAUAUUGUGUCUGACCUUGGGGUCAAGUUCUGGACAUUUCUGUUUUCUCUUGCAUCCUAUCUACAAGGGGGAAUCUGGAGUUUUUGGGAGAGGAAGUGAGAUUUCUGCAUUUAUAGUUAAAAAUGUGGUUUUUUUGUCAAUAUUAUUUUUUCUUGGAUCCUCUGUAUUUAUGCUUUUUUUUCCCCUAAAAGUAUCUGAGCAGGGCAGUGACAAUGUUCUAUUUCAGAUAUUGUGUCUGGACUUGGUUUCAAGUUAAGGACAUUUCUGUUAUAUCUUGGACCCCAUCUACAAGGGGCAAUCUGGAGUUUUUCGGGAGAGGGAGAGAUAUUUCUGUAUUUAUAGUUGAAAAUGUGGUUUGUUUGUACUUUGUUCAAUAUUAUUCUGCACCGAUAGCAAACUUUUAAUUGACCUAUCUUAAAAUUUAAUUAUUUAUUUAUCAACUUCUUGUGCACGAUAAAUAAGAUUAUGUCACAUUGUUUUCCCUUUUAAAUCUGUAUGAUACAGAAUUAUCUGAUUGCCCAUUCACUGCAAAAUUUGGUGGACCUCUGUUGUUACCAUUGUAAUUGCUCUCAAAAGUAUGACAGAGUAGUAUUCACUGGCAGGGUAAUGAAUGGAUAUGCAGGAGCCAAUGCUCGAAGAAGGGCUUCCUUGGAUAAACAAGGGCCAACAGUGGUUCAUCAAAAACCAGGGCCUCUGCAAACAAUAUUUAAUCUCCUUCCAGACGAGGUCAGUUGCACAGCAGUCAUGACUUGGUAGAAUUAUUUACCUCCUCAGCUUAUAGCAUUUGAAACCUUUGGAUUAUGGAUAUGAAUGAAUCCUUAAUUUAGUGAUUCUGCUUACAGCUUGUGGAACAUAGUUACUCUUGUGCACUUGAGAGGUCAUUCUUGUAUCACGGCCGUAUGUAUGUCUCUGCAUGGCACAUAUGCUUCCAUUCUAAUGUCUUUUCAAAGCAGAUGAAGGUUAGUUGGUAUUUCUUUUAUGCCAUUUGCUAAGUUAUUUUUAACUGUUUUUUUUUUCUCUUAAGAAUAUUCUGAUAGUAUUUACGGCAUACCCAUGAAGAAUCUUACUAAUUGAUUGGGCAUGAUUGGUAGUUGCAUGUUUUAAUGCCGUUUUGUUUUCUUUUGGCAGGUGAUUAUACCAAUUGGAGAUAUUGAUGAGGUAAUUUCUUUCAAUCUUUUUCUUUUGAAGAUAUCUGUCAGAAAAUAUUUUUUUAUCCAGUGCCUACUGCCUACGGUGUGAUAAAUGAUAUGAAGUGCUUAUAUAAAAAGUUUCUUUAUGUAGAUACGGAGGAGCCAGCAUGCAUUCAUUAAUCCUGCUAUAACAAUUAUUCUCCGGAUGGGUGCUGGUGGGCAUGGCGUACCUCCUUUGGGAAGUCCAGAUGGUGAGUGGCAAUUUCCUUUUUUGACAAUGCUUAAAAGGUUUGUCUAUACAUUUUUUUUUUAAUUUGUUUUCCUUCAAAUUUUUUCCAUAUCUGGAAGAGAAUCAUGCUUUGGGCUUGCACUUUUGAUUCUCAGCAUUUUUUCAAUUGAGUCAGCAUGCUAGUGAUAAAAUAUGUGCAAGCUUUUGAGUGCUGAUUUGGUUGAUGUAUUUGUGUGUUAUAAUCUGAAACAUAGAUCUACUUUUAUGAUGUCACUUCUGUGUACUGGAAUCACCUUUUUUGGUUGGGGGGGGGGGGGGUGUGGAUGAUGCGUUAGUUUGGUUAGUUAGUCAUAGCAAAUAAGCAUCUUCAUUCUGUGAUUGAUGGGGAUCAACCCUAUGUUUGACAAAUUUCUGUUUUGGAAUUUUCCCUAAAAAAAGGAAUAACACCAUUGCAGUUAAAAGUUUGGGGAGAAUAUAGUUCCUUUCCGGGAGGAGGUUGGAGAUGCUAGUGUCCCAUCUAUCUUUGACAUAUUUUGUAUAGCACAGAAUUUUUUUUUCACUUUUCUGCUUUCUCAGUGGACAGCUGGUCCACUCCUUGUAAUGAUUCUUCAUCAUUAAUAUAACAUACAGUUUCUUAUUCAAAAAAAAAGAAAGAAAAGAAAGAGAGUUUGGAGAUGCUAGCUGCAGUAAGAAUGUUUACUGAAUAUUAAAGAUAGAGGAGAAAAUUAGACAUAGAGGAUAAAUUAGACACUUUUCAACUUUGUCAAAUUCAAGGAGUAAUUUAAAUGAUGGGUAGAUAAUCUUCAUUUUAUCUAUUCAUUUCUUUGUUUCUUUUUUCUUUUUAAAACAUUUUUCAGCUGGUCCAUACUUGUUCUCUUUGGAAGUUUCGUGAGUGUAUACUCAAUUAUCUACUUUAUGUUUGAUAGAGGAAUAGGAAUGGAAGAGCAGAGUGUGGGAGGAUUCAAAGGAUUUAGCUUAAAAGUAAAGAGUUUUUUUCUUCAUUAAAUUCUUAUAAUGAAAUUAUUCGAAGAAUUGUAUGAUUGUUGUAGUGUGUUACCUACCAUACAGGCACGUUAGAGGUUUACUGAGUUCAUUUUCAAAGUAUAUAAAGGAUAUACUGUUGAUUUUGAUCCACUGGACAGGUUGGUCUCAAGUUUGAAAUGAUAUAUUCAGGUUUUGUAUUUUGCAAGGGAGAGAGAUAUUUUGUUAGAAAAACUGUUGAUUGUUGGUAAAAUAUAGUGUUACAUAGCAGAGUAAGGGUAUUUGUUAUUUCAGAUUCAUGGUUAAAUCUUGUUUUUAUGACAUGUCGAUAUUUAGCUUGUUCUUCGUCAAUUUAAAGUGUCUUAUGCUAUAUCUGGAUUUAUAUUUAUUGAAACUUCUCCAUUUUAAUGGUUUUUUCCCUUUUGACUUUGAAGUGCUUGUUCAAACUGGAGUGGAUUAUAGAUGCUUCAUCAGAUGUGUUGGCAAAGCUUUACUUUUGUGGCACUAAUUUCAAUUGCAAACUUUGCCCUGAUUUUUAACAUGUUUUAUUUCAGCUUGCAAAUAGUAAUGAAUCAUGUCAUAGGAUUCACUUAGUAGACUUGAGUGCAUGAAGAUUCUGAAAAAGUGCCCCACUCAGUUAGAAUCUUGAUUGCAUGUAAGGUUCACCCUAAUUAUGAAUUUAGCUAACUUUCCUGUUACUUCCUUUUUUAAUUAGUUUUUUUUGUAUAAGAAUGUGUUUGAUUUCAAUAAUUGUGGUGUGGUAUUUGUGUGUCCUGAUGCAAGUUUGUAAACUGUUUCACUCUUCUUAAGUUUGAACUAUCCUUGCUUGAUAUGCUAGCAUUACAUAAUGCUGCCUCUGAAUAAUUAUGUUUCAUUGCUUUCCCUUAGGGCUUCAGUGGUUGCUCUGUAAAAAUUCUGAAUCUGAUGUGCAGAUUGAUAUUUUGAUUUAAAUGAAAAGUUACAUUUAAAUACACCAGCUCUCACUUUAGAAAUUUAUCGAGUAUUCUCUGAAAUAUGCCCUUUUUAAGGUUACUGUUAUGCUUGUGUUUCAAAUGUCAUGUCGGUGUAAAACACUAGGUCAAUUUCUUGUUUGUUGAAAAUCAUGCACUUCUAUGAUGACUGGAGUGUAUUGUAAUAUAUUUGAAUAUGAACUUCCAUUUAAAACAUCUAAUUAUCGUACGAACUAAUAUCCAGUGUAUUGGCUUUCCUUGAUGGGUGUUAUUAUUACUUUUGUGUUCUGUUUAGGUUAUUGAAUAGUGGAACAUCAUGUGUGAUUUGGAUGCAUUUUCAGUUUGAUCUGAGUUGUUGAGGUUUCUUUUUGGCCUUUAUUUUCUCUUUCAUUUUCAGGUAGGGUCAGAUAUAAAUUUGCAUCAUUUUGGAACAGGAAUCAUGCCUUGAGACAAUUGCAACGUAUUGCAAAGAACUAUCAUAAAAUGUUAGAGGCUGAGAAGAAGGUUCGUUCGUAUUGCUUCAUGAAUCAUUGUGUCUGUAACUUUUAUCAUUAUUGACCUUUACAACUCUAAUCUUGGUUAUCAACUGUAUGGAUAAAAUGGUCAUCGUUUAAAAUUGUGAAGAGGUCUGACACAAAUCGCUAAGUGGUUCCUAACCCCAUAAUGACUAUGGAAAUAAGUAGAUUCACAUAGUUCUUUCCAACUUGUUGAAGUUAAAAUAUGAAUGCAUGGGGUUUCAUUGUCUGGUAUUUACUAAGAGUCGUAUCAUCAAUGAGCUGUCUUUCCGAGUUCUUGAUUUAGCGAAAUAGAACUCUUAUACUGGGUUUUUAGUAAUACAAUACUUCUGGUUUAUUAGUAAUAUAAUACAGAAACAAUGUAGAUAUUAUAUUUCCUCUCUGUUGUCUAUAUAGCUCUUUUUCUCUAUUGCUGCUACUAAAACAUCUCACACACUUCUCAUGUGGCAGGAUGUACCCCUUUACUGGAGUUCAUUCACUAAUGUUGAGAAUAAAACAUACAUAUUAAAAAAAAAUAUGUACAUAUUUUGGCACAUCUAUAAACUGCUAAGUAGUCAUGGCUUUGUCAACACAUUUUUAAGACGCCCACAUUUAAUUACCACCAUAGAAAGGCCAAAGUUCAACUAUUGUGUUCUAUUUUAGAAGUUAAAGUCAGUCUCUUUAAUGUUACUAACAGUGAAGGAGUUUUCUAUCCUGUUGUGUCAGGCAUUGAUGGUUGUCUUCCUUGUUGGAAUUGAUAGUUUUUUCAGUUUUGCUGAAACUUUUGGUGUCCGAGCUGCUACACUUAUUUUGGGCAUAUGUCCUGACAAGAUACAUCUAACCCAUUUGAAAUGGGAUUAGGAUCAGAUCUUGGAUAUGUAUUUUGCUGAACUUUUUCUGUGACUAGUAUGAUUUAAUGAAGAAAAAAGUUAAUUCAAUCUGCUUGCUGCUGUAUAGGAGAAGGCAGAAUCGGCGUUGCGUGCACAUAGUAGCUCCAUUAGAGGUAGUAGAAGGCAGGCUAAGAUUGCGGAAGAAACAGUCACCAAACCUGAAAAGCUUCAACCUUUUAUCAAAGAAGAGGUUCUUGUUGGUAUAUACAAUGUACGCAUCAUCUUUUUCCUUCUUUCAUGGUCUAUGAAUUUUUAAGUUGUGUUAUUACCAUUAUAGAAUGCAUUAAUGUAUUUUGCAGGAUGUUUUCCCAUGCACAGCGGAACAGUUCUUUACUUUAUUGUUUAGUGAUGAUUCUACGUUCACAAAUGAGUAUCGUGCAGCUAGAAAGGAUACUAAUCUUGUUGUAAGUCCAAGUCCAUUUUUUGAAAUCAUAGACCCUAGAAAAUUGUUUCUUCCUUUUGUAUUCUCUAUAUUUGAUCAACGCAUUUUUCUUUACCAUGAAGAAAAAGAACAAAAGAGCUUCUCAUGGUAAUGCAUUUAUGAUUUAAGGAAUAUCCAUGUUGAUAUGUUAAAAAGGAUUACGAGCUAAAUCUUUAAAGGAUGCAAAAGUACCUUAAACACGGUGCUGAUUAUAUAAGUACCUAAAUUGGAUAUGGAAGUUUAUAUGUUGCAUACCUGGUUUAGGCAUUCCAGCCAGUGGAAUGUCAAGGAUAAUUAAAACAUAUGUUAAAUUAUAGAAAAGAAGAUUGUUUGGAAAGGAUAUUUCCCAUUUUUCUUUUAUAUCGUUGGCAGUUAGGAUUUGCACAUUCUAGAGUUAAGCUUAUUAGAGGCAUUAGGACUAAUGCUGAGCUGGUAGUGCUCUCCAUGAUGUCUAGGACAACGGUUCCUUAAAAACCAAAUUAUGGAGGAAACAACGUUAUGUAUUCUGAUGUAGGACUUGGAACCUUGUUUGGUUAGCACUGAGUAUUGCUUCUGUUUGUUCUAAUUAUCCUGUGUACACUGUAUGGACUACUUGUGAAGUUCAGAUGAUUAUAUUAGCCCAAUUGCUAGUUCAAUGGGCAAAUAUUGCCUCAAAAGGCCUGCUCUUGUCCAUCCAAAUAGAGCUUCUGUUUGGGGUUCGGGGUUGAUAAGGGUCCGGGUAAGCAGUUUUGUUUCUGAUGAUUAUCCAUAUGGAUCACUUAUCCUUCCAGUUCCGUGUGCUUUUCCAUCUAAGAAGAAGAUUUUAUUUCUGGAUUCUGAAUAUCGGUUGGUUGAUAUUGAAAUAUUUGCUUACUAUCUCAUGCUUUAUCCAGAUGGGACAGUGGCAUGCUGCAGAUGAAUAUGAUGGUCAAGUAAGAGAGAUCACAUUUAGAUCUCUCUGUAACAGUCCCAUGUGUCCACCUGACACAGCCAUGACGGAGUAUCAGCAUGCAGUUUUAUCACCAGAUAAGAAAAUAUUUGUAAGGCUAUCUGUCUCAUUGCCUUAAUUUUUGGCAACAUUGAUAAUGUGCUUGCCAUUGUUUUUUCUUAUUUAUUAUCUAAUAGUUUUAAAAAAUUUGCAUUGUUAUUAUUUCUGUCUUAUUAUCUUCAAAUGGCACCUUGCUUGUUAAAAUCUGACGUCAAUGAUUUUUUCUUGUAAAUUUUGGAUUAAACAUGUGUCUUUUCUUUUAGGUUUUCGAGACAGUCCAACAGGCACAUGACGUUCCAUUCGGGUCUUACUUUGAGGUAUGAAAUAUUUUUCUAUUUGGACAUCAUACUUUUGGUUCACAUUUCUUAUUAGAUGUCAAUGUUAAUUGAAUUAAACAAGACAAGUUAUUUUGUUUUAUUUUAUUAUGUUAAAAAAAUAAAUAAGUAGAACAUCUGAUAUAUUUAAAAUUUGUAUGGUCAUCAUUACUUUUUUUCUGUGCUAAGAUAGGUGAACCAGCAUUUUCCAAAAUAUUUUAGCGUAACGUGUUUUCUGGUUGUAUUUCCUUGCUUAGAGGGUUGUAACCUAUAAGAGAAAUAUUCCACUUUGUUAAUGCAAUGUAAUUGUUCUGCUGUAUCAGAUUCAUUGUCGAUGGCAUUUGGAGACCAUUUCUGAAAAUUCCUCUACUAUUGAUAUUAAAGUGGGUAAGUUUUGGUUUGAUGUUCAUCUCUUUGACUAUCUUUUCCUAUUGCUGUGAUGAUUUUUCAUGCCCUAAUAAUGGUUGAAACAAGCUUGCAUCAAGAAUUGUCGUGGCAUCCUGUGAGGACACAGAAGCAUGUAAAUUAAUGCUGAAGGUGUUAGAAUCUUACUGUUGCAUUGCAUUGAACCUGUGGGUCAAAAUAUUGAGCAACUCCAACCUUGCUUUUCUUUUUUAAUUCUAGUGCUUGGAAUUUACUGUUUGUGCAAUAUCUGCAGGUGCACAUUUUAAGAAAUGGUGUGUCAUGCAAUCCAAAAUCAAGACAGGUGCUGUUAACGAGGUUGGUACUCUAAUUGUACAAUUUUCCUUAUUAAUCUUUUCUUUAUUACAAUGAAAAAUGAACUCCAUAAUUUUUGAAAUAUGAAUGAAUUUAGUAAGCAAUGAAUUCUUUUGUUCUAUGCCAGUACAAGAAAGAAGUUGAACUGAUGUUAGAAACGGCACGUUCAUAUAUCAAGACACGUACUUCCGGUGGCGAGACUAACAACCAGUCGUCCACUCCAUCUGUAACUCCAGAUUGUAACUAGUAGUGCAACCGUAUCAGAUCCAGUAAUUUAUGUUGUUGUAGCAGUCCCCAUUUUUGAAUGUAUAAUACACACGCACACACACAUAUAUAUACACACAGCCCAAGGUCCCUCGUGAUGGUGAUAGUGUCAUCAUCUUACCUUGUGCGCUGAUGUAGUUAUUCGCUGUGUAAUGGCGAUUUGCAUUUUUUUCCCCCUCGUUAUGUAACUGGAUUUCUCCUCUAGUGUAGCAGCAAUCCCAGAUGAGAAGAUGAAGUUUGUUUUGAUCCGAUGUAAAUAAA
rnacentral:lncRNA from 1 species